UUUGGCUGGCUGCACUCGUGGUCACCACAGGCAUGGCGUGCUCUGGAGGUUUUACUGAGGUUAAACCAUGUCUACUGCGUAGUCCUUCGAAGGGUGGUCUCAACUAUGGUGGUAACUUGGUUAAACAUGCUCUGGUUAAAUAGCUAGUGAGCUCUAAAGUUUACUGCAGUAAACUUUACCAGCCCAAUGUGAUCACCAGGGAGUUACUUGAAGCCAAAGAAGUUGUCUGGGGCGUUUAGGCUAGGAAGGACUACAGUCCUGGGGAGUUUGAGGGUAAAAGGAUCAAGAUUUACUGCAGUUGCUUCACAACUGCAUACUUGGUCCAGAAAUGAAGAUCAUGAUAAUGCACUCACAUGGAGUGUCCACUUGAGCUCAAAUUGGGCAAAGCUUAGUGAUUUGGUCAUAUGAUGAUGCUCACCAAGUAUCAUUCCAUUUGGCAAAGCCAACAUGGUACUUGCUUCGCAAACAUCUCCUCUAGACAGAAACUUGGAAUAAUUAUGGUGGUCAAAUGGCUCAAUGAAAUGAUGCCCAAAUGGGUGGAGAGUGUUUUAUACGUAUAAGAAUGAUCUGGUAAUUUAUCAUGAUUUUUGAAGCAAUAUAAAAUAUACUUGCUUCACAACCUGAAAAUAUUGCCAGAAACAAAGAUUUGCUCCUGUGCUCACAUACAUGAUUGGAUGGGGCUGCAAAUGGGUGAAGGGGGUUAAUAUGAGCACAUUAAGGAGUGUGCAAAAGUACAACUCAUUUGGAUAUCCCUAGCUAGUACUUCCUUCACAAUGGUUUCUGUUUGACAGAAAAAUUGAAAAAUCACUGAGGAAGAUUGGCUAGGCAAAUAAAGUUGAUCUUGUGCAUGAGGGAAUUAUUUGGACAUAUAAACAUGCCCAAGGAGUUGGGGAGCAAUCAAGAAAAUAUAGGUGGUACUUCCUUCACAAAAAACCAAACUAGACAGAAAUGGAGAAUAUUUAUUGGGGAAUUAUUUUUGAACAUGGCAAUGAAAAGUUUUGCCAUAUUUGGUCAAGAUAUGACCCAAACAAUUUAUGGGAAUUAUUUGGGAAUUUUUGGAGUGAUGGAAAUAUAGGUUGCUUCACAACCUAGGGCAAUUUGAGUUAUUCCUUUAAUGAAAAGGAAUAUUCCCAAUGAAAAGAAUAUUGGGAUUUGGGCUAGGAUGGGAAUGCCAGGGUCUAGGGAAGGAUUUGGGAAUGACAAGCCACUCUGGAAGCAAAGAAGAGGUCAUCUUCUUUAGUUUCCAGACCACAAAGCCAUGGAAAAAGAAAACUCACUCAAAAACCUCGGAAAAACAAAAGAAAAAGAAAGGGCCAAAAAUCAGGCUGUCACAAACCUUACCCCCUAAAGAAAUCUCGUCCUCGAGAUUCGGUUGCUCAGGGAACUAGUAUGAAUAUUCUGACUUAAGAAAAUCGUUUCUAGCUCGGGUAUCCUUUUUCCUUUAUUGUUGUUCCCAUUAAAUCUUUAUCUGACUGGCCCUGGGGUAGUUUGCGUUAGUGUAUCCACAUUCUGACAGAUCUUACCUUGCUUGUUCAUGCUUAUAUAGGCUCCAAUUUCUUUUUAGACCUGCUGACUAGGUGAGUGUGUUUUAAUUAUCACGACUGAAAUAUAUGUCCGUCUCACAAAUCCAAAAGUGACUUCCGCUGGGUGUGCCAUCCGGCACUAACAACCUUUCAUGUAAUGAUGAUCAGAAUUUUCUGAUGAAAACUCAAGCUCUGACUCAUUCAAUUGGGUUUCUCUACUAAAUGCAAGUCCUUUGGGUUCCAACGGGGAGUUAAAACAUAACCGUUUCCUGACAGAUUUUGACUCGUCGCAGAAGUUUCUAAAUCAUCUUAACUACUUCCACUGUUGUGAGUGUCAGAUUCAUACCAAAUAUUUGAUUAUCUCCUGAGCGGCCAGCAUAAAGGGUUUGGCCUGUAUGAUAAUAUCUGCAGACUUGACGGAAAAAUAUUGUUCACGACAGGCUAUCCCUGAUGAUUCAUAUAAGUGAGGACUCAGGCUUCCAGACUGUUAUUCCUCAUGCCGAUUACUCAUGAUGCAUCACUGGUCUUGCUCCUUCAUUAUUGUUUUCUUGGUCUGGAUCUUUGGCUAAAAGAGUUGGGUCAUAUUGCUUCUUCGUAUGACCAUAGGUACUAUCAGUGCAAUUUUACGGCAAUUGUAGUUUAUCCUCAUUUUUAUGAUAAGGUAACCUAUUAAAUGGCAGGUUCAACACCUCCCAAGUUCUGAUCGUUGGGAAAUGAUCAUCUGAAACCCUUGCAAGAAAUCGGCAAAUAAAUCAGUAGCCACCAGAACGGUCUUUACGACUCAGAUCUGGGACAUUACUGAAAUAACUCAACCACGGCUCAGGACGGCCGAAAAACAGCUCAGAGCAUGAGACCGGGUCGAUAAGAAGGUGGCAGCUUCCUAAAAUAUCCAGAAAGCGGCUAUAGGGCUACUGUCACAAAAAGAAACUCAAUAGUUGUACGAGACGGCCGAAAAGAAGCUCAGACUCGUGACAGUCAUUGAAGAGAGAAACAAAAAUCGGCAUCCACCCCGGAUAGCUAGAAGCAGCUUAGAUCACACGCGUGGUGCCGUCAUUGGAGAAAAGGGGACAAGGGCUCAUCAGGAUCAUCUUCCAGGUUCGCGGGUACUUGUAUUGAGCUCCUUGAUGUCGUCAAUCCUCAUAAUCCUUUGUCACACUAUGGUGUAUACUGGCUUUCUUCUAUUAACCAUCCUCACGUGGUUGUCAGAUCCUCAUCCGAUUGACUUGUAAGAUCUGGAUGGUAUGCUCAUUGCAUAUAUAUGAGGACCUAACUUCGAGACAGACGUGUAUUCUGACUGAUUCUUGAUUCCAACAAAAAUGUUGCGGAUCUGGUUCUUGGGAUUUACUGCCAUAUGAUGUCAAUUCACAGUGUACUACCUUGUACCAAUGUCUUACUGAGGAAUAUUUGCUGGCUUGUGCUCAAAACUUUCAUCGGAUAGCUUGCUGAAGAAGACUGAAUAUCGUGCUUCAGAAGCUUACCCCCUUAAAGACUUUGGUGGGGAAAGACUGAGUACCUUAUGCGGGAAGCUUUUGCGGUUGCUUACUGAAGAAGGCAGAGUACCUUGCACGAGAAAUCAUCCAUAUAUCAUACUGAGGAAAACAGAUGAAUCUUGCCUUGGGAGCUUCUCUGGUAUCUUGUGAGGGAAAAGUGGGUUGCUUACACCAGAAACUUCUUAUUGUGAUAUGCGGUAUACAACCACCUGAAUAUUUUUGCUAUUGAUUUUUUUUGCAUGAAACGGGGUUUUGCAGGACUAUCCUCCUUUGUGAGUAUGUCAUAUUUUUGCUUGCUUCCAGGUACAUCGAGUUCCAAAAUCAUCCUCAACGAAAAAUUAAACUUGUAUCUGAGCCAUACCUUUGAUAAUAUUCUGUCAACCUUGCACAGAAUUUAUCUUGCUAAUUUAAUCAUUUUGUUGUGAUGAGUGCACGCUAAUGCAAACUUGAUACUGAUGGUCCAUCCAGGAUUUCUUUUGCAUUCAGACGAGGUAUUUCCAAUUUCACUGCAGUCAGCUGAUAAUUCCAGUCUGUUUAGUUGAGUUUCCAAAUAUAUGCAUUUCUUGCUGACUCUUCUAGUCCAGUGUCGGCUGACGAGCAACUUUAAUAGGGGAAAAAUUUGUAACACCAAAGGCCCAAAGAAAGGAACAACAGAAACGACUAAAGCAAAAGCACACAAGCAUUCUACUAAGAUAAUUAAUCAAGCAAUCAUCACAUAUUACUGCUACUCACACAAUAUGCAUGCCUACUUAAGCACACAAAUUCCACGGAAUCUCUGGUACUACGAUCUAGCAUGAUAUGACGAUGUGCACGAGGACGAAUAAAUGUGUGGAAGAAUUGGUGUAAACAGCGCUACACCAAGUGCUAGCUUAGCCAGAUACCAACCUGGACUAGCUCGGAGGCGAGGACGUACUCGGUAAUCAUGUAGUGGGACAUGAAUGUCGCAACCACAUUAUUAUCAAGCGGGCGGAAAAAGAUCCGUACUCGUCCAAGAAAUAGGAUAGCGGGGAAAAUAUGAGGCUGCUGACAUUGCCCUUUCUUGAUAACUAAGAUCAUUAAGGGUUGCCAACACGACAAAAUAAAAGAACGAUCUGGGAUAGAAGCAUGUCCACCAUCGAAAUGAUAGGCGCGACUAAAGGAAAGACAUCGGUGUGAUACCUGAGCACCAUUUUUGCAAACGGUGUAGGGAUCUCUUGGCAUCACUCUGCUGGGACAGAAAUGACACCAAACACCGAAAGAAAAAGGGACUGGGGAAAUGCAAAGGUUGAGCUGUAGUGGAACCAAACCGAUGCCAACUACACUCACUAGAUAAACCGUUAUCACAAAUACUAAGGCUAUAUGCAUGCUAUGCAACAAACAAAUGCAGCAAUCAAGUGCAACAAACCAACUGGGGUUUAGACUACCAUUUUCUAAUGUUCACGUGGCCUAGGGCGUCCUAUAGCCAGACCUGCUCUGAUACCAAGCCUGUGGCACCCCGGCUCAGAGAAAACCGGAACGCCCCGUAUUCCAACCCAGAGAUCAAGGAGAAGUCUUCUGGAAUACGGCACUGCUUAGCAUAGAACAAACCAGCUUUCUGUUAUUACAUGAAUAUGAGUACAAGGUCUCCGAUAUUACAAUGAAUAACAUCGGUACGACGACAUUACGCUAUCCUUAGAUGCUCUAUGCAAGCAGCAGAACAACUCGAACCAGCGGAAUAACUCUAGCAGCGGAACAACAACGACGGUGGUGAACUCCACUCUGUAGGGACUCUGACUGGAACGGUUAACCUAGCUCGCACGAACGGAAACCACGACAAGCAAGCAAUCAAAUCCGGCAUGACUGCAAGCUGGCAUGACACUCCAGGUCAGUACAUUGAAUGUACUUGCAAGCUCACAAUAACCAGCAACAUUCAAGACAAACAACAGCAUGGCAAUUACAGGUUAAACAGGAACUAUCAUUAUAUCAUCAGAACAACAUGGCAUGACCAACAUAAACAUGAUACAGCUAUCACAACAUGAAAAUAUUAAUCCGACAAUAAUAGCAUGGAACAUGAUGACACCAUAUGCACCACUUAUUCUGCUCGGGUUACCUCAUAACCAACACAUGAUUCACUUACCGACCUCAGACAUUACACGAUCAUCUCAGGAUCAAACCAAGCUUGGUAUAAACAAUACCGUAGUAAUCAGUAAAUGACCACAAGGAGCUUGAUCUUUACCUACGAUUCUCGUACAAUAUCACGAAUAUACAACAACUCGGUAUCCUCAAUACCACCGUGAUCCUUAAGGCGAUCACAACCAGACCAACACUUGGCCCCAAACCAUGAUCCUUACGGCAAUCACAACCCGACCAACACUUGGCCCGUGACCCUUACGGCGAUCACAACCCGACCACUAAAUGGCUCAUGAUCCUUACGGCGAUCACAACCCGACCACUGCAUGGCCCGUGAUCCUUACGGCGAUCACAACCAACUUAUCUCACUGUUAUUAAGCACAUUAUUCAUAUUACUGUUGACUCAUGGUGUGACCUUGUCUCGACCUGGGCCCUUAUCCGCGGGCGCAGCUAUCGAUAGAUUAAUAUACACUCUGCAGAGGUUAGUACACUGUACCCACACUACGGAACCCAUGGCCUCGCACUCCCAUUCGGGUGGACCAACAGCGUUCCGACAAAACCGAUCUACUGCCAUGACACUCUCCCGGCCACUCCGACUCACUCCUCACUGAGCUAAGUCAUGGGUGGCCCCGUGCCUACCUCCAAACACAAUGACCACCGUCGUGGCCCAUCCCACAUGGGAACACCGAUCCAAAAACUUAACAACUCAAUAACGGGCACACAAGGUUAUGCCUGCUUACCGGGCCAGGGUACAGCACACCCAUAACCUUCCCUCGUUGGAGGCACCGGCGAGAGGCACGACAAUAGACCCAGUUAGGACCGUCCCAUACCGGUAAGCGUGGUUGCACUGGUCAACAUGGAUUCAGCGGCACCAGGACUCAGCCAACAUUUGUUCAAGUUCAAUUUAAUUCCGUUAAACUUGAAUGCAAAUAUGCUGAGCCGUGAUAAAAUAACAUGAUGCCAACUCUAAUACAUGAACAUGAUAUCAACAUCACCAUGAGGGUAUCACAUAACUAUCCACCAUAUCAAUAAUAAAUCACCUCCACUGAGCAUGGCAUACUGACUAGCAUGACCAUCUCCAACAUCAACAUGUACUACUAGCAAGCAUAAACAUAGGAAAAUAAAUACUAGCAGGUACAAUAUGAUAAUAGAGUACAAUACAACAUAGCACAAAAGUGAACAUGCCAAUUUAAACAUCACCGGGACAACGAUAACCAUCUUUUCAACAAGCAAACAUUUAAUAAAGAUUCAAGUUGAAAACCAUGGCUACUGCAUGACUAUCAUGCAAGUGGGUAUGUGGCUUGCCUGGGGAUGAAGAAGGCAUCGGGGAGAAGUGCGGUGAAGCCGCGGAAAGAUUUGCUGGAAAACGUUCUCUCUUAGAGGGGGCUGAUUAAGGGCAGGGGCAAAAUGGUCAUUUUUAGUAUGCCAAAACAUAAUGAAAGUGACACCAACAGAAAGGGCUCGACGAAACGAAGAAGUGAGCGUUGGGUUCACCUCAAAGAGAGUUACGGAUAAAAAGAUAUUGAGUGAUUUCUGCCAGGGACCCAUCUAUAAUGAAAAUAUUUUCAACUAGGGGCCUGAACAGACAAAGUGAAAGCGUAUUUUGGGGAUUACGUCUCCACUUACGCUGACGUGGUGUGGACUGGUCAAAAGGGGCAGAGGUGGGGCCGGGCGUCAGGGUCACCGACAGGUGGGGCCGCCGGGCGGACGCGCUGGGUCAACGCCCACGUGGCUCCUGUCUUCUUCCUCCUUGACGUGUGCUUGCGGAGCAGAGGAGGCCGAGCGCUCCGGUGACGGCCGUCGGGGCUACAUGGCACCUCCGGCAAGGCUCCGCCCAUGGAUGAGCUCGUCGAGGAGAGCCGCAUCUAGAGGGACAGGUCGCGGCCGCCGGGACGGGUCGAGGUGACGGUGGUUUGGACUCGGGGACGGAGGCAACGGACGAGCCGCAGAGGUCACGGAGACGAGCAGAGCUCGGGGACAAGAGAAGGAAGAAACCACGGCACCAUAAAUGCUCGGUCGGCCACAGAUCUCUCAUGGGCGCUCGUCGGCAAGCGUCGGUGAGGAAGAGGACGAAGGGGGAGAGGGGUCCAGGGUGAAGAGGACGACGAUGCUGAGCUAUUUGACACUCGGGGACAAACCAGAACCGGCCGGAGCGACGCUGCUGUUGCCAACAGUGGAGAGACCACCGUUUUGGUUGGCUGCACUCAUGGUCACCAUUGGCAUGGCGUGCUCUGGAGGUUUUACUGAGGUUAAACCAUGUCUACUGCGUAGUCCUUCGAAGGGUGGUCUCAACUACGGUGGUAACUUGGUUAAACAGGCUCUGGUUAAAUAGCUAGUGAGCUCUGAAGUUUAUUGCAGUAAACUUUACCAGCUCAAUGUGAUCACCAGGGAGUUACUUGAAGCCAAAUAAGUUGUGUGGGGCGUUUAGGCUAGGAAGGACUACAGUCCUGGGGAGUUUGAGGGUAAAAGGAUCAAGAUUUACUGCAGUUGCUUCACAACUGCAUACUUGGUCCAGAAUUGAAGAUCAUGAUGAUGCACUCACAUGGGGAGUGUCCACAUGAGCUCAAAUUGGGCAAAGCUUAGUGAUUUGGUCAUAUGAUGAUGCUCACCAAGUAUCAUUCCAUUUGGCAAAGCUAACAUGGUACUUGCUUCACAAACAUCUCCUUUGGACAGAAACUUGGAAUAAUUAUGGUGGUCAAAUGGCUCAAUGAAAUGAUGCCAAAAUGGGUGGAGAGAUGUUUUAUGGGUAUAAGAAUGAUCUGGUAAUUUAUCAGGGUUUGUAAAGCAAUAUAAAAUAUACUUGCUUCACAACCUGAAAAUAUUGCCAGAAACAAAGAUUUGCUCCUGUGGUCACAUACAUGAUUGGAUGGGGCUGCAAAUGGGUGAAGGGAGGUAAUAUGAUCACAUUAAGUAGUGUGCAAAAGUACUACUCAUUUGGAUAUCCCUAGCUAGUACUUCCUUCACAAUGGUUUCUGUUUGACAGAAACUUUGAAAAAUCACUGAGGAAGAUUGGCUAGGCAAAUAAAGUUGAACUUGUGCAUCAGGCAAUUAUUUGGACAUAUAAACAUGCCCAAGGAGUUGGGGAGCAAUCAAGAAAAUAUAGGUGGUACUUCCUUCACAGAAAACCACACUGGACAGAAAUGGAGAAUAUUUAUUGGGGAAUUAUUUUUGAACAUGGCAAUGAAAAGUUUUGCCAUAUUUGGUCAAGAUAUGACCCAAACAAUUUAUGAGAAUUAUUUGGGAAUUUUUGGAGUGAUGGAAAUAUAGGUUGCUUCACAACCUAGGGCAAUUUGAGUUAUUCCUUUAAUGAAAAGGAAUAUUCCCAAUAAAAAGAAUAUUGGGAUUUGGGCUAGGAUGGGAAUAACAGGGUCUAGGGAAGGAUUUGGGAAUGUCAAGCCACUCUAGAAGCAAAGAAGAGGUCAUCUUCUUCAGUUUCCAGACCACAAAGCCACGGAAAAAGAAAACUCAGGCAAAAACCUCGGAAAAACAAAAGAAAAAGAAAGGGCCAAAAAUCAGGCUGUCAUAGCGAGGCUCAGCGCGACGUCCUCGAGCGAUGCUCCUUCACGAGACCCCUUUACUAGCUCCAGCUUCUUUGUCUUGGGGGCGACCUUAGGAGGGAGGGCGCCGUCUUUGUCUUCAGGGUUCUCGAUCACUGCAGCCUGGAAGGCGCGCUCGAGGAAGAACACCACAUCCUUCUCUUGGCAGGCGGCCGUGAUGACGCCGCCACUCCCUGGCAUCUUGAGGACAUUGUAGUCGUGGUGUGUAGCUGCCAUGAACUUGGCCAGUGUUUGGUACCCUAGGAUGGCGUUAUAGGGCAGGCGGAUGUCGGCGAGUCGAAGUCGAUGAGCUUAGUGUGGUAGUUGUUGCGCUCGCUGAAGGUGACAGUGAGGAGAAACUGCCCUAUCGGGUGUGUGGAACCGUCAGUCACUCCUGAAAAUGGCUUGGUUGGGUGAAGCUGGCAGUAUGGCACUUGAAGCCUGUCGAACGUCUCAAUAGACAGAACAUUGAGCCCUGCUCCACCAUCGAUGAGAGUCUUGGUGACGACCACGUUGCUGAUGACGGGGGAGCAGAGCAUGGGGAGCGCACUGGUGGUGGCCACGCACUUGAGCUGGUCUGAGGAGUUGAAGGUGAUGGCGCACUUGGACCACCGGAGAGGGAAAGUUGCUUUGAGCUUGGGGAGCGUCGCGUUCACCUCGCACGCGAACUGCUUGAAGAUGCGGUGGGAAGCUGGGGCUUGUGAGCCGCCCAAGAUGCAGGCAAUGGCUCGGGGCUCCUGGAAGCCCCCAGCCCCCUCGUCUUGGUGGUGAUCGUCGUUCCUCCUUGGAGAUGGAGGCAGAGGGGGCAGAGUUGCGUUGCCCUGAGGGCGCUCCUCACGAGGCUGCUCCCUCCAGGCGCCCUCACGAGGCUGGCCCUGCCAGCGGUCCUCAUGAGGCUGAUCGCACCACUCCUGACGAUGGUCGCGUCCAUCCCAGCGUCCUCCACCUUGGCCGCCUCCACGACCGUAGCCUCGAUUGUUAUGCUUGGGGCGUCGACCGAGGCGCCCGUCGCGGAGGGCCCUAAGCUCCUGGCAGUCAUUGGUGUUGUGGCUGUGAACAUUGUGGAAGACGCAGAACUGCCGGUUGCUCUUGGAUGACUCGGGGUGGUCGCAACCGUGCUUCAUGUCUGGUUCGGUCGCACGCAUGGCCAUCCCCUUGCGCUUCACGUCCUUGGUCUUGGUCUUCUUGUCUUCUGGAUCAGCAUCGGGGAGCUCGAGGAGGGAGAGGCAUCCCUCCUUAGCCCUUUCUCCAGAGCGGUGCAGAGAUCCUCAUGGAUGGAGCGCUCCUCCUUCAUCUUGACAUCGCGGACGCCAUCAGUGAAUGCUGAAAAUGAUGGCCUCAUCAGACACCUUGGGGAUCUUCAGGUGAACGUUGUUGAAGCGUUGGAUAUACUUUUGCAGGGUCUCUCCAGGUUGCUGCUUGAUUCGACGCAGGUCACCCAUGGCCGACAGACGGUCGCGAGUGCCCUGGAAGUUGGCGAUGAAGCAGUCGCGCAUCUCCUCCAAGGAAGAAACCGACCCUCGGGCAGGUUCAGGAGCCAAGAAAGCGCGCCAUCCUUGAGGGUCAUAGGGAACUAGUUCACCAUGAUCUUCUCAUCGCCGCUGGCCGCCUCGAUGCUCAGCUCAUAGAGCUGCAGGAACUCGGCGGGGUCGGCGGUGCCGUCGUAGCGUGGAGGCAGGUCAGGCUUGAAGUUGCUCGGCCAGACAAUGUUGCGGAGCUCUGGAGUGAACGCGCGGCAUCCUGUCAUGGCCACCGUAGGUCUUCGAGGGGGCGGAAACUGGUCCUGGUGCAUGCGCACCGCCAACUCCUGCGGCGGUACACGGGCCAGGUGCUGGGGUGCUGGAAGCACGCGCGCUUAUCCUUGUGGUCGCUGCACCACCUGGCAGCUCACGUCCUCCCGAGCCAGUGCAGGGCGAGGCGGGUCGCGCCAUGGUGCCACAUGCCUUGGCUCGAUGAUGGCGCCCUGGGUCGGAGGUGGUGGAGGAGCCCCAUGCGCCAUGUCAUCUGCUGCAGGUGGUUGCUAAGGCAACAAGCGAGCUGGCUCGGCAGAGCCCCCAUGCGCAACGCUGACGAGCUCAGCGAUCCGCUCGAGCCACUCCUCGUAGAGGUCACCAACCGGGCGGUAGCGAAGGAUCUCCCGCUCCAUGAGCAGAGCGGCCUACGCAUCCGCUUGGCCGUGACGCGCGUGGGGUGACGAAGCUAUUGGGGUCAGUCAUGGAGUAGUGGUAUGCCCGUCGUGACGCACCGACGGGUGUAGCGACGAAGCUUGCUGUUUGUGGCCGGCGGGACCCGUGGCAGCGUUAGCCAUCAGAGACGGAGCGCGACGGGCACAACCAUUGCCCGCCGGAGCUGUCUGAGCGACGCGGGCGGUGACUGCGGCCUGACGCUCGGCGCGAGCUUAGCGUGCAUCAGCCAUGGAGGUGUCGGAGUGGCGGUGGAUCGAUCGAUGGAAGAGAAGAUCCGACGCACCCCUACCUGGCACGCCAAAUGUCGGAUAAAGGGAUCCACAAACCCUUGAGAGGUUCAAACUCUAGGGUGCGUGCAGAGAUCUCAACCUACCCAACCUACCUACUUGUGAUCCUCCUAAGCCUAGCGCGUCAAGAUCAAAGAGACACAGAGACACAAUAGUUUAUCCUGGUUCGGGCCACCUUGCGGUGUAAUACCCUACUCCAGCGUUUUGAUGGAUUGCCUCGGAGGGCUAAGGAUGAACUAGUACAGUGGAUGAACUGGCCUCAGGAGGUGAGAUGUUCUUGAGCUCAAGGGAGCUGGUGUGGUGUGAGCUAGUUCGACUUGUCUUGUGUUCUAUGGUGGUGGCUAGUCCUAUUUAGAGUGGCCUUGGUCCUCUUCCCAAAUGUUGGCGAGAAGGGAUCCCACAACAGCCAGAUUUGAAAGGGGACAAGUAGUACAGCUUAUCCUGACAAAAGUAGUCUUCGCCUGCGAAAAGCCUCUGGUUGUGACACUACGGUGGGCUCGUCGAUGACCUCCAUCCUGCCGUCCUGGCGGUCUUGGUCUCGUUGCACCAGAAUGGAAACCUUUGGCUGAUUCCUCGGGACUCCGCACCUGUGGAUUGCCUCCUUUGCACCGAAGAGGAAACCUGCGCUCUGCGCCCACCUGGAGCCCACCUGGCCUUGGUCGUCGUGGCUCAUGUCAGCUGAGCCUCGUGAGGUGAACCUUGCAUAGAACUCUUCGCCCCUCGGGAGCCAGCCUGGUGAGACCGAUCCCCUCGAGGUCUUGGCGUCGCCCGCCUCGCAAGGCUUGGCCCCUCGUGAGGGUAUUGAGUUGUUGAUGCUGGAGCUGGGCCGUACCAGGCCGUCGACGGAGCCACGUGGUGGGCCGCAGGCACGCAGGACUCGAUACCCCCAUAUCCAGGACGUCGACAAGUUUAGCUCAUGACUAGAAGAUCUUUUGUCAUUGUAGGACCUUGACUUGGAACUUCUUUCCUUGCUUCUACUCUUGUAGAAUUUGUUGAAGUUCUUCACCAUUAAGCUCAGUUCUUCAUUGAAGGCUUGUUUCUCACUUGAUGAUGUAGGAGCAUCACAUGAGGCUUUGUAAGCACCACUAGACUUGUUGUGAAGCUCUUCUUUGUCCUUGAGUGACAUCUCAUGAGCAACAGUUCUUCCAAUGACUUCAGUUGGCUUGAGAUCUUUGUAAUUUGGCAUCAUUUGGAUCAAUGUGCACAGGGUGUCAUAUUUUCCAUCCAAGGCUCUCAAGAUCUUUUUGAUGAUGAAUUUGUCGGUCAUCUCUUCACUUCCUAAGCCGCAAUCUCAUUUGUGAUGAGAGCAAGCCUAGAGUACAUUUCAGCGACACCUUCACCAUCCUUCAUUUUGAACUUGUCAAGUUGACUUUGAAGCACAUCCAACUUGGAUUCCUUGACGGAGUCGGUACCUUCAUGCAUAUCAAUCAAAGUAUCCCAAAUUUCCUUUGCAUUCUCAAGACAACUGAUUUUAUUGAAUUCUUCGGGGCAAAAUCCAUUGAAGAGGAUAUCGCAAGCUUGAACAUUGUAUUGCAACAUCUUCAAUUCUUCCACGGUAGCUUCACGGUUUGGUUCUCUCCCAUCAAAGAAUUCACCUUGCAAGCCAAUACACACAAUAGCACAAAUGGUGGGGUUAUGUCCAAGAAUAUGCAUUUUCAUCUUAUGUUUCCAACUAGCAAAAUUAGUACCAUCAAAGUAAGGACCUCUACGGUGGUAAUUUCCCUCGCUAGACGCCAUACUCUCUUAGGUUGUGAAACCAAGGCUAUGAUCACCAAAGCUAUGGAAAUCAAGGCAAAUGGAGACCAAAGCUCUGAUACCACUUGUAGGAUCGAAAGUAUGUCUAAAGGGGGGUGAUUAGACUACUUGACCAAAUAAAAGCUUAACCUUUUCCCAAUUUUAGUUCUUGGCAGAUUUUAGCAACUUAGCACAAGUCAAGCAAUCGCAAUAAAUUCAAGCAAGCAUGCAAAGAGUAUAUGAGCAGCGGAAAGUAAAGCAUGCAACUUGCAAGAAAGUAAAGGUAUGGGAUUGGAGUGUGCAAACACAAUUGGAGACAUGGAUGUUUUUGGCGUGGUUCCGAUAGGUGGUGCUAUCAUACAUCCACGUUGAUGGAGACUUCAACCCACGGAGGGUAACGGUUGUGCGAGUCCACGGAGGGCUCCACCCAUGAAGGGUCCACGAAGAAGCAACCUUGUCUAUCCCAUCAUGGCCAUCGACCACGAACGACUUGCCUCACUAUGGUAGAUCUUCACGAAGUAGGCGAUCUCCUUGCCCUUACAAACUCCUUGGUUCAACUCCACAAUCUUGACGAAGGCUCCCAAGUGACACCUAACCAAUCUAGGAGACACCACUCUCCAAAAGGUAAUAGAUGGUGUGUUGUUGAUGAACUCUUUGCUCUUGUGCUUCAAAUGAUAGUCUCCCCAACACUCAACUCUCUCACACAGAUUUGGCUAUGGUGGAAAGAUGAUUUGAGUGGAAAGCAACUUGGGGAAGGCUAGAGAUCAAGAUUCAUAUUAUAGGAUUGGAAUAUCUUGGGCUCAACACAUGAGUAGUUGGUUCUCUCUCAGAAAAUGAGUAGUGGAAGUGUAGGUUUGUUCUGAUGGCUCUCUCCACGAAUGAAGAGUGGGUGAAGGGCUAUAUAUAGCCUCCACACUAAAUCUAACCGUUACACACAGAUUCCCAAACUCGGUGGGACCGAAUCAGCAAACUCGGUCAGACCGAUUUAGUUCAAAAUGUGAAUGUUAGGAUUUUCGGUGGGAUCGAUAUAGUCAUCUCGCUGGUACCGAUAUGCUAGGGCUAGGGCAUAACGUAAUCUCGGUGUGACCGAUCGCAUAAACUCGGUGGGCCCGAUUUUGACAAUAGGUACACAAAGGGUUAGUCAGGCAAACUCGGUGGGACCGAUUCGCUCACUUUGGUGGGCCCAAAGUCUUACGUAAAGGAAACAGGGAGUUUGCAAUGCAGACUCGGUGGGACCGAUUUGCUCUUUCAGUGAGACCAAAAAGUUACAAAAAGGAAACAGAGAGUUUGCAAUCCCAUCUCGGUGAGACCGAAGUAAUUAGGGUUUGUGGCAGUGGCUAUGUCAAGUGAAACUCGAUGGCGCCAGAUAGAUCAAAUCGGUGGGGCCAAAUUUGAGUUUUGGGUUUGGGACAUAUGUGGAUGUGAGAAAGUGGUUGAGGGUUUUGGAGCAUAUCACAAAGCCUUUUGAGCAAGUAACCCAUUAAGCAACACCUCAUCCCCUUUUAAUAGUAUUGGCUUUCCUAUGGACUCAAUAUGAUCUUGGAUCACUAAAAUGAAAAUGUAGAGUCUUGAGCUUGUUGCCAAUAUAUGUCCUUUGCAUUUUGAGGGGUCCACAUCUCUAGUCCAUGCCAUGUCAAACAUUGAACUUUCUGGAAUGAUUAUCUUGAAAUAGCGUCAGUUCAAUGAACUAUAUGUUGUUAAGAAUUACCAAAACCACCCAGGGAUUAGUUGCACUUUCAAUCUCCCCCUUUUUGGUAAUUGAUGACAGCAUACAGACCAAAGCUUUGACAAAUGAUAAUAAUAAUGAAGUAAAUUGUCGCUUUGAGAAGUAUGUGAUAAGUAAGAGCUCCCCCUAAACUUGUGCAUUGUUAAAAUUUGCUUUGGACUGCAAAUGCACAAUCUGUUAGGAUCAUGGAUUACUCUUCCAUGUCACAUACAUCUUGGUGGAGCGCUCAAAAUGAUAACAAAUAAGAACAAGCACUCAUCACCAACGCAAAGUGAAUGAUCAUACAUGAGAUACAUAAUGUCAACAUCCAAGCAUAAUCAUAAAGAGUGAUAUGAUCAAGCACAUGAUCAUACAAAGUGUCUCACACAAACAGACAUAAUGUAUCUCAAACAAGCAAGCAAAGAAAAUAAGUAGCAAAAAGAGACAACUCUCCCUCUCUCUCUGAAGCCUAUGAUCUAUACACUUUCUCCCCCUUUGGCAACAAGUUGCCAAAAAGCUCGAAAAUGCAUAGUGCUAUGCGUCUCUCUAGGCUUUAUCUUUGGGAGGUGGUGUUGAGAUGACUCCAAGGACAAAAGCUUAUGUAGAUGUUGUUGGAGCUCGAGGGGUUGCCACUGGAGGGGCAACGGGAGUUGUAGGAGUUGUGGCUGCAGGUGCUGAAGUUGUAGCUCUAGUAUCUGUCACUAGCACUGCUGCAGACCUCUGUGCCCUAGGCACCCUGUGGAACACAUGUGUAGUAGCUUUGCCCUUUCUCUCCUGAGCUUCUUCCUGGAGUUCUUCAACAUCUGUCUGAAUCUCAGUUACCUUCAAGUCCAGAUCAUAGAAUCUUGUCUCUAUUACCCUCUCCAAGCUCUCCUGGUUCUGAGUCAGGGUAGCUAGUCCUUUCUCAACCCUCAGGAUUGAUUGAAUCAGAAACCCAAGCUGAUCUUGUUUGGACUUGAGAAAGACUUCUGAAGCCUCUACUGCACUUGGCAUCUUUGCUGCUUUUGCUGCCCUGGCCUUCUCCUUCUUAUCAUGAGUUGCAACUGAAGAUGGAUAAUUAGCAUCCAUGACAACUGUGUUGUCCUCAAAUUCAUGCAGCAAAGGAAGGCGUUCUUUGUCCAAAAGAUACACUCCUUGCUUCAUCUUGGAAUUGAUCAUCUCUUGGAUGUGUGGAGCAUAUCCACAAGAUCUCUUCUGGUCAGCUGCUGUCCUUUUGGCAGUCUCUACAAUCAGGCUCAUGACCUUGAAUUUCUGUGGCACAACAUCAAACAACUGUAGCAAGUUGAUGGAAUGGCCUCUGAUCAUCGUGUGAUCUCCAUUUUUGGGCAACAAAGUGUGCCUCAAUAUAGUGUUUAUAGUGGCCAAACCAGAUAGCAGAUAGUAGACAGAUCCAAACUUGUGUGUUUCUAAGGCCUCAUCUGGAAUUUCCUUAUACAUAUUGGCCAUGGUGUUGUGAUCCUUCUUCUUCUCAGCAUACACAUCAAUUUGAUGUUCUUCUUCUGCGGGGGCAUUUAUGAGCCUAGCCCACUCUUCAAUAGUUGAUUGGUGCCUCUGCCCCUUCUGUCAUCCACAUAAUUCUUCCAUCUGGAUAGAAGUGAGUUGUUGAGUAGAAUUGCAUAAUGAGCUCAUCAUUCCAUUUGGUGAGCUUCUGACCAACAAAGUCAUCAACAUCAUUGCUUUGAAGCUUUCAUGCACUCCUGGGAAAUGAUCAGCAUUAGCAUCAAUGAAUUUCCAGUCCACCCAUCUCAUAUCACUGACUAUGGGUUUCUUGUCCAGCAAUACUGUCUCAUAGAAAUCAUGUUGCUCUUUGGUGUGGAACCUGUAGUCCACUGCAGUCCUCCUCCUCAUAGCAUAAGGAUCGGCUUGUGUUGGGGAUAUACCCCGCGGUAUGACCCGGCCGGACUUGGCGAUCUCUAGAGACCCGGCGGGCGGAUCAGACAGACGACAAGGCCCAAGGCCCAUCAGGCUGGCUAUGUUAUGAUGGGCCAGCUUAAGAGGAAAGCGUAAAUAAUAUUCCCUUACAAUGGAAGUAAGACUAGGACUCCACUUGUAAUAGAGUAAUCCUAAUCCUAUUAGGACUAGUCAUGUAACUCGCCCCUUCAACUUAUAUAAGGAGGGGCAGGGCACCCCAAGAGGGGCAGACAAGAAAACAACCGCUAAGGCUAGAUACAACUACAGGAGAGCCGAUUUAUGCGGCGUCUCCCCCAUGAGCAUAAUGAGACCUAGCCACAAACAGCAUGUAGGGCUAUUACCGGAUGGUGUUUCCCGGGGCCCGAAGCUGUCUAAACCCUUGUCUUGUGUUGCAUCUCUCGAUUCCGAUCAACCCCUCUCAAGCUACCACAUGGAUGCAUUGGCCUCGCGACUAAGUCCUCACACUAGGACAUCUGCUGUGACAAUUCCACCGACAGUUGGCGCCCACCGUAAUACUUAUGAUAUCUUGAGAGAAGCCUCUAGUGAAACCUAUGGCCCCCGGGUCUAUCUCUUAUCAUAUUUGCUUCCAAUCUACUUUUAUUUGCAUCUUUAUUUUCUGCAUCUAUAUUAUAAAAUACCAAAAAUAUAUUUAUAUUAUCAUAUUAUCUCUAUCAGAUCUCACUUUCGCAAGUGGUCGUGAAGGGAUUGACAACCCCUUUAUCGCGUUGGUUGCGAGUUCUUUGUUUGUUUGUGUAGGUUCGUGGGACUUGUGAGGAGCCUCCUACUGGAUUGAUACCUUGGUUCUCAAAAACUGAGGGAAAUACUUACGCUACUAUUGCUGCAUCACCCUUUCCUCUUCAAGGAAAACCAACGCAAGCUCAAGACGUAGCAAAAAGGAUUUCUGGUGCCGUUGUCUGGGAGGUCUUCGCUCAAGUCAAGACAUACCAAGUACCCAUCACAAACUCAUCUCCCUCGCAUUUACAUUAUUUGCCAUUUGCCUCUCGUUUUCCUCUCCCCCACUUCACCCUUGCCGUUUUAUUCGCCCUCUCUUUCCCAAUCUCUCUCUCUCUUUCGCUUGUCCUCUUCUUCUUCCUCGCUUUUGUCUGCCGUUAUGUCUGAAAUUGGGGAGAUUAUCAUCGAUAUGGACAAUAAUGAUAACAUGGAAAAUUCUGAUGCUCCGGCUGAAGAACCCCCUAUCUUGCAUACUAAAAAGUUUCGAAUCGGUAGUGGUAACAUUAUUGGAAAAGGUUUUAUUCAAGAUUUCUUUACUUGUGCCGGUGCUUUACCUUCUAUGGUUGGUUCUAUUCUUCAUAAAACUAGUAGUCUUGCGGAUGCUAUUUCCAUGCUUGUAGUUGAGCUUGAAAGACAAUUUAUGCAUAUGCAUCCUUGCAUACAAAGAAUUUUUCUUGAAUUUUCUAAUAUUGAACAUUCUUCUGUUAAGCGCAUUGUUACUAUCUUUUUGGCUUAUGAGUUUAGAUUUAUAAUAAGAGAGGCCAAAGAAAUCUUCACGCACUAUAGGGUGGACGUCGGUCGUCCUCCCAUAGAGGCGGUCCUCUUCGAUCAAGAGGAAAUUAGGCGUUUUCAAUCUUCACACUAUGUUGCUUUCAAUGAAAACCUUAGAAAAAAGGUUCCUACCAAUGUCUUGAUUGAUAGAAUUUAUGAACUUAAUAAUGAUUUUGCUCUUCGAAAUAAUGAGCUAGGAUACUCUCUUGAGUAUAGGCUCACUAGAUUUUGCCAAAAGAAUGCUUUUAGUGAUGAAUUAGUUGUGCAUUAUGAAGGGCCAAGGAAGGAACCCGUUCCUCCUGAGAUUGAUCUUGGGGACUUUUGCCCCACUAAAUUUAGCCCUUUUUUAUUAUUUUUGCUUGCCUCAAAGAAAACUUGCUGCCGAACGUAGAGAAUAUGAGAUGAGUUUUCAAGAUCUAUCUUAUUAUUAUGGCACUACUUAGAUCUAUCUUCGCUUUUAUGCCUAGCUAGGGGCGUUAAACGAUAGCGCUAGUUGGGAGGCAACCCAAUUUUCUUUGUGUUUUUUUGUUUUUGUUACUGUUUAGUAAUAAAUUUUGCAUCUACUUUCUGUUUAUAUGUGUUUUUAUCCUUUAAUUAGUGUUUGUGCCAAGUAGAACCUAUAGGAUAACCUAUGAUGAUAGUUGAUUUGAUUCUGCUAAAAAACAGAAACUUUGCACUCACGAGAAAAAAUUCAAUAAAUCACAGAAACGUGAUUUUGCAUUGAUUCUUUUUGCUGCUGAUCAAUAAACAAAUUUUCCAGUACUUCCUAUUUUGGUAGGAUUUUUAGAGUUCCAGAAGUUUGCGUUAGUUACAGAUUGCUACAGACUAUUCUGUUUUUGACAGAUUCUGUUUUCGUGUUUUUUUUUGCUUAUUUUGAUGCAUCUAUGGCUAGUAUGUAAGGGUAUGAACGAUAGAGAACUUGGAAUACAGUGGGUUUAACACCAAAAUAAAUAAAGAAUGAGUUUAUUACAGUAUCUUAUGUGGUGGUUUUGUUUUCUUUCACUAACGGAGCUUAUAAGAUUUUCUGUUGAGUUUUGUGUUGUGAAGUUUUCAAGUUUUGGGUAAAGCUUUUAUGGACUAUGGAAUAAGGAAUGGCAAGAGACUAAGCUUGGGGAUGCCCAUGGCACCCCAAGAUAUUCAAGGAUAGCCAAAGGCCUAAGCUUGGGGAUGCCCCGGGAAUGCAUCCCCUCUUUCGUCUUCGUUCAUUGGUAACUUUACUUGGAGCUAUAUUUUUAUUCGCCACAUGAUAUGUGUUUUGCUUGGAGCGUCGUAUAUUAUAUUAGUCUUUGCUUUUUAGUUUAACACAAUCAUCCUUGUUGUACACACCUUUUGGGAGAAGCCUAUUUGACUAGAAUUUGCUAGAAUACUCUAUGUGCUUCACUUAUAUAUUUUGAGCUUGAUAGUUUUUGCUCUAGUGCUUCACUUAUAUCUUUUAGAGCAUGGCGGUGGAUUAAUUUUGAAGAAAUUGCUAGUCUCUAAUGCUUCACUUAUAUUAUUUUGAGAGUCUUUUAGAACAGCAUGGUAUUUGCUAUGGUUACAAAUUUGGUCCUAGAAUGAUGAACAUCCAAGUUGGGUAUAAUAAAAACUAUCAUAAAAAGUGCAUUAAAACACUAGGAUCAAUUUGAUGCUUGAUAAUUGUUUUGAGAUAUAAAGGUAGUAAUGUUAGGGUCAUGCUAGUGGAUAAUUAUGAAAUUGAGAAAUACUUUUGUUGAAGUUGGCAAGUCCCAUAGCAUGCACGUAUGGUAAAAGUUGUGUGACAAUUUUUUUGCAUGAGGUGCUCUUUUGAUUGUCUUCCUUAUGAGUGGCAGUCGGGGACGAUCGAUGGUCUUUUCCUACCAAUCUAUCCCUCUUGGGGCAUGCAUAGUAGUACUUUGCUUCGAGGGCUAAGUAGAUUUUUUCAAUAAGUAUAUGAGUUCUUUAUGACUAAUGUGAGUCCAUGGAUAUACGCACACUCAUCCUUCCACUUUGCUAGCCUUUCUUAUUACCGCGCAACUUUCGCCGGUAUUGAACCCAUUAUUUACCUUCCUCAAAACAGCCACCAUACCUACCUAUUAUGGCAUUUCCAUAGCCAUUCCGAGAUAUAUUGUCAUGCAACUUUCCACCGUUCCGUUUACUAUGACACGUUUCAUCAUUGUCAUAUUGCUAUUUGCAUGAUCAUGUAGUUGACAUCGUAUUUGUGGCAAGGCCACCUUCAUAAUUUUCAUACAUGUCGCUCUUGAUUCAUUGAAUAUCCCCGUACACCGCCGGAGGCAUUCAUAUAGAGUCAUAUCUUGUUCUAGCUUUGAGUUGUAAUUCUUGAGUUGUAAAUCAAUAAAAGUGUGAUGAUCUUCAUUAUUAGAGCAUUGUCUCAGUGAGGAAAGGAUGAUGAAGACUAUGAUUCCCCCACAAGUCGGGAUGAGACUUCGGACUUUAUAAAAAUAAAAGAGACCAAAGAAUCCCACCAAAAAGAAGAGAAAAGAAUGGGGAAAAAGAAAAAGAAAAAAAGAAAAAAAAAGAAAAAAAAAGAAAAAAAAUGAGAGAAAAAGAGAGAAGGGACAAUUGCUACUAUCUCUUUUUCCACACUUGUGCUUCAAAGUAGCACCAUGAUCUUCAUGAUAGAGAGUCUCCUAUGUUGUCACUUUCAUAUACUAGUGGGAAUUUUUCAUUAUAGAACUUGGCUUGUAUAUUCCAAUGAUGGGCUUCCUCAAAGUGCCCUAGGUCUUCGUGAGCAAGCAAGUUGGAUGCACACUCAUUUAGUUUCUUUUGUUGAGCUUUCAUACAUUUAUAGCUCUAGUGCAUCUGUUGCAUGGCAAUCCCUACUCACUCACAUUGAUAUCUAUUGAUGGGCAUCUCCAUAGCCCGUUGAUACGCCUAGUUGAUGUGAGACUAUCUUCUCCCUCUUUUUGUCCUCACAACCACCACAAUAGACCACCAUAGUGCUAUGUCCAUGGCUUGCGCUCAUGUAUUACGUAAGAGUUGAAAAAAGCUGAAGCGCGUUAAAAAGUAUGAACCAAUUGCUCGGCUCGUCAUCGGGGUUGUGCAUGAUGGGAGUAUUUUGUGUAAUGAAAAUGAAGCAUGGCCUAACUAUAUGAUUUUGUAGGGAUAAGCUUUCUUUGGCUAUGCUAUUUUGAUAGGACAUGAUUAUUUGUUAGUCUGCUUUGAAGCAUUAUUAUUUUUAUGUUUUAUAAGCUUUUAUCUUGGAUCAUUUGGAUCUGAACAUUCAUGCCACAAUAAAGAAAAUUACAUUGAGAAUUAUGCUAGGUAGCAUUCCACAUCAAAAAUUUUGUUUUUAUCAUUUACCUACUCGAGGACGAGAAGGAAUUAAGCUUGGGGAUGCUUGAUACGUCUCCAACGUAUCUAUAAUUUUUUAUUGUUCCAUGCUAUUAUACUACCUGUUUUGGAUGUUUAUGGGCUUUAUUUUACACAUUAUUAUCAUUUUUUGGACUAACCUACUAACCGGAGGCCCAACCCGUAUUGCUGUUUUUUUUGCCUAUUUCAGUAUUUCGAAGAAAAGGAAUAUCAAACGGAGUCCAAACGGGAUGAAACCUUUGGAAGCGUGAUUUUUGGAACGAACGUGAUCCAAAGGACUUGGAGUGCAAGUCAAGAAGCAUCCGAGGCGGCCACGAGAGGGUAGGGCGCCCCCCCUUUCUCGUGGACCCCUCGGGCGGCCACCGACGUACUUCUUCCUCCUAUAUAAGCCUACAUACCCCAAAAACAUCCAGGGAGCCACCGAAGAAAUAUUUCCGCCACCGUAACCUUCUGUAUCCGCGAGAUCCCAUCUUGGAGCCCCGCCGACAUUCUGCCGGAGCGGGAAUCCACCACGGAGGGCUUCUACAUCAACACCAUAGCCCUUCUGAUGAGUUGUGAGUAGUUUACCACAGACCUUCGGGUCCAUAGUUAUUAUCUAGAUAGCUUCUUCUCUCUUUUUGGAUCUCAAUACAAUGUUCUCCCCCUCUCUUGUGGAGAUCUAUUCGAUGUAAACUCUUUUUGCGGUGUGUUCGUCGAGAUCCGAUGAAUUGUGGAUUUAUGAUCAAGUUUAUCUAUGAAUAAUAUUUGAAUCUUCUCUGAAUUCUUUUAUGUAUGAUUGAGUUAUCUUUGCAAGUCUCUUUGAAUUAUCAGUUUGGUUUGGCCUACUAGAUUGAUCUUUCUUGCCAUGGGAGAAGUGCUUAGCUUUGGGUUCAAUCUUGCGGUGUUCUUACCCAGUGACAGAAAGGGUUGCAAGACAUGUAUUGUAUUGUUGCCAUCGAGGAUAAAAAGAUGGGGUUUAUAUCAUAUUACAUGAAUUUGUCCCUCUACAUCAUGUCAUCUUGCUUAAUGUGUUACUCUGUUUUUUAUGAACUUAAUACUCUAGAUGCAUGCUGGAUAGCGGUCGAUGUGUGGAGUAAUAGUAGUAGAUGCAGGCAGGAGUCGGUCUACUUGUUGCGGACGUGAUGCCUAUAUACAUGAUCAUGCCUAGAUAAUCUCAUAACUAUUCGCUUUUCUAUCAAUUGCUCGACAGUAAUUUGUUCACCCACCAUAAUACUUAUGCUAUCUUGAGUGAAGCCUCUAGUAAAACCUAUGGCCCCCGGGUCUAUCUCUUAUCAUAUUUGCUUCCAAUCUACUUUUAUUUGCAUCUUUAUUUUUUGCAUCUAUAUAAAAUACCAAAAAUAUAUUUAUCUUAUCAUAUUAUCUCUAUCAGAUCUCACUUUCGCAAGUGGUCGUGAAGGGAUUGACAACCCCUUUAUCGCGUUGGUUGCGAGUUCUUUGUUUGUUUGUGUAGGUUCGUGGGACUUGUGAGGAGCCUCCUACUAGAUUGAUACCUUGGUUCUAAAAAACUGAGGGAAAUACUUACGCUACUAUUGUUGCAUCACCCUUUCCUCUUCAAGGAAAACCAACGCAAGCUCAAGACGUAGCAAUAACCCAGUCCCAGAGCUACCGCCAUAUUGGUGAAAAUUUAAAGGCCGUCAGUAGAUUUCCGGCUCAAAAUGAGGAUUCUGGUUCAAAAUACAGUUCAAGGGAAACUUAUUUACCAAAAAUCUUUGAAGCUCUUAAUAUCCGGUUCACAAUCCGGCUCAAGGACAAUCUAUCUCCCACAAAGUUUUGAAGCUUUCAAAUCCAGUUUAAAGUUCCGGUUCAAAAAGAAUUAAUCUCUCAGAAGUUCGAGUUCUCAGAAAAAUUGAAGGUUGCCAAAGAGAACUUGCUUCCACGAUGUGUGGUUCAAACAUGGGUAUCCUGCCUUACGGCUUAUCUUAUUAGGGUCACUUGGGGGUUUCCUGCUCAUCGAGCAUAGCUGUCGGUAACCUCUUGAUCGGCGCAAUGCCAAAACUUAUAUGGUCAUUUGGGGGAUUCAUGUUCAAACAUAGGUCGUAUUCGAACCAAUGAGAACAUAGUUGUCGGUACCCUCUUGAUCGGUGCAAUGCCAAACCCACUAGGGGGUUUCUUGAUCAUAUUCGAAUCAUAGCUUAACUCCUUUUGGGUCCGACUUUGAUCGUAUUCGAAUCAGAGUCGUUAAAAAACUCUCGAGGUCAUUUGGGGGCUUCCUGUUCAAACAUAGGUCAUAUUCGAACCAAAGAGAACAUAGCUGUUGGUACCCUCUUGAUCGGUCCAACGCCAAAGCCACUGGAGGCUACAUGAUCGUAUUCGAAUCCUAGCUUAACCCCUUUGGAAUGGUUUACUGAUCGUAUUCGAAUUAGAAGCCUCGCUUUUUCUCUGUUUGACUUAAGUUUUUUGAAAACAGUCUUUUGGGUUUUUCUUGAGACUUUUUGCUCAUAUCUGGAGCAUAUAUGUGUGGUUUCUAUUUAACCCGGCUCAACUUUGGACGAUAAGUCACCAGCAUAUGACAAUAUUAAUACUUGAAAGGUUUGGCUUCUAAGUUUUGGGUUAUCACCCUUACUGCACUAGUAUCAUAAGCCGGCAGUACGAUUCAAUAUCACAGGUAUGAUAUUGUUUAUACAUGAUUAUGUUUAAACUGGCCCUGGCUAUGGACUUUAAGUCGCCGGUCUAUUUUGGAUUGCGCCAUUCGAAUCAUGCGCUUAUCAAUCAUUGGAUUAUUGCCCUUAUUGGAUACGGCGAUGUAAGCCGGCAGUAUGAGCCAAUUUCUAUAGGUAUGUUUUCCUAAUUAUAUAAAUAUGCGAGGUUGGAUAACCCGCCCUGGCUUUUGAUGAUAAGUCACCAGUAUGUUUAGGCUUGAAUGGCCUUAAUCCUAGUCUUUUCCAUAAUUGCAUAAAGACUAUAUUAUGUUUGGGUUGUUACCCGCCCUGGCUUUGACGUUAAGUCGCCAGGGCAUAUGUCGUUUAAACUCUAUGUAGGAUUUGCAGAAAUAUGAAUUAUAUAAAUGAUUAAGUUCAAGCUCAUUAUCAAAAUUGAUUCUUCAAAAUGAUUAUUCGUUCUGGAUUUUCUCAAAGGCUAUAAGCCGUCAGGUUAUAAAAAUUCCAGCUUACAAUGGAGGCGUAUUAAAUCGCCAUCAUCCAAGAGUCGUCGGGUAUUUAAACUCUGGAUUUACAUGUCAACAGAUAAGGUAUUCAAAGUCACUUUGGCACAAUGGCUAUUAUUUUAUCAAUGGAUAUGAUUUAUUCUACAAUGGAAGGAAUAGUCCCGAGUCGCUGCAGGCUUACGACCUGGCACUUGGGGGCUACAUUAUUCAGAUUGAGAUUACAUCAAAUAUGCAAGUCCCAUGUCACUGCCAGCAUGCACCAUGGCACUUGGGGGCUAAUGCAAAGUCAUUUUUGGCUCACUUUAUUGAAGAUCCGACUCAUCACAUUAUAAUGAGCCGACCCUUGGGGAUUACCAAUUGCUCCUGUCAAAACCUCAAGGUACACAAGCCUUAAUCCAUUAUAUUGAAAGGUCCACUACUCAGUUGGUACAUACAAAGCUCUUAACCUUGUGGACGUGGGUUCAAGCCCCAUAGUGGAGAUUGCAUCAUCUGAUGUUAUUAUCAAUGAAUUAUAUACAAAAGUCCCUGCUCAUUAUUGUAUAAUGACCCGACCCUUGGGGGCUACACUGGUUGAAGUUUUUAUGAGCAUAAGGCAAUUACAAGUCCCAGGUUGCUGCAAGCAUGACAACCUGACACUUGGGGGCUACAGGUAAUAUGUAUAUGAAGGAGGAACAUCUUCAAAUUAUCAGUUUUGAGCAAAUCAGGAAGAUCAAUUGUGUGACCCGGCAUUGGCAACAAUCAUAACCCGGUGUCUAUAAUGGUCAUGACCCAGAAUCAUCAGUUUUCAUAACCAGAGGAUUUUUGAAAUCAUAAUUCAGCAAGUUCUACAAGUCGGUUGAAUAUCAGUUGUGAAUAUUACAAGACCAAUAUUUUUGUCAAGUCAGAGCAUUGAAGGCCGAUUCAAAUGGAUUCUUUAUUCAUAAUAUUUCUUCUACAAGCAAAUUUACUAUAAAGUUGGUCUAUUGACCCGGACUUUCCAGAAGGAGGAAAUGACAAGGACUAAGGAUGAUCAGGGUCAGUUUAACAUGGAUAAAUCCAAAUUAAAACUGGGGUCUAAUGUCGGGGAUAUACCCCGCGGUAUGACCCGGAUGGACUUGGCGACUCACUGGAGACCCGGCGGGCGGAUCAGACGGACGACAAGGCCCAAGGCCCAGCAGGCCGGCUUAUGUUAUGAUGGGCUGGCUUAAGAGGAAAGCGUAAAGAAUAUUCCCUUACAAUGGAAGUAAGACUAGGACUCCACUUGUAAUAGAGUAAUCUUAAUCCUAUUAGGACUAGUCAUGUAACCCGCCCCUUCAACUUAUAUAAGGAGGGGCAGCCCACCCCAAGAGGGACAGAAAAGAAAACAAUCGCUAAGGCUAGACACAACUAGAGGAGAGCCAGUUUAUACGGCGUCUCCCCCAUGAGCAUAAUGAGACCUAGCCACAAACAACAUGUAGGGCUAUUACCAGAUGAUGUUUCCCGGGGCCCGAAGCUAUCUAAACCCUUGUCUUGUGUUGCGUCUCUCGAUUCCUAUCAACCCCUCUCAAGCUACCACAUGGAUGUGUUGGCCUCGCGACUAAGUCCUCACACUAGGACAUCUGCCGUGACAAUUCCAUGACAGCUUGUCUCCACUUCCUGAGACUAGCAUCCUUUCUUUCCUUCAUAUUUUCAGCCACUAAGUGCUACCUCUUGAGCAUGCGUUGGUUUUCCCUUGAAGAGGAAAGGGUGAUGCAGUAAAGUAGCGCAAGUAUUUCCCUCAGUUUUUGAGAACCAAGGUAUCAAUCUAGUAGGAGGCCACAUGCAAAUCCCUCGUACCUGCACAAACAAAUAAGAACCUUGCAACCAACGCGAUAAAGGGGUUGUCAAUCCCUUCAUGGCCACUUGCAAAAGUGAGAUCUGAUAGAGAUAAUAAGAUAAAUAUUUUUGGUAUUUUUAUGAUAUAGAUCAGAAAGUAAAGAUUGCAAAAUAAAAUAGAUCGGAAACUUAUAUGAUGGAAAAUAGACCCGGGGGCCAUAGGUUUCACUAGUAGCUUCUCUCAAGAUAGCAUAAGUAUUACGGUGGGUGAACAAAUUACUGUCGAGCAAUUGAUAGAAAAGUGCAUAGUUGUGAGAAUAUCUAGGCAUGAUCAUGUAUAUAGGCAUCACGUCCGCAACAAGUAGACCGACUCCUGCCUGCAUCUAUUUAGGACAAAAUAUUUAUUUACAACUCAAGAAUUACAACUCAAUACUUAGGACAAAAUAUGACUCUAUGUGAAUGCUUUCGGUGGUAUACCGGGAUAUGCGAUGAAUCAAGAGCGACAUGUAUGAAAGAAUUAUAAAGGUGGCUUUGCCACAAAUACGAUGUCAACUACAUGAUCAUGCAAAAGCAAUAUGAUAAUGAUGGAGCGUGUCUUAAUAAACAGAAUAGUGGAAAGUUGCAUGGCAAUAUAUCCUGGAAUGGCUAUAUUGAGGAAGAUAUAAGUAGGUUUAUGUGUGAUAGAGCGUGUCGUAACACAGGGUUUGGAUGCACCCGCAAAGUUUGCACCAACUCUCAAGGUGAGAAAGGGCAAUGCAUGGUACCGUAGAGGCUAGCAAAUUGCGGAAGGUUAAGAGUGUGUAUAAUCCAUGGACUCACAUUAGUCAUAAAGAACUCAUAUACUUAUUGCAAAAGUUUAAUAGCCCUCGAAGCAAAGUACUACUACGCAUGCUCCUAGGGGAAGGGUUGGUAGGAUUUAACCAUCAUGUGAUCCCGACCUCCACUCAUAAGGAAGGCAAUCAAAGAACACCCCAUGCUUCAAAUUUGUCACACAAUGUUCACCAUACGUGCAUGCUACGGGACUUGCCAACUUUAACACAAGUAUUUCUCAAUUUCAUAAUUACCCAACUAGCAUGACUCUAACACUACCACCUUUAUAUCUCAAAACAAUUAUCAAGUAUCAAAUUGAUCAUAGUGUUUAAUGCACUCUAUAUGAUAGUUUUUAUUAUACCCAACUUGGAUGCCCAUCAUAUUAGGACUAAUUUUAUAACCAAAGCAAAUUACCAUGCUGUUCUAAAAGACUCUCAAAAUAAUAUAAGUGAAGCAUGAGAGAUCAAUAAUUUCUAUAAAAUAAAACCACCACCGUGCUCUAAAAAGAUAUAAGUGAAGCACUAGAGCAAAAUUAUCUAGCUCAAAAGAUAUAAGUGAAGCACAUAGAGUAUUCUAAUAAAUUCCGAUUCAUGUGUGUCUCUCCCAAAAGGUGUGUACAGCAAGGAUGAUUGUGGUAAACUAAAAAGCAAAGACUCAAAUCAUACAAGACGCUCCAAGCAAAACACAUAUCAUGUGGUGAAUAAAAAUAUAACAUCAAGUAAAGUUACCGAUGGACGAAGACGAAAGAGAGUUCCCAAAAAUAAUAUAAAAGUGCAUAGUAAAGCCCAUUAAACAUCCAAAAUAGGUAAUAUAAUAGCAUGGAACAAUCAAAAAAUAUAGAUACGUUGGAGAUGUAUCACUGGGUGACUGUCAUUGUGGUCUGGAAUCUUGGGCUUGAGCUUUCUGAGCACUUGGGCCUCAGCUUCUUCAGCAGCUUCAGGCACUGGGGCCUGUUCUUCUCUGUAGCAGGUAUGUUCCUGGUACUUCUCUUUGGAGCUUGAGCUGGAGCUUUGGGGGUUGUCUUGGGCUUUGAAGGAGCCGCCCCAGACUUGACGGCAUCCCCCAUCAGCUUGUAUGCCUUUGCAGGAGGUGCUUGAGCAGCAUCCUCUUCUUCUUCUUCACUUUCAGAAUCCUUCCUCAUUGAAGGAUUUCCAAACACUCUAGAUGUUGUAUUUCUGACCCUCUUCUUCCCUUAUUCACCUGCUUUUGGCUCAAGUGAGAAGCCAUUAUUUCCUGAGUGGAAGUUCUGGCCUUUGACAUGGGAACUCUCCUGGCAGGUGCCUUCUUGUGCAUUCCAGGCUUUGUUGAAGCAGCAGUUCCAAAUUCCUUUUUCACCACUUUAUUCUUAGAGCUAACUUCCUCCUCAGCAGCCACAUAAUCCUCAUCCUCUAAAUCUGAGGUUCUCUUCUUCCUUGUCCUUGUUGCUGCCUUGGGAAAGUUGCUUGGAGUGCUCCUGCUGCCAUCAUCUGAGCUGCUAGAGGGACUAGUGCCCUCACUCAUGCGCACUUGCUCUUCUGAUUUGUUCUGGCUAUCACUCUGGUCAGACAUUUUGCAUAGCAAACUGAGAACUGUCCCUGUGAAUAGAUGUAGAUGAGUAGAGUAGAUGAGCAUCACAAAGUGCAGAUUUUUUGCAAAAAGAAUGAGUCAAAAACUUAGUUUUAGUUUUCUACAGGAAGCAUUUCGGAGCUACCGAUUUGUAAAACUCGGUGACACCGAAGCAACUUUGGAGUCUAAACAUGUGGAAUUGGUCAGACCGAGGCACAGUUUGGCGACUCCGAGUUUGCUAGGAUUUCACAAAGUCCUGGUAUCGAUCACACCGAUUUGCAAUUUUCGGUCAGGCCGAAAAUCACUUGUGCUUUGGCCUAAGCCAAAUGGGUGGAACCGAUUCCUACAACUCGGUCGGUCCGAGAUGAGUCCGGCGGAAAUCUAACCCUAAAUUUUCAAAUCAAAUCUAGUCUAAUGGAGAUUCUCUAUGGAUGGAUCGAUCUCACACGUGGAAUAGAACAUGGCAUUGACCUUGUGUGUAGAAUCGGAAGUAAAAGAGUGCAAAAGGGGGGUCGAACUCAUACCCUAGUUCGGCGAUGAGUUUGCUACGGCGACAACAGCAACGAAAAAAUCCGUUGACGGUGGCAGAGACCAGCGGCGGGAGGUCACUGGCGACGAGGUGAUGAUCCAGAGACUCGAGAGGCAGAGCAGGACACGCGCAGGCGACAGGGUUUUGAAGUGAUUUCCAAAAUCUGGCCCGUUAGUAUUUAUAUGCUGACAUUAUCGGUGUGACCGAGUGGAACAACUCGAUGGCACCGAGACGCAAAAUUGCAAGCGGUUACUACAACUCGGUGAGACCGAAGGGUUCUAAUCAGUUGCACCAAGAUUGAAACUUGAUCAACCAAGUGAACUCGGUGUGACCGAAAUGGAGGAGUCGGUUAGACCAAAAUACACAGAGAGGUUUUGGAAGUUUUAAGUCUAUGACAAAAUCGGAACUCCGAGUGCUCCUCACACAGAGGGUUUGAAUUUGACUUAGAUCAAACUUUUUGAUGUAGCAUGAAUAGAGUUUGAGAAGAGAAAGGCAUAGAUAGCUAGAGGAAGUUCUUAGGCAUUCUUGUCCAUCCAUUUGGCAAAAAGAAGAAACUCCAAACAAACAAAGCAACAAAUGUAUAUCCUCGAAUGAGAGAAAAUAUGCAACCAACAUGCUCACACAAUAAAAUGGCAACUGAAACAUGUUGCAAAACAUGCACAAUCACUCUAGCAUCUAUCAAGUAAUUGGCGAUGACUAGGUCAUCUAUAUAUGAGUAUAUUGACUUAGGAGUCAAAUGAGAACAUUUGAUCAUAGGUCAUACUCAUUGUUUAAGCACAAGUGGGGUUACCACUUUUACCUAAAGCAUUGUUGUGUUCACACCAUUAGAGUUGCUUUAGCUUAAUUCUUAGAGUAAAGCUCCCCCUAGAUGUGAUAUUCCCCCUUAAGAGGGAUCAACUAACCUUGGGUUUUGUCGAUGAUGACUUCAUGUAGAUAUCGAAGAUGUGGAUGCUCAUUGUUGAAGUAGAUCAUUUGGAGCAAUCCAUUGGAGUGAGUUGCACUUUCAAUACCUACAUGGGUUAGUCCCACAAGGAACAAACAAGGAUAUCCAUAGACAUAGAGUGAUGCAUACACAUGAUGAUGUCCAUGAAAGCAUUAGGUUACCUUGUCACUGGUCUUACCAACAAGAGGGUUUGCGACUCCUUGAGCUAGUGCAAGAUGUAGAAGUUGUUUGCACUUGUUCUUGCCAAAAUAAUUAUGAGUGAAGUAUCUUGGCAGAGUCACCCUAAAGAACUCUCUAGUUCUUCUUAUUGGGGAUCCACAUCAUCUUGAUGGGAAUCCUUGGAGUUGUGGAUGUACUUGACAAAGUAGAACUUGAUUUUGUCUUGGGAACCCACUUGACCAAGGCCUUCGGAGCAUCUUCAAAUCCAUCAAUAUCUUCUUGAAGCUUGUCCUUGCCUUUUAGCUUGUGGUCUUGUGGUGGAAGAUCAUCUUGAGCUUGUGUCCCCUUGAAGGAAGUAGGGUCAUACUUCUCUUGUUCAGGAACAAACUUUGUCUUGGGGUAUUUAUCUUCUUCCCACUCAGCUCCAUUGGCAUUGAACUUUCGUUCAAACCAAAACCUUGAUUCUUCCGGUGCCUUCCUUGCUUGCGUACAAUUUCCUCAGAUUGCUUACUUCCGGCAAGGCUUUUGUAAACACCUUUCUCUAUAAUUCCCUUCAAUAAGUUAUUUUCUUGCUCAAGUGUAACUUGGCUAAGAGAAUCAUUAGUGGAAUCAAGAGAACUACUAGAAGCAACAAUAUUGGAUUUAACAUGAUUAUUGUUACUACUAGAAGAGGAAUCUUUCUUGUUCUUGUUGCUAGACUUUACUUGUGGCAUGUAAGUAGACCAGAGUAAACGCUUGGCAAUGUAAGAAGAACUUUUCUUCCAAAGAUCAUCAUUGAUGGCCUUUAAGAACUCAUGCUCUUGCUCAAGAUUGAGAUCUUCAAAACAUAACUUCUCACGAGUUUUUAAAAGUUCUCGAUGAUCUUCUAAAGUAGUUUCAUGAGCUGAUUUAAGAGUGUUUAGUUCUUUAGUUAGAUGCUCAAUCUUCUCCUUAUCAUUGUCAUUCGUUUUAUCAUGAUUAAUUGAUGUUUCAUCAUAGUAUUCAUCACUAGAGUUGUCAACAAGUAAAUCAUCAUCACCUAGCAAGUCAUCUUCAUCACUAUUGAAAUCAACAUACUCGGGGUGUUUUACCUUGGGGCCUUUAGCCAUGAAGCAUCUCCCAAUACCUUCAUUUGGUGAGUCAAAUAUGUCGUAGGAGUUGGUUGACACAAGUGCUAGACCGGCAACACCUUCAUCUUGAGUAUAUUCAGAGUCGGAGUGAUAACUUCUCUCGGAGUGGUGGUCAGAGUCGAAGCCGGAUACCCAUUCACCAACAUGAGCUUGAUGUCUUCAUUUUGUGUAGCUCCUUGAUGACUUGUCCUUCCUUUCUGAAUCCUUGCUUCUUUGAGAGGUUCUUCGUUCAUAACGAUCAUCUCUACUCCUCUCUCUUGGAGGUGAUUCUUCCCUUUUGCUUCUUCUUUUAGGUGAGUCUUCUCUUCUUUUAUAGGGAGCCGUACACUCAUUGGAAUAGUGUCCGGGUUUUCCACAAUUGUAGCAGUUUCACUCACGACUAGAAGAUCUUUUGUCAUUGUAGGACCUUGACUUGGAACUUCUUUCAUUGCUUCUACUCUUGUAGAAUUUGUUGAAGUUCUUCACCAUUAAGAUCAGUUCUUCAUUGAAGGCUUGUUUCUCACUUGAUGAUGUAGGAGCAUCACAUGAGGCUUUAUAAGCACCACUAGACUUGUUGUGAAGCUCUUCUUUGUCCUUGAGUGACAUCUCAUGAGCAACAAUUCUUCCAAUGACUUCAGUUGGCUUGAGAUCUUUGUAAUUUGGCAUCAUUGGAUCAAUGUGCACAGGGUGUCAUAUUUUCCAUCCAAGGCUCUCAAGAUCUUUUUGAUGAUGAAUUUGUCGGUCAUCUCUUCACUUCCUAAGCCGCAAUCUCAUUUGUGAUGAGAGCAAGCCUAGAGUACAUUUCAGCGACACCUUCACCAUCCUUCAUUUUGAACUUGUCAAGUUGACUUUGAAGCACAUCCAACUUGGAUUCCUUGACGGAAUCGGUACCUUCGUGCAUAUCAAUUAAAGUAUCCCAAAUUUCCUUUGCAUUCUCAAACGGCUGAUUUUGUUGAAUUCUUCGGGGCACAAUUCAUUGAAGAGGAUAUCGCAAACUUGAGCAUUGUAUUGCAACAUCUUCAAUUCUUCCGCGGUAGCUUCACGGUUUGGUUCUCUUGCAUCAAAGAAUUCACCUUGCAAGCCAAUACACAGAAUAGCCCAAACGGCGGGAUUAUGUCCAAGAAUAUGCAUUUUCAUCUUAUGUUUCCAACUAGCAAAAUUAGUACCAUCAAAGUAAGGACCUCUACGGUGGUAAUUUCCCUCGCUAGACACCAUACUCUCCUAGGUUGUGAAACCAAGGCUAUGAUCACCAAAGCUAUGGAAAUCAAGGCAAAUGGAGACCAAAACUCUGAUACCACUUGUAGGACCGAAAUUAUGUCUAGAGGGGGGGUGAUUAGACUACUUGACCAAAUAAAAGCUUAACCUUUUCCCAAUUUUAGUUCUUGGCAAAUUUUAGCAACUUAGCAUAGGUCAAGCAAUCACAAUACAAUUCAAGCAAGCAUGCAAAGAGUAUAUGAGCAGCGGAAAGUAAAGCAUGCAACUUGCAAGAAAGUAAAGGGAUGGGAUUGGAGUGUGCAAACACAAUUGGAGACACGGAUGUUUUUGGCGUGGUUAUGAUAGGUGGUGCUAUCGUACAUCCACGUUGAUGGAGACUUUGACCCACGGAGGGUAACGGUUGCGCGAGUCCACGGAGGGCUCCGCCCACGAAGGGUCCACAAAGAAGCAACCUUGUAUAUCCCAUCAUGGCCAUCUCCCACGAAGGACUUGCCUCACUAGGGUAGAUCUUCAUGAAGUAGGCGAACUUCUUGCCCUUACAAACUCCUUGGUUCAACUCCACAAUCUUGACAGAGGCUCCCAAGUGACACCUAACCAAUCUAGGAGACACCACUCUCCAAAAGGUAAUAGAUGGUGUGUUGUUGAUGAACUCCUUGCUCUUGUGCUUCAAAUGAUAGUCUCCCCAACACUCAACUCUCUCUCACACAGUUUUGCCUAUGGUGGAAAGAUGAUUUGAGUGGAAAGAAACUUGGGGAAGGCUAGAGAUCAAGAUUCAUAUGGUAGGACUGGAAUAUCUUGGCCUCAACACAUGAGUAGGUGGUUCUCUCUCAGAAAAUGUGUAGUGGAAGUGUAGGUUUAUUCUGAUGGCUCUCUCCACGAAUGAAGAGUGGGUGGAGGGGUAUAUAUAGCCUCCACACUAAAUCUAACUGUUACACACAAAUUCCCAAACUCGGUGGGACCGAAUCAGCAAACUCGGUCAGACCGAUUUAGUUCAAAAUGUGAAUGUUAGGAUUUUCGGUGGGACCGAUAUAGUCAUCUCGGUGGUACCUAUAUGUUAGGGUUAGGGCAUAACGUAAUCUCGAUGUGACCGAUCGCAUAAACUCGGUGGGCCUGAUUUCAGCAAUAGGUACAUAAAGGGUUAGUCAGGCAAACUCGGUGGGACCGAAGUGUUACGAAAAGGAAAUAGGGAAUUUGCAAUGCAGACUCGGUGGGACCGAUUUGCUCUUUCGAUGAGACCGAAAAGUUAUAAAAAGGAAACAGAGAGUUUGCAAUCCAUUCUUAGUGAGACCAAAGUAACUAGGGUUGCGGCAGUGGCUAUGUCAAGUGAAACUCGGUGGCGCCGAAUAGAUCAAAUCGGUGGGGCCAAAUUUGAGUUUUGGGUUUGGGACAUAUGUUGAUGUGAGAAAGUGGUUGAGGGUUUUGGAGCACAUCACAAAGCAUUUUGAGCAAGUAACCCAUUAAGCAACACCUCAUCCCCUUUUAAUAGUAUUGGUUUUCCUAUGGACUCAAUGUGAUCUUGGAUCACUAAAAUAAAAAUGUAGAGUCUUGAGCUUGUUGCCAAUAUAUGUCCUUUGCAUUUUGAGGGGUCCACAUCUCUAGACCAUGCCAUGCCAAACAUUGAACUUUCUGAAAUGAUUAUCUUGAAAUAGCAUUAGUUCAAUGAACUAUAUGUUGUUAAGAAUUACCAAAACCACCUAGGGAUUAGUUGCACUUUCAAUCUCCCCCUUUUUGGUAAUUGAUGACAACAUAUAGAUCAAAGCUUCGAUAAAUGAUAAUAAGAAUGAAGUACAUUGUCGCUUUUAGAAGUAUGUGAUAAGUAAGAGCUCCCCCCUAAAUUUGUGCAUUGUUAAAAUUUGCUCUAGACUGCAAAUGCACAAUCUGUUAGGGUCAUGGGUUACUCUUCCAUGUCAAAUACAUCUUGGUGGAGUGCUCAAAAUAAGAAUAUUAGGGCCUAAGGGAAUGCAUUGUGGAGUAGUUAUUAGAUGAUGGGUUGCAAUAGUGACAGAAGCUUAAACCCUAGUUUUAUGCGCUACUUCGUAAGGGAUUGAUUUGGAUCCAAAAGUUUAAUGUUAUGGUUAGAUUUUAUCUUAAUACUUAUCUCGUAGUUGUGGAUGCUUGCGAGGGGGUUAAUCAUAAGUAGGAGGUUUGUUCAAGUAAGAACAUCACCUAAGCACCGGUCCACCCAUAUAUCAAAUUAUCAAAGUAGUGAACACGAAUCAAACCAACAUGAUGAAAGUGACUAGAUGAAAUUCCUGUGUACCCUCAAGAACGUUUUGCUUAUCAUAAGAGACUGUUUUGGCCUGUCCUUUGCCUCAAAAGGAUUGGGCUACCUUGCUGUACUUUUGUUACCGUUAUUGUUACUUGCUCGUUACAAAUUAUCUUGCUAUCAAACUACUCAUUACUUAUAACUUCAGUGCUUGCAGAGAAUACCUUGCUGAAAGCCGCUUAUCAUUUCCUUCUGCUCCUCAUUGGGUUUGACACUCUUACUUAUCGAAAGGACUACGAUUGAUCCCCUAUACUUGUGGGUCAUCAAGGCUCUUUUCUGGCGCCGUUGCCGGGGAGUGAAGCGCUCUUGGUAAGUGGAAAUCAGCAAGGAAAAAUUAUUACUACAUGCUGAAAUUUAUUGUCACUUGUUACUAUGGAGAACAAUCCUUUGAGGGGUUUGUUCGGGGUAUCUUCACCUUGACCGAAACCACAAUUAGUUGCCCCUCAACCUACUGCACCUACUGAAAAUAUUGGUUAUGAAAUUCCUUCGGGUAUGAUAGAACAACUGUUAGCUAAUCCUUACGCAGAGAAUACCUUGCUGAAAACCGCUUGUCAUUUCCUUCUACUCCUCAUUGGGUUUGACACUCUUAUCGAAAGACUACGAUUGAUCCACUAUACUUGUGGGUCAUCAAUGGAAAAGACCCAUCUGUUAGCUUAGCAUAUUGAUCGUUAAGUUCAUUGCUAUUGCUUUCUUAAUGUCAAAUACAUAUUCCUUCAACUAUGAGAUUAUGCAACUCCCGGAUACUUCGAGUAUCGAGAGGUAUCUCUUCGAGUUGGCAUAGACCGAGAUUAGGAUUUGUCACUUCGAGUAUCGGAGAGGUAUCUCUGGGCCCUCUCGGUGAUACACAUCAUAAGAAGCCUUGUAAGCAUAGUGACUAAGAAGUUAGUUGCAAGAUGCCGUAUUAUGGAACGAGUAAAGAGACUUGCCGGUAAUGAGAUUGAACUAGGUAUGAAGAUACCAAUGAUCGAAUCUCGGGCAAGUAACAUAUCGAUAGACAAAGGGGAUUACAUAUGUUGCCAUAAGGUUUGACUGAUAAAGAUCUUCGUAGAAUAUGUAAGAUCCAAUAUGAGCAUUUAGGUUCUGCUAUUGGUUAUUGACCGGAGAGGUGUCUCAGUCAUGUCUACAUAGUUCUUGAACCCUAGGAUCCGCACACUUAAUGUUCAUUGACGAUAUAGUGUUAUAUGAGUUACAUGAUUUGGUGACGGAAUGUUGUUCGGAGUCCCGGAUGAGAUCACGGACAUGACAAGGAGCUCCGAAAUGGUCCGGAUGUAAAGAUUGAUAUAUAAGACGAUGAUAUUUGGACACCGAAAGAGUUUCGAGAUGUACCAGGUAGAAAUUGGGUUAUCGGAAGGGGUUCCGGACACCCCGGGAGGUUAGUGGGCCAUGUGGGCCAAAGGGGGGGGGGUCACACCGGCCCACAAGGGGCUAGCGCGUCCCUUCUAGGCCGCAGCCCUUGGCGAGAGAAGGACAGGGGGGAGUCGGCCUCCCCUUUCCUUUCCUCUCCCCCUUUCCUUUCCCCUCCGGCAAAUAUGGUAAGGGGGCGCCACUAGGGAAGGACCCCAAAUAGGAUCCGACCUACUUGGGGCGCCUCCUUGGCUGCUCCUCCCUCUCCCCCCACCUAUAUAUAUGUGGGAGGGGGCACCACAAAAACCCACGACAAUUGCUUAGCCGUGUGCGCCCCCCUCCACAGUUUCGUCCCUCGGUUAUAUUUUCGUAGUGCUUAGGCGAAGCCCUGCGGAGAUAGCUUCACCAUCAUCGUCAUCAUGUUGUUGUGUUGCCGGAACUCAUCCACUACUUCGCCGUCUUGGUGGAUCAAGAAGGCGAGGACGUCACCGAGCUGAACGUGUGCUGAACGCGGAGGUAUCGUACGUUUGGUACUCGUUUGGUCGGAAGUUAGACUACAUCAACCGCGUUACUAAACGCUUCCGCUUACGGUCUACGGUGGUACGUGGACACACUCUCCCCUUUCGUUGCUAUGCAUCUUCAUGGAUAGAUCUUGCGUGUGCGUGUAAUUUUUUUUGUUUUCCAUGCAACGUUUUCUAACAUUUUUUAUCAUAUGACAACUGGUCAAUUCCAAUGUAGAGAAUUACCAUCCAAACAAGCUUCAGAAUUGAGCAUGUCAUUAGAAUUCCAAGUGGCAAUUCUGUGCGCAUCCAAACAGCAGAAUUUGGGUUCAAUGUCAAUAUCAAAGUAAGGGAGAUUUGAUAUUGGGGCCAAUUCAAUUCCAUGGCCCCGGGUAUCAACAUCCAAACAAAGCGUUAUGGUUUUCAUCAGGUUUUUCGGUUUCUAAUGAUUGUUUUCUCCUUCCUGUGUUUUUCUUUAUGUUUUUGUUAUUAUAUUUUUUUGUGUUUUAUACACUUUCCCCUCUUCCUUAUUUUGGUUUUCUGUAUUGAUUUUGUUUCUUUUGGAUUGUGUUCCAGGUUUCUUCACCGGUUUCUUAGGGUUUAUACAUGAUUAACAUUUUAUCUAAAUACAUAUAUUAACAUUUUUAAUACAUGUUAAACAUAUUUCAAGUAUAGGUUGGACCUUUUAAAACUAUGAGAACAUUUUUGUAGAUUGCAUAUAAUUUUUUGAAAAAAGUCAUGAACAGUUUUUUAAUGUAACGUACAUUUUUUUGAAUCAUGCAAACAUUUUUUACAUUGUAUAAUUUUUUAAGAAAAUGUCACACACACACACACACACACACACACACACAUAUGAAAUCUAGCGAACAUUUUUCAAAUGUCACAAACAUUGUUUUAACUCUAUCAACAAUUUUGAAAACUCUUAACAAUUUUUGUACAUUUCGUUAGCAUUUUUCAAAUUUUUUUAUUCUUAUUUUGGAAUAUAGGUGUUUUAAAUUUCUUUGAAAUAUGAUCAAAAGAAAAAACCAAAAAAUGAAUGAAGUAAAUUUGGGCCGGCCCAACUGGACACUAUGAUCCAACUCACGUUGGGCGAUAUGUAGACGUGCAUCGAAGUAUCUGAGCUACUUGUACUUGGGUAGUGUCCGAAAUGCCAGGCAUGGCUCGUUGACUUUCAAAGGGGUCAUUUUAGUGUUUUCUCUAAACACUAUGUUUGGACUAAGGUUGUUCCAGUUUUUCAAUUAAAAUAAGUUGUUAUAGUUACGCUAAAUAAAAGUUGUUUCAUUUUUGUGUUCACUCCACCACUUCUCUUCAGGCAUUGCUUGAUUGAGGUUGCAUAUUUAGUUAGCAUAGCACAAUGUGUCUCCGUCAAUAAUUGUCAAUAAGAUUAGUCAAGCACCACCUGAUUUGGUUGUUUAUUUACAUAGUUCUAUAAGUGCAUGUGUUAACAAUCUAUAUACCUACGUAAUGUUUUUUUCAUCGGUGUGUUGUCUUCAAUUAUGUUGUCUUACCAUCACUAUUUCAUCUACGAUGACGAGGCAUUUGUUUCCCGUCAAUACCAAUGCUCUAAAAUAAUCAUGUUUCCUACAAUCAUCCUGGAAUUGCAUACUUAUGGUCAAAUUGAAUAGGUUUUCAUUGAGUUUUUUUAAAAUAAAAUCCAUGUGUUUANNNNNNNNNNNNNNNNNNNNNNNNNNNNNNNNNNNNNNNNNNNNNNNNNNNNNNNNNNNNNNNNNNNNNNNNNNNNNNNNNNNNNNNNNNNNNNNNNNNNNNNNNNNNNNNNNNNNNNNNNNNNNNNNNNNNNNNNNNNNNNNNNNNNNNNNNNNNNNNNNNNNNNNNNNNNNNNNNNNNNNNNNNNNNNNNNNNNNNNNNNNNNNNNNNNNNNNNNNNNNNNNNNNNNNNNNNNNNNNNNNNNNNNNNNNNNNNNNNNNNNNNNNNNNNNNNNNNNNNNNNNNNNNNNNNNNNNNNNNNNNNNNNNNNNNNNNNNNNACCCUAUAUUUUUAGAAACGACUAGGGGCCCAUUUUGAACAAAUGAAUUUAGGGGGAAUUUCGUAGGAAGGAAAGUACAUGGAAAAAUUUCCUAUGACGUACUCUGUGUUGUUGGACUACCUGUGGAAAGUUGUACAAGACUCUUUCCUUUCCUUCACAUUUUGGAAGAAUGUAAACAUUUGCUCAAACAUCUUUUCACACCUUUAAGUGCACGUCUUAUUAAUCCAUGUAAUUACUUAAUGUUUUUCAUGAGUGUUUGUCUGCAAUUAUGAUACCUUAUAAAAUAGCACCACAACUUGUAUGAUGACGAUGCAUUCAUUUCCGGCCAAUGUCAAUGCUCUACAAAAAAGUGACCCUCACAAGAAACUAUGGCUUGACAAUAAUCAUGCUUCCUGCAAUUAUCCCUAGAAUUGCAUAAUUAUGGUCAAAAUGAAAUAGGCUUUCACCGAGUUUUCUUAAAUAAAUUCCAUGUGUUCACCGUCCAAACGCUCUAAAAGCUAUAUGUUUGCAUAGUCAUGUUGUAAAAGGUUGGUGGUUUCAUUAACGAAAAUGUGUAUGUGUGGGGGUGGGGUGGGGUGAUAUAUAAAUAUGUCUAGUCCCCAUCUGGGAUAAAUGAAUUUAAGAGAAUUUUCAUAGGAAUGAAAUUACAUGAAUUUUUUCCUACUAUGUCCUCUGGGUCGUAGGACUACAUUUGAAAAAUUCUACAAGAAUAUUUCCUUCCCUUCGCACAUUGGAAUAUUCUAAACAUAUGCACAAACUUUAUGUUUUCACAUCUUUAAGUGCAUGUCUUAACAAUCCACAUGACUACGUAAUGUUUUUUUCAUUGGUGUUUGUGUGCAAUUAUGCUAUCUUAUAAAAUAGGAGCACGAGUUCAACUAUGAUGACAAGGCAUUCAUUUCCGGCCAAUAUCAAUGCUCUGCAUAAAAGUGACUCUCACAAGAAGCAAUGGCUUGACGAUAAUCACGUUUCCUACAAUCAUCCCUAGAAUUGCAUACUUAUGGUCAUACUGAAUGUUUUUUCGUUGAGUUUUCUAAAAUAAAAUACAUGUGUUUAGCAUCCAAAUGCUCUAAAAGCUACAUGUUUGUAUAGUCAUGCUAUAAAACUAGAUCAUCGAUGGCGCGCGUUGCUGCGCCCGUCUUUUUUAACACUGAAUGUUAAAGUAUAGAUGCAACAAUGUGUAGGCAUCUUGUUUCAAAGUUAACUAUAUGUAAUUAUGUACAAAAUUAUUUUACCUGAAAAUUAAAGCAGUUGUAGUAUAUACUAUACAGGAUUUUGAUUUUUUUUGUGCAUUUGUAGCAUAAGAUGGUCAUUAUAAUAGACCAAAGGCCAUUUGCAGGAGGCUAGUAUUUUUUUUGUCAAAAUCAUGCAUGUCAAGAUCUUCUUAGUGUUUAGGCCUACCAAAUUUUGACUUGGAUGGCUUUAUGCAAACAAAAAGAUGACAGAACAUCAGAACUGAUUUGCAAUGCGCAAUGGAGACGCCUAUAUUCAGUUCAAAAAAUAAAAAAACAUUGACAUUAACAAAGAAGCUGACGUGCAAACAAAAAACAAAGAAACUACAAACCAUUACUGUGCAAAAUGUUCAUGUACACGGUAACUAAAGACUGCUGGCUAUUGGCGAGUGUUGAGAGGGUCUUCUCAUUGAUGAAGUUCAUUGGGUGGGUAUUGAACGCUGCCUCCUGCGGGGCGCCCACCAGCCUGACCACGCCUCACCCCUGCACUUAGACUUCAUGACUCAGUUUAAAGCAGAAGACACAUCAAUGCUCACAAUGAUCAAAUUACAAGUGUACAGAGAACAUACAUCAUGAACGCAUUCAAAGGCAGAUAUCAUGGCGUGGAUGUAGCAAGUACAAUCCACGGCUCUGUUGCCUCCACUGUUUGUCAUCUCGACAAGCACCAGGAGCAAAUUCAAUUGCGAGCAUUUGAUACAAUCUUGCAUCACAUUAACAAAUUAAGGGAUUAAUGUAUCCUUAGGCAGAGAACUUAACAUAACUAUUGCUUGAAAUGUGAUCCUUUGGGUUUACAAAAACGGUGCAGCCAAAUUUCUUAGCUGGCUUUUUUUUUGCUGAAGUUCAGUGUGUGUCCAUUAACAUUUACCAGAAAUCAUUCUUUUUUCUUUCUGAAGAUAACAAUAGACUGUAACGUGUACAUAUUUUGCAGGGUUCAAGUCCACCCUGAUAAUACUUGAUGCCCUAGCCAUCGUGGCCACUUCCAUAGCCUGAUCAUGUGAAAAGAACAUAAAAGUGAUGGUCAUAGGGAAUAGUUCUUCUAAACCUGCAAUAGUAUAUUGUGUAAUAUAAAAUAGAGAGAAUUCCUUAUUUGGCCCUUUCUUAAAAUUUGCUUCCUUAUUUGGCUCAAAAUAAUUUUUCUUCCCUAUUUGACACCUAAAUUAAUUUUUGUACCUUAUAUGACACUUUCGUUCAUUUUAGACACUAAUAGUGUUAAAUGUGUGGUGAAAAGACCAUUUUGCCCCUAAUGCAUUUUUAACUGUCGAGGAUGAAGUAAAAGAGCAAUCAAUUCACCCAUGUUUUAGGUAUGUUCAAAGGAUGCUGCAUAUGUAUAUGUAUGCUCCAAUAUUUUGUCUUAGGUAAUCUGGUAUGUGCGUUCGUCCUGAAGUAGGUUACACGUUCCAAACACAGUCACAUACUACUACUAAAUCCUAUAUAGGCUAGUUAUAUACUGCUAGUAUAUAGAUAUGAUAACUUGUAUACCGUGACAAAAAGACAAUGAAGAGAUUAAUGAGAGCGACACGCUUCUGUGGCCAUGCCCGUUGAGGAGGGGGUGCGAGCUGUGCAAAGGGGCCCCGAUCGGAGGAAAAUCACGAAACAACCAUUCCGUUUAAUUCGCUGGCUGGCUGGCUCGAUCUUAAAAAGCAGCAGGAUGUGCGUGCAGCCCCAGUCAAAGCCAACAAGCUCACAGUCGGUCUGCUACCAAUUUCCUACUUCCCUUUCGGCCUGGCUUGUAGAACAUCCAAAUCCAAAUAGAAAAACAAGGCUACAGCCGAGUGUGCGAUUUGUACUUAGUACGUGCAAGGGUCCAAAUGCAUCUGGUGCAAAUCGAUCCAGCUGUUCGUACUAGCACGCGAGUCUCCCGACGGCCGGAAAGUAAUCAGCCGCGGCUAGCUCGUAGUGCAUCUCGCCGGAAAGUACUCGGCUGUAUUACAGGCUACAGCUAGUACAAGUUCUACGGGUCUAUUGUAUGGCUUUUACACGCACAUAUCAAUUUACAUAAGAAACAAAAUAUUGGAGCAUACAUAUGCAUGCGCAGUAUCUGUUGAACAUCCCUAAAACACGGGGAAACCGAUUGCUUUUUAACUACAUCCAAGAUUUUACACAAUGCACUAAGGGUAAAAUGGUCUUUUCACAUCACACUUAACCUGAUUAGUGCCUAAAAUGGAUAAAAAUGUCAUAUAAGGAAUUAAAAUUAUUUUAGGUGUCAAAUAGGAAAGAAAAAUUUAUUUUGGGCCAAAUAGGGAAUCAAAAUUUAAGAAAGGACCAAAUAAGAAAUUCUCUCUAUAAAAUAUCACAUGUCACAUACAACAAGGCUUACAACUCCAAGGCCAAAAAUCAACACCGUUGAACCCUUUGGUUUCACAAGGCAUUCUGAAUCUGAAUAUGGUGUCUCAUUGAGAAAUAACGGCAUUAGAACAAUAACUGAAGGUUGAGGUCCGGACGAAGACGAAUAUUGGUUCCUGCUGAUGGUGAAGUGGGAUGGCACAUAGUCGAUCAGCAUACCCUGGUUGACAUUGAUCCUGAGGAGGUCACAGAGGUUACAUCGAGCACACUCCUUGCACUAGCCAGUUUACAUUGGCAGGAAUGGUACCGCCUUCUCCGACGCUCUCAACAAUGUUGUGAGGGAAACGUAAUUGGGGAAAGACUCCCGUUUAAAAUAUGUAAGUGUAACGACUAACACAUUAUUAAAUGAAAUGGCACUACUAUAGAGUGAAUUGACAGCAGUAAUGAAAAUAUGUCACUCCAAAUAAUCCAUAAAAUAUGUAGUUAUGUGCAUGUGUUUUCUUGAAGAAUUACUAAUAAGCUAAAGAGUAUGAAACAGAGCAUCCAUAUUUUAUUGAUAUGGGAUAGAAACAACAUAUGAAGAAUCAUGGGACAGCUUCAUAUCACAAGCUUUCUAGAAGUGCUUUGCUUUGUAAAAUAUAAUUAUGUUACUCUAAUUAGGUUUUUUCAUAUUUUGCUGCAGGACUCUAUGUCCUGACCUCAUGAUCCCACUGAAUGAAUAAACUUGCAACAUUUAUCGGUAUAUAUUAAUAAUUAUAAAGUUCACCAAUUAACAUAUGGCCAAGCCAGACAAAAACACCAUGGAUGGCAAAGAACCAAUUUGACAAACACCUGACCUUCAAUAAUCAACAAAGAUGUAUAUCUUUCUAAAGAUCUAGCCAUGCCAAAACUAAAGUAGAGAGUUACACAGAAGCAUCACCAAACGGGCACACGGUAGAAAUUGCAUUAAAGAAAAAUCACAAUGAAGGUAAAAAUGUGAAUAGAGGGAAACCUUAGCCGAGAACCAUACCGCUGGAGGAUUUGCUGCAAGAGUAAGAAUGGCGAGGCAAUUGUAUCCAGCCAGUGGCAUCAUGCAAUGGCCCUGAUUGUGUACAAAUUUCAUGUUUUCUGUAUUUAACACAGGCAACAUGAUUUUCCCCUGGAUGUCGCUUGUGUAAUUAGGAAAGAAAUUAUCCACAGGAUUGUUCGGCUUUGCUCGUUUAUGGAUAGAAGAAGCAGAAGAUAUUUGGCUUUCCCUCCCUCUAUGACAUCAUGGCUACGUUUUUGGAACAUUCUAAUACACUGUUUUAAAUAACCUGUUCCAUAUUAGCACCAUGGCAUGAGUAACACAGGAACAUACAAUCUAAGCAAUAGUGUGGCAUAAGAAUAUGGAUGGUAAGACACGAAAGGAUAGUAAUUACCUGUCAAGCCAUUGGUGAUUAUGAGCAGCCGAACUAAGAAAAUGCCAGUACCAAUGUCCAACCAAAUCAGUCGACUACAACCUGCAUGAACAUCACCUGUAUGUAAUAUUAUUAUUUUGGAAUAACAGGACAUCAGGAUAAGGUAAUUGCUUGGUGGGAGAAAGAUCACACAUUAACUGACAAGAAAUACAGGGAAGCCUAUCGAGCACCAUGCUGAAGGAUGGUCUGCUGCCGGAGCGGAAAGGGUGUGAGUGAAGACUGCUAAUGAGAGGCAGCAUAUAUACACGCACCUCUAGCCCAAAGCAGGGGAAAGGACGGAACAUUACCAACCAUGAAUGUGUGAAGAGAAACUGAAGAAUGAUUGCGCCUUCAAACCUUGGUGGAGCAGUUUCGAUCAAACGAAGCGCCGGCCUGAAUCGUCCGCGUGUGUCAGCUGGAUCGAGCAAUCCCCGCAUCACCCGCGGCGACCAGAUUCCCGCAUCGCUCGCGGCGGCUGGAUCGAGCAGCCAUUCCCUUGCGCGAUCCCCGCAUCUGUCGGGACGGUAGGAUCGAGCCAUUCCCUCGGCUGUCCCUCGUCUCUUCGCCCGAUUUAGUUCAAUCCCCUUGGUCUUUGCCUAAUGGGCCGACACAAAAGGCCCAGUAAACGACAGUAGUCAGAUUUUUCUGCUGGAGUAGCUGCCCUUUAGGACAGUUGGGCCGCGAAUUUGAACGUGCGGUGGAGUUCGUAAUAAGCAUUAGAUCCGAUGGCCAGAAACGCCUCUAUCACUAAAACGGACGGUCAGAUUUGAAGAGGACGUGAGAGGGCUGGGAUUUGGCUCAGUUAUACUGUCCUAAAUAAAUAAAUGUUGGUAGUUUCAUUAAAUAAAAUGGGAGGGGGGGUCCCUAUAUUAUCAAAAACGGCUAGUCCCCAUUUGGGAUAAAUGAAUUUAAGACGAUUUUCAUAGGAAUGAGAUUACAUGGAAAUUUUCCCCAUGACGCCCUCUGGGUUGUAGGACUACCUUUGAAAAUUGUACAAGAAUCUUUCCUUUCCUUCGCGUUUUGGAAGAUUAUAAACAUUUGCUCAAAAUUAUGUUGUCACAUCUUGAAGUGCACGUCUUAACAAUCCACAUGACCACAUAAUGUUUUGUUCAUCAAUGUUUGUAUGCAAUUAUGCUAUCUUAAGGAAUGGUACCACGACUUCAACUACAAUGACGAGGCAUUCAUUUCCCGUCAAUAUCAAUGCUCUGCAUAAAUGUGGCUCGCAAGAAACAAUGGGUUGACGAUAAUAAUGUUUCCUACAAUCACCCCUGGAAUUGCAGAUUUUAUGGGAAAACUGAAUAGGUGUUCACUAAGUUUUUUGUUUUAGAAAAAAUCCAUGUGUUUAGUGUCCAGAUGCUCUAAAAGCUACAUGUUCGUAUAGUCAUGGAAAAUUUUCCUAUGUCAUCCUCUGGGUUGUAGUGCCACCUUUGAAAAGUCGUACAAUUUUUUCCUUCAUUUUACAUUUUGAAAGAUUCUAAACAUCACUCAAACUUUAUAUUUUCACACCUCUUUACAUUUUGAAAGUACAAUGUAUCAUGUGUCUUUAUCUCUCCUCUUCUCUGUCCUAAAAAACAAUCUACAAAAUUCCCGUGGAUCCCAUGGAGCAUCCAAACAACCAUGUUUAUACCAUUCAUGCAUUUUAGAUUAUUUUAGCAAUGUACUUCAUCCGUCCCCAUAAUAUAAGAAUAUUUUUCAAACUAUGUUAUGGGGGAGUACAAGACAUGACAUCAAAUUCCUGCAAUCUGUUCUAUUUCAACAUUUGUUUCCUGUCCUGUGUUUCAAUUUUCAAUUAGUCCUGGUCUCCCAGAAACCUCAGAAACGCAAAUAGGUCCUUUUCCCCACAGAAAGGCCCGGACGGCACAGGGAGCGAAAGGAAAACUGCCCGAGCUAGGGUUUUAUCCCACACACGGGCCAGCCCGUAUAAGUAGUCCCGUCCCCAACCCGUCGCGACCUCUCCCGCCGCCACCACCCGUGCCUCCUCUUCCCCUUCGCUCUCUCGCGCACGGGGCUCGCGUCCGAAACCCUAACCUCCCACCAUGGCGGCUGAAGGCGGUGGCGUCCGGGCGCUGUCCCAGCGCGAGCAGGACAUCCAGAUGAUGCUCGCCGCCGACGUCCACCUCGGCACCAAGAACUGCGACUUCCAGAUGGAGCGCUACGUCUACAAGCGCCGCACUGACGGUACCUAACGAAUCCUUUUGCACUGGUAGCGAGCGCCGUCUUAGAAAUCGUAGAUCCGUCCUUCCUGUUGAUUUCGCUCGGCGCACGAGAAAGCUGCUGUUAAAUCCAACUCUAUUUGGAUCUAGGCAUGUGCAUAUGGUUGCUAGGUUGUGUCACAGCGCUUACUUGUUUAAUUAUGGACGCGCGCGAUGGAAUGAUUUGUUGAAUCAUAUGAACAUGCUGUGCGAAAUUAUUUCUUAGUAGCCUCUCAUCGAUGCUGCUGAUUCGUUCAGUUUGUAGCCGCAUAAUGUCUGUUGAAUCUUAUGUAACAUGAUGAUUUAGUGGGUACUAGAAUCUGUUGUGUCGAUGUGAUCCUGCCACUGUCAGUUGUGAUCACAAUUUGUGCACAAUGGAGUCUGGAAUCACUGUAUUUUCAAAUGGUGUCAUUUAACAUGCUGUAAUCCAUGUGGUUAACUUAGUCAAGUGGUGCCAACUGCUUUAGUGCAGGGUAAGCAGUUUCUUUCAUCACUUUACCUUGAUGAACUGUAAGUGAGCAAGGUUGCCUUUUUGUGCUUCUUUUCAGGCAUUUACAUCAUCAACCUUGGCAAGACCUGGGAGAAGCUUCAGAUGGCCGCACGGGUCAUUGUUGCGAUUGAAAACCCUCAGGACAUCAUUGUGCAAUCUGCUAGGCCCUAUGGACAGAGGGCUGUCCUCAAGUUUGCCCAGUACACUGGUGCUAACGCCAUUGCUGGCAGGCACACUCCUGGUACAUUCACCAACCAGAUGCAGACUUCAUUCAGUGAGCCACGCCUUCUUAUCCUGACCGACCCCAGGACUGAUCACCAGGUACACUUCUAUUUCUUUUUACUGGAUUAUGUUCUGUUAGUCAAAUGGGGCCAUUUAUGAAUCAUUUUGUUCGAUUGUAUACAGCCUAUCAAGGAGUCUGCACUUGGAAACAUCCCCACCAUUGCCUUCUGCGACACUGACUCUCCUAUGCGUUACGUUGAUAUUGGCAUUCCUGCUAACAACAAGGGGAAGCAGAGCAUUGGUUGCCUAUUUUGGCUGCUCGCCAGGAUGGUUCUGCAGAUGCGUGGUACCAUUCUCCCAGGACACAAGUGGGAAAUCAUGGUUAGCUUUCACAUACGAAGCAGUCUGCUUGUCAUUGUUUGGUUAUGGAACUAAUACAAUAUUUUCUUCAUCUAAUUGUUCCUGAAUGCUGUUUUCCCUUUUGUAGGUUGAUCUGUUCUUCUACAGGGACCCAGAGGAAGCUAAGGAGCUUGAGGAAGAUGAAGCUUUGGGUGCUCCUGAGUACGCUGCAGUUGCAGAGUACACUGCCCCAGCAGGGGAUACCUGGGGUGCUGAAUGGCCAGGAGCUGCAGCUCCAGCUGCUGCCGCCGAAGCCCCGGCUGGGGCCGAGUGGACUGGUGCUCCAGGUUUGAAUGAAGAUUCUUAUUUUGUAAUUGCAUAAUUAGAUUGGAACUUUAUGAACAACCUCUAGUCUCAGUUUCAGCCCACAUUUGAGAUCAACCUGCCGUCCUAGUUUAUUCUAGUAUAAUUUUAUCUCUAUAUGGUCUUUCCUUGAUCUGGGGAUAGUAAGUUUUCAAGUUUGUUCACAUUGAAUUCAUACCCCAUUUCUUAUCCUACCCUUUUACCAGAUGCCAUUUGCUAUUCUGUCCUUUCUUUUUCUGUCUCUGCCUAUCAGUUUGACUAUUUUUUUAGCCUGAAAUGUUCAAAUUGUACUCAAAUUACAUUUCUGAAUUUCAGCUCCUGCUGCCGAUGGAUGGGAUGCAGUUCCAGCACCUGCCCCUACUGGCUGGGAACAGGGCAGCGCUCCCGCACCCGCAGCAGCACCAGCUGCUACUCCGAACUGGGAGUGAAGGACUUGACCCAAGGUUUAUGCUACUCGGCACUGUGGAGUGAAGGAGUUCGGCCGCGGUUUAUGGGUGAAGGCUGUGUUAUUUGCCCCGUCAGUACUUUGUUGGUAGACGCUGGUUAAGUAGAUUUAAUUUUUACAGUACUGAGUUAUGUUAGAUGGAAAUCGAUUUUUGUCUUCUUGGCUUUGCAGGGGUUGGGAGUUAUCGCCCCAGCCUUCUGUUGCCUCUCAUCGAAUAGCUUUAUUUGAAGUUCCAUUUUGCCAGCAAGUGUAUGGUCAGAUUCUCUUGAAAUGUUAUAAAAGCCCGGAUCAUGUGAUACCGUAGAUAUGUCUUACAUUUUUUAUGAGGCUAUAUUGCUCAUAACUUGCAAGGCGUGGUGCCCAAGAAAUCAAUUCCUAUCAUCGUUGCAUUUCGAAGGCAGCACUAAAUUGGUCGGUGCGUCUCUGUGCCUGGCUUGGACACAAACAAGCUCUAAUUUUUAGUGUAUGUUCGCUGUGGGACAUACAAUUGUGAACGUGCUGGAACGUGCCGGCAGCACGAAUGCUUCCAACCCAUAAAUUUCUAAGAGAAACGCUGGUUUUGCCAUGCACCCCAGCGAAAUGGGUUGAAGAACAUCAGCCCUUCUAAUGUUUAUAGAGAAACAAAACAGAGUAAACACGUUACUAUGUUCUGAAGCUUGCAAAUGACUUAAGUUUGGCAAUCCAAAGAUCCCCAGCAAUAACCUUCGCCUCUCACUCUGCAAGCUUCUGAUUUCCGGUAGAUAUUAUUUCAUAUGUAUCCUAUAAUAUGAAUCAAAUAAGAUAUGGAUAAAAGAAAAACUACUUCUUCCAGAUCCUAAAUUAAUAAAAUAAAGAAGUGAAUUUUCAAAUUUUCAAAUUUUAAAUAAGGAGUGCUUCUGGAUCAUUGGUGCCCUCAAACACAACUGCCGAUGCGCCUAAAAACUACGUUGACAACACUUCUGUAACACCAUCCACGCCCAACUCCAACUUGCCCACCAAAGGAGGAAUUCACUACCGGACUUCUUGCAGGUCUUGACGUGUGAUCUUAGAGGUACUCGUAAAUAAAAAGGUGCAUCGAUAGCGAGCUCUGGAAUUCUUGUUCAUGAAUCCAGCGUCCAAAUUCUAAUCAAACAGAUUUAUCCUACAAUAAAGGAUUGGUUGUCCGUUGACAAUAAAGGAUUGGUUGUCCGUUGAGGUUUGGCCUUGCCUUCUAGUACAUCUCAGAGGAAAAUGUACGAGCAUCCCCUAGAUGAUUUCUGAGGGCCCAGGAUGAUUUGAGCUCAGUUCUGGCCUUCUAAAGCCCUGAGACAUAUUGGAACCUGAACAAAGUUAUACGGAAAUUUCGAAUGAGUUUUACAACCUCAUACACACUCAUCUGCUUCGUCCACCUUGCAACGUUCAACACGGGUGAAACAUGCCGCCACCGCCCUCCCAAUUCUACAUGCCAGUUUAUAACGGCAGCAGCUGAUAAGAAGCCGAGCACGGCACACCGUCAUGUCGCUCCACUCUUCGCUUGCUGCUCCUACCGGUUUGGACCACCCUAUCAUUUUCCCAUACAUCAUGUACUCCCUCAGUUUUAAAAUAUAAGUCUUUUAGAGAUUUUAAUAGGGACUACAUACAGACGCACAUAGACAUAUUUUAGAGUGUAGAUUCGCUCAUUUUGCUCUGUAUGUAGUCCGUAUUGAAAUCUCUAAAAAGUGUUAUAGUAUUUAGGAACAGAGGGAGUAGAUUUUUACCAUGCAAAAAAAGGGAGUAAAAUUUUAUAAUAAAUUAAUAAUUUUAUAUGAUUGUUUUCGUUGUUAGAUCAUCCUGUUUUAUUUUUUGAGAAUUAUCCUCCUGGGCAUUUUUUAGGGGUAUCCUCCUGGCCAAUUGAGCUGGCUUUUGUUUUUUGAGCAAUUCCGAAAUUGAGCUGCCUACGAUCCGUUCUGGGUCUCAACAAGCACGAGAGGGCGCAAAACCGGGCCGGGCCAUCAUCAGCCUGGGCCUGCAGUGGGCGCAAACCCGAGCCAGAGCCCGAUUAAGUAGAGGCAGCCGCGUGCCCGCAUCGGGUACUUCCUUAAUAACUUCUUCCCCUUUCCACCUGUCGGCGAACACCCACCACAAUCCCCACGCCCGAGGCUUCCUCCCGCGGCGAAACCCUAGCGACCGGAGCGCUCGGCGGCGGCAGCCAUGGCGGACGACGACUAUAAUGAAGUUGACAUGGGGUUCGUCUCUCUCUCUCUCUCUCUCUCUCUCUCUCUCUCUCUCUCUCUCUCUCGUGAUCACGGUAAUCCAGGCUAGGGUUUGGGUAGGCAGCGUCUUCGUUAGGACGAUCCUGUUCCCUUCGUUUCUUGAUAGCAUUCGGGUUGCAGAAACUUGGCCCUUGAUGAUUGAUUUUGCGCUCCGCACGGAAGUAAGUGGUGAGAAUCAGGCCCUGGGUAUGGUUGGUUGGGUUUCGAAAGCGCGUGGUGCUGAUUUUGAGUUCGCACUGAUUCUCACGGGUAAUAGGCUCGCGUGGUUGUCAUCUGACAGGGCAAUAUUUUGUCUUCAAGUUGGCCAACAUCGUGAAAUACAAGGUCCUCCGGUGGCCAGGGGACAUGACUUUAGGCUUUGGUCUCCAUCUGAUUUGGAAAUUGGGCCCCUGAAUUGCGGCUAUACAACUUUUCAAGGCGGCAAAUGUUUGAGUUAAAAGAUUAGUUGUUGAUGCUCCCAUCGAAGUUAGCAGGAGCUGUAAGGUCUUGCUUCUAAUUGGGAUGAAAAAUUUCAGCUCGGCCUUCCAUUUGUGAUUUGGUGGUGAAGAAUUAAUGCAUUAGUUGGUCAAGUACUCAAAGUCUGAUCUUUUCAGGAUGCCACUGUCAUCAAGUGACACUAUGUGUCUAAUUGCUUAAACAAAAAUAUAUGGUUGCUUAGAAUUACCAUUUAUAGAUAGGAAAAUAAUUUUAUGAGACCAGGUCUUAUAUAAAUCAGGGGGGGAGAGAUUAGAUGCUUUGUGAUUUGUGAAUGUCACGUGUCAUCCAUCAGGGUGGGUCUCACCCGAAUUAUAUGAGACCUGGUCUCAUAUAAUUUGUCUCAUAUAAUUUUUUUCCGCACUUACUUUGGGGUCAAUAUUGAUCCUUCUAUUUCUCUUCUCAUGCCAUUGUACCUAUCAGAGUUUAUUUCAUUGAUUGAAUUUUGAGUUACAAUUCCUCAUUUCUUAUGCAGGUACGAGGAUGAGCCUCCAGAGGCUGAUAUUGAGGUGCAGAUCCGUCACUAUUUUCCUAUACUGAUGGUAUCCUUAAGAGGAAGAUCUUGCAGCUUCAUUUAAGUAUAACUGAUGUAUUACUGUUGAAUAGGAAGGGGUUGAAGAAGAUCCUGAGAACAACGAGGAUGCCCCUGAUGACGUGGUAGGGGGUGAAGGUGAAGAAAAGGAACAGGAAAAGACUGCCCGUCCACGCAAUACAACAAAAUAUAUGACCAAGUAUGAGCGGGCACGCAUCCUUGGCACACGUGCUUUGCAGAUAAGGUAUACUUAUAUCUGAGUACACAUUCCUGUUAAUGAGUUCAUUUAAUGAAGUAAUUGACCCAUUGAUUUUUGUAGCAUGAAUGCCCCAGUUAUGGUUGAGCUUGAGGGUGAAACUGAUCCUCUUGAGGUAAAGUCGUAUAAUUUGUUGCUUACAUAUGCUUUUAAUGCUGGCUUCCAGUUAGAUGAUAGCCUUGGCUGUUUGCUUUCAUUCUUUAGUUCCACUUGUUUUGUUGUAUGUUUAGAUGGAAAUUUGCUUUUAAAGUAGAGAUUGAUUGCCUUGAUACUGUGGAAUUAGUCUGUGUACCAGGUAUAAGAACGGCCAUGCUUAUUUAUGAAUCUACUUUAUAUGGAGCUAUAUAAACUUAUGAAUAGGCUUUGCAAUGAGAAGAUUGACAUUCUGAUGUGGUGAUCUAGGAAUCUACUUCCUCUGUCCGGAAAUAAGUGUUGCUCAAACGGAUGUAUCUAUAUGUAUUUCAGUGCUAGAUACAUCCGUUUGAGCAACACUUGUUUCUGGACGGAGGGAGUACUUUAUAUUGAACUACUCCAUGCUAACUAAUGAAUAUCCAACAUUGUUGGAAAUAUUUAUAUGUUUAUGAAUUUGAUAACGUAGAUAUGUUUGAUAGUUAAAUAAUUGGUAGUGUAUAGUCUCUUAGGAUCACGGGGUCGGCAAUCCAACUAGUUACUGAUGUGUUUUCAUUGUUCUACUGAAUUAUUGGGAUUCUUGCUUUGUAAUAUUGCAUCUAAUUAGGCACUUGUUAGUUUGAAGUUUCAAUAUGCCAGUACAAGGAAAUGUUCUUAUGUGCAAUUAUGGAAAUUUUCUUGCUGUAUUAGUCUACCUUGUAAGUAUGUGUUUUCCUUAUAAAGCAUAGAGCUAGAUAUAACAGAAGUUAAUAAGCGUUUCUAUUUGUCUACUGAAUCUAGUUUAGUCAUUGUACCUAUGUACAUGUAGCUACUAGAUAGUUAGGAUUCUUAUUUACUCCAGUUGUAUGAACAGGGAUUGUAAGUAGUAAACCACUAACUCACACCAUUUUAUACCAAAAGGAUGCCCUUGUUAGGCCUUGUACAAUGAGAGAUGCUUAGGGAGGUGCUUAGAAAAAUAAACCGAGUUUUUCUGAAGCACCGGUGCCUAUUUCUACAGGAGAGACGCUUAGUUAAGCGUCUAUCCUGUACAAAUAAGCACCGAUGCUUAAGGAGAGCCUGGUUUAUUUCUCUAAGCACCUCCCCUAAGCACCUUGCAUUGUACAGGGCCUUAAUCACCUACUCCCUCCGUUCGGAAUUACUUGUCGCAGAAAUGGAUGUAUCUAGACGUAUUUUAGUUCUAGAUACAUCCAUUUCCGAGACAAGUAAUUCCGAACGGAGGGAGUAUAUGGUUCUACCCCUUUCUCUGAAACCACAUUCUACAAUAUAUGUUCUGUUUUGUCAAAACAAAAAGAAUCUGAAUAGUUUUAGGUAAGAGCAGAAAAACCAUGAAAUGGUCGAUAUUUUGAGAAGUAAUAAUGCUCUUGCAAUGGGUAAAUGAAAUGAAAUUCGGCCUUGUUUGUCAAUUGUCCAUUACAAACACUACUUGGAUGGUUUUUGCUCCCAUUUACUGUAGAACAUAGUAUUACCAUCGCUUGACUCAUUUCUAGUUAUUGAAUUGCCUGCUCCGCUGAUCUUUGUGCAUCUUCAGAUUGCCAUGAAAGAACUGAGAGCACGUAAGAUCCCCUUCACGAUUAGGCGCUACUUACCUGAUGGAAGGUGAGAUUUAAAGGAAAAGCCAAUCAUCACCUCUCUUUGCUGGCUAUUAUGUGCUAUAGCCUCAUUUUUUACUUUGUUUUGAAAUAGCUACGAGGACUGGGGAGUUGACGAGCUCAUUGUGGAGGACUCGUGGAAGCGUCAGGUUGGCGGGGACUAGAGCUGGUAGACUGUUCGAAUGGGAGGCUCCGUGCUGCAACUAAACUUUGCCCUAGUAGCUAUAUGCAAUCUUUGGCACUGAACUGCCGCGACAAUGUUAUGUUACCGUAACAUGUGUGGGCUAUGUCUGCCCAUUGUGUUGUGCUACUACUGUAAACCAAUUGCGUGGUUGCGUUAGUUUGCUUGGACCAUUGCUUGCAUGCAGCUACAAGUUGCGAAUGAAUACCCUACUCUAACCUCCUUUUGUGAGCGUGGUGCAGGACGUUCUGCUGAUUAUUCAGUGUUCGCAUUUCUAUCUCAGUGUAGCCUUAGAGAUUGUUUUGUAGUAGUAAUGGAUCAAUUGUUUACUAGUAGAUGACUUGAAUAGAUCAACCAGAGUGCUAGGGUUGGAUCUGUGAGAAGUUUUUGGGAACAGAUAAAUACAAGCGCCCGUUCAAACCUUAUACGAACUCAAAAGAAAUAACCUCAUACGAUCCUUUGGAUAAAAUCCAACUUAUGCUGGGUGUUUGGAUAAAAUCCUUCUCUCAGCAAAACAAUGCAAAGUUUGUUCUCAGGGCUGCACAAAUCAUCAAAUCCAAUUUUCCAUUUUACAGAUCCUUAGCUAGUUACUACCAGCAUCUCGAAUGACCAAUGCGGGCGCUGGCACAUGCAGUGUGUCCUUCACAGCAUGCAGUAUGUAAUGCGACUGCCGCUGCGCGUCGCUCAUCAGAGCAGCGACCUGAACCGGUCGCCCUCGGUCUGGACGCGGUCACGGGUGAUCUCGGCAACGCUCCGGCAGCCGCAGAGCGCCAUGGCCAGCUCCAGCUCCCUGUUGAGCAUCUCGAUCACGUGCUUCGCCCCCGCCUGGCCCCUCGCUGCCAGCCCGUACAGCACCGGCCUCCCCACCAUGACUGCCCGCGCACCCAGCGCCAGCGCCUUGAGCAGGUCGGUCCCCCGCCGGACUCCGCCGUCCACCAGCACCGGGACCGCCCCCACCACCGCCUUCACUACCUACACACACACACACACACAAUACACCGCCUUCAGAAUGUGCUUUGUGAUGCUGCACUGCACACACACACCCUUUGAACAAAAUGGAAGACGACGGGCAUGGUGCGGUGUACCUCUUCGAGGGCGGAUAUGGUGGCCGGCGCGUAGUCGAGCUGCCGAGCGCCGUGGUUGGACACGAUGAUGCCUGCUGCCCCGGCCUCCACUGCUUUCCUGGCUGUUUGCCCCCCCCCCCUGGUUGUUCAGCAUUUCAUGUAGUAUAAAAGAUAAAAGAUGAUCAACAAAUUUAUCCUCUGAAUGACUGUGAAGAUCCCGAACAGCGUUUACCGACUUACCGUCCUCGGCGGUCACGAUGCCCUUCAGUAGAAUGGGCAGGCUGGUUAUGGAUUUCAGCCACUCCACGUCCUACACACAGGGUUACCGGAGAGAGAAUGUCAGAAUUCACGUUCCAACUUCCAUUAUGCCCCUGAAGGAUUGGCUCCUUGUUUUCGGACAUCAGUGCAGCAGCAGCAGCCAAGUACUGGAGCAAUUCAAGGUUACUGUCUCCCUGUAUAUGUAAGGCACGUUCUCUACUGAGAGGCAACCCUGUUCUUGCUAGAGGGCUUUGAAUGUAUAGCGUGCCUCAAGAUGGGUCGUGCAGAGUGGCAGAAUUGUCCUUGAAAUUACUGUUGAAUAUACUUAUGGAGUACUGGCCCACAUGCUGUAGGAUCUAAAGCUUUAAAUUGGAGUACUGGCCCAUAUGGGUGCCAAUUUUGCUGUACCUUCCAUGAUAAAGACGGGUCCAGAGUGUCGCGCGCAUACUUCUCAAGCUUCGACCCGCCUGUCUGCAGAUGAGAAAUACGAGCCUUUCAAAAAGAAAAAAAAUGAAUUCAUGUAGUAUCCAUCAUAAACUAUUUUGUUCAUCUGUCCAGUACGGACAAAUUAUCCUCGAGUAAACAUGCUCAAGGUAAGAUAUUCCAUCAAGCAGGCAUUGACUCACAGUAUCAAGAUCAUCUAUUGGCAUCAAACCUUCGAGGUUUGCAUUCGCAGGAGCAACCAUUCUGCAUGAACAAUAAGAUCAGCAAACCAAACAUAAGAAUUCUGUGCCAUGGUGUCUGUUUACAACAUUCAAAGGCCAUAUAAAUAUCUUUUAGGUACGAUUUCAGGCAUGAGACAUUUGUAGGCUUAUCAAAUUUUAACCGCAGCGAAUCGAGUUAUAUCAUAUUAUUAAGUUGGUAUUCUCGAACAAAGAAUAUUAUUAAGAUGGUACAAACAUAAUGACAAUAACAUUCAGAUUGAUCAGGUAUACUCCCUCCUUCCAUCUAUAUAGGGCCUAAUGCGGCUUUCAAGACCGCCUUUGACUAUUGAUAAGAUUAAUAAUACAUGAGAUGUAUAAUGUGAAAAUUAUAUUAUUAGAAGCUCCUUUCACGUAUGAAUUUGACGGUAUGCUUUGUGUAACUUGCAUGUCAUAUAUUAUUGCUCUAACACUUGGUCAAAGUUAGCCUCGAAAAACGCAUUAGGCCCUAUAGAUGGAAGGAGAGAGUACAUUGAGCUAAUAAAAGUAUAUGCGAACAUUAAAGUCCUAACACAUAAACUCUAUCUUUCACCCGCCAAAAAAAAUUCUAUCUUUAAAUAGAAGCAUAUUGUCUUGUCUCGUAGUUGCCACAAAAAAUAGGUUAGUAUAUGUAGAAGGAAAAAUAACAUAAUGUUGUACAAAAUAUUUAAAAGAACUUUGAAGAUAAAAUUGUACUUAUUUCUGAUAUCUGCUUCACGUCGACCGAGCAUAGGAGUGUCAACUGUUAAAACAAUUGCUUUGAAUCCAUGACUCUCAGCCCGCCGCACCAAUGUUGCUGAAACAUCCCUGUUUUUAAAAACCUAAAAUGUUUUUAAAUAAAACAAAAUCAGAGAUCACAUUAUCAGGAAAGGAAUUAUAUCGAGCUUGAAGUCUAGAUGUCAUACAUAUAACUGAUAAAAACGAAUCGCAUUACAACUGGAGGCAACUUCCUCGAUUUUGCAACUGGCUGAGAAGGAUAGCACCUGUACUUGACAAAUAUGAACAUGUAUAGCAAUUGACGGAUGAAACACGACUGAAAGAUCAUUAAUUGUCAGUUGACACCAACCAUUAAGGUAUUACAUGAUGCUGCAGCUCUUGCUGUAGCCACCUCCCCUGAAAUUAGCAUUGAAACAAGAGAUGUAGAGAUAUUACAGAGUUUAGAUGUCAUAUUUUGACAUUCUAAAGUAAGCUUUGAACUAUGAGACCUUCUGGAUUUGCCAAUUUGUGUGAUCCUGUUGGUGCAACAAUUAUGGGCGAGGGCAUGUCAUAUCCCAAUAAGUUUAUCGACAUGUCUAUGUUGCUGACAUCUACAAGAACCCGAGGUCGCAACCUGCAGAAUACACAUCGAGAAAAUCUUCAAGUCCAAACUCUCCAGGUCAAUGAAGAUUUUACCUAGAAGAGGCAGUAUAGGAACAGUACAAAAUUCUUCCAUAUGCUGCAAUGUUGUCCCUCAAUGUGUGUUCAUCCUCUGCUCCUCCAUUGAUAUAAUCAUAGUGCAUCUUUGGCAGUGCUUUCUUGGCGAGUUCUUGAUACUCGCGAAUAUUGACUGGUAGAUUAUUCUCCAUUUCUGCUACAUAUAAUGUUUAGAGGUCAUUCACCUGAUGCAAAUAUCUGAAUUUUAACCAUACAUCGGCUCAGAUCUUUCUUUACAUAUGACCAACUGUCCAACUAGAUGCAUACUAUUUUUCAGUACUUUAGUACCAAACCAGUACAUCUUUUACACAUAUACAGAGCUUUAAAUUGAAGUCUCUAUAUAUGUCCGAAAGAACUAUAAAUACAUAGUGGCCACCUUUCAGAGCUGCCCUUCUCUUUUUUAGUAGACAACCUAUCACUUGGGUUCCCCUGAUCUUUGAGCCAAUUUGUUUUUUCUCGAACACGCGUCUUUUAUUAGAAGAACGCCAAGAUUGGUGCAAAGUUUACAUGCGUAAACCAGCAAAACCAGAAAGAACUGAAAAAACCAACAUAAGCCUAAAGGGUAUGAAAGAAGAAAGCCAAAACCCUACUGCUACCACUGACUAUUGUAGGAAUGGAGGCCUAGCAUGCAUAGGCAAGCUCCUUAAGGCCACGGCCCCUGCCAUAUUCCAUUGGUUGACCUUGGGCAGAAUUAUUUUUAGCAUUCUUUUUCUUGUUUCGAUUCCUAUUAACUCGUCAAAUCCAAAAGGGUAUGAUUGCUGAUGGAGGUUGAAUUUAUAAGAAAUUUACAGUUUUUUCUUUUAAGAUUAUGCCAUGAAGCAUAGAAGAAUAUCAGCCUAUUGCAUUUGAAAAAAGAUACCCAGGCGAGUGAGGCCAAAAUACUAGUGAUAAGAUGAUGCAGCAGUAUUAAUAAAACAUGUUUGUAAACUAAAAUAUCUGAAUCACGCUGCAAAUACCAUUUGUGGAGUAAAGUGCCGUCAGACGAACAUUUGCAGUGCCAAACUUGAUUUAUUCAAUUUGGUACAAAAGCUUACUGACAAUCUAAUCAUAGCUUCUCUAAAGAAGAUAAUCUGAUCACAACAGACUCAGCCAAGAUGGUUAAAAUUCUAAUCCUGCAGAUUUUAUAGAAAGGUACAUAUACAGAAGCAAUGCAACAGGGGUACAGCUCCGAAGAAACUCGCGGCACAAAAUUUGACUUAAUAUCCAUUCAGGUGUAGAAACUUGCCAAUAAUUGAGCACUACAACUUGUCAACAAUUUCUAUAAUCUAGUUUCACUGUUUUGAAGUUAGGAGUUACAUAGAGAAGUUUUUACUGCAAGAAUGCGUAUCAUAACUGAUUUUUGUUCAGUCUCCUCGAAACAGGCUUUCGCCCAGCUUUUAUAUAUAAAGCCUAAACGGCCGAACCGAUACGAAGUGGUCAGGAUUUUUGUACGGUCUCAGGGUAGAUGCAAAUUGAUGGGGGCAAAACAGUGAGUUCCUACUGUUGGUCACUGACAACAUGGGGGAAAUAGAAGAGUAAAAGGCAGAUUGAAAUGGCUUCAGAUCAAACUAUUCAAGUACAAUGUCCAUUGACAGUGUGACUGCACACCUGAUGUGACUCCUCUACCACGUCUCCAAAAAUGGAUAGGCUGAGCUACGGCUUAGCACCAAUUCAUACGAACAUUCAACACUUGAAACCACAGAACACAUUCAAAAGUUCACUACCCACUACCCAGACGCACAAAACACAGAGCCACAUUCAAAUCAAGGCUGGGCUAAUCGACAUGAUUAAGGAGGAUACGUCUUCGGAAGUACAAAGCGUUUGUUCAUGAUCGGAGGAGCAAACCUCAAACAGUCCGCUCUGCUCGCCCGCGGCAACCAGUGAGAAACCUUGUGAGGCCCAAGGUCGAACACUUGACCUGCUGCUUACUGGAACAUCAUAGGAAGGAGGUGUCCUAUACUGAGCUUAAAGAUAAGACCCUGGGACUGGGUCUGGCGACAAAUUGAGAAGAAAACAGCGGGAGGACAUACAAUCGGCACUGAAUCUCCGACGCAACUUCAAUCAUUUCACUGCACCUCACAGUCGGGGAUCAUUCAAGAUCCACAGGAACACGGCGGUCUCAUCUGCCAGGCCCCCCACGGGGUCUCGCAGAGCAGCCGAUCAGCCGGAGAUCGACAGCAAAUCGAGCGAGAGCGGGGCCGUACGAGACAGCGAAUUGAAGGAGGGGAUCGUGCGUGGAGAUGUACGAGAGCAAGCACCAUACCUGUAGUAGAGAUUGACGACUCUAGGGGGGGAUGGGCAGCUAUCGGAGAUGUCGGGGAGGAUGAAAUCGCGAAGGGGGAGUGAUUGCUAUGCUAGCUGCUGGCUGGGAACGGAAGGAUAGUGGGUGAUCGAGUGAGUGUGAUGAUGUCAGAAGACAGGCAAGGACAAGGAGAGGAUGAUGUUGGCUCACUUGGCUCUACACUGAUGAGAACGAAAAUUGCAGUCACGAUCUUGCAAAUUUCAUCUCAUCAGUGUCAACUUCAAGUAACUCUGCACAUCCAUUCGCAAAAAGAAAAAGAAAAAAAAAACUCUGCACAUUCGGUUUAUUUGUUUUGGUAAAUACAGUUCCUCGGUUUGUCAAUGCUGAUACUUCUAUAAAAUACAGCUCGAUUUUCAUAUAUAGAGUUUUUUUUUUGCGAAAUAAUAUAGAGCUGACGUCCUCACAGGGAAGCAACUUGAGCGAGCUAGAAAAGGGUAGAUUGAGUUAACCUACAUUUGGUUACCUGCAUACAAUCCAAUUAGGCCUCAGCAGUAAGAAAAAAAGCUUGUUUAGUUGCAUACUGGGAGGCAUGAUUCGCAUCGGUACCAAACUUAAAACAACUCAGAGGCUGACUCACUGGAAACACUAACCGGCCAUUUCCAGCGAGCCAGUCUGAGUCGGGUGCAAAAGUAGGACGACAUACGCCGCGGUGCAGGGGGGAUUGGGUGAAGAUGUCGGGAGAAAAAAGUCGGCGGAGGCGAGAUGGCGUGAAAUCUAACCUCACCCCAUUUACUCGCUCACCCCUAGCUCUAGGACAAGCCCUUCCUCUGUUCUUAGCAUCGGCGGCGGCAGUGACUCAGAUCUGCGCAAGCGGCAGCGACAUGAGCACUCUCUGGCAGCACUGGCAGUGGCGGUGACUCAGAUCUGCGCAAGCGGCAGCGGCAUCAGCACUCUCUGGCAGCACCACCGACAACGGCGGUGACUCAAAUUUGCGCAAGCGACAGCGACAUUAGCACCCUCUGGCAGCANNNNNNNNNNNNNNNNNNNNNNNNNNNNNNNNNNNNNNNNNNNNNNNNNNNNNNNNNNNNNNNNNNNNNNNNNNNNNNNNNNNNNNNNNNNNNNNNNNNNNNNNNNNNNNNNNNNNNNNNNNNNNNNNNNNNNNNNNNNNNNNNNNNNNNNNNNNNNNNNNNNNNNNNNNNNNNNNNNNNNNNNNNNNNNNNNNNNNNNNNNNNNNNNNNNNNNNNNNNNNNNNNNNNNNNNNNNNNNNNNNNNNNNNNNNNNNNNNNNNNNNNNNNNNNNNNNNNNNNNNNNNNNNNNNNNNNNNNNNNNNNNNNNNNNNNNNNNNNNNNNNNNNNNNNNNNNNNNNNNNNNNNNNNNNNNNNNNNNNNNNNNNNNNNNNNNNNNNNNNCCCCCGCCCGCUUCGUCGGCUCCGAAGCUAGUAAGCAGCAUACAAACCCCCCCUCAUCUGUUAGGGCGAUUGUUAGGACGGUGUAGGAUCAAUUGUGCCAUUGCUGACCACACCAUGGAUGUUGCCUAGGUUGUUGCCGAACGGAUGAAGCUGACAGUUCAGGCUGUCACUACUGCAGGAUGCUGCUAACGCGACACUACAAUAAGAGACCCUUCGACGAAACUGUGUGCACUGCAUUAAUCGCAAAUGGCGAUGUAAAAUAACCGUAAAAAAAUACACAAAACGUUUGCGAUGACGGAGACAUCAAACACGAUUCAGAUUAUAGUUGCGUGUGCGAUGCGUGGCAUACCGUUCACUCCAAGGAACUGUUUAUGAUGAGGAUAACAACAGAAACGGUUAGACAGAUGAAAGGUGUGCGAUAUACAACAUACAGUUCACUCUGAUGAACUGUUUGUGAUUAAGCAACACAACAGAAACGGUCAGCCAGAUCAAGGUGUGUGUGCGAUUGACGGCAUACAGUUCACUUGGAUGAACUAUUUGCGAUUAAGAAACACAACAAAAACAGUCAACUAGAUCAAGGUGUCUGCGAUUAACAACAUACACUUCACACUGAUGAAUUAUUUGCGUUUAGGCACAACAAACAGAAAUGGUUAGACAGAUUAAGGUGUGUGCGCUAGAUGGGCACACAUUCUAAUUAAGAGAAGCAUGCACGAUGGUAAUAACAAGCGCGCACGGUUGAUGGAACAAGUCAUGUGCUGACAUCCCCUAUUGCCGUGCACCCUAUGGUGCAAACGCCAUGUACGCAUCCGAGAACACAUGCCCACGUUACGCCAUCGGGGAAUCGUGCCGCACUUCGAAACUAGAAACGUCAAUAAAUUUUGAGCUUGCAUCCCGUCACAUUCCAAAUUACUAUCACGCUAUAUUUAAUUGCAAAUCUCUUCACACCGAUAAAAAGCUAAAUGGUUUCCUAUUUAGGAGCGUAUUAGUACUUUGUUAUAAAUACUACCUACUCCAAGAUGACUGCACAUUCCUCCUCAAUUCCUCAUCCACAAAAAAAGUAUUUCAUCGUCGUUCCCUUGCGUCUGCCAUGGCUCGCAUGAGUUCUGGGUCGAGAAAUUACUACCAGGGAGAGGCGAGCAUGGAAGCGGAAGUACGAGAGAUGUCCCGCCUCGUCACGAAAGCAGCCGACAUGUCCCGCCGCACCGCUGUAGUAGCACAGAGGUCCAGCCGCGCCGCCGAAGUAGCACAGAGGUCCCACCGUGUCAUCGAAGCAGCAUACUGGUCCGACCGUGCCGCGGAAGCAACAAAGAUGUCCUGCCGCGCCGCGGAUGCAACAGAGAGGUCCUCCCACGCCGCGGCGGCCUGGGAAAAUGUCUCGCAGGCAGGCAAGGACUCUCAUAGGCGCAUGCACGGUAUGCUCGAUAACCGGAUGGAUCGGAUCUUCGACUGGAUGAAGCUGUAGGACGAGAUGAAUGCCUCGUUUGAAAAUGCUACUGGCGUUAUCCGGGGACUAAGGGAGGACAAGGCGAAGCUCCGUACCCAGGACGACCUAUGAGGGCGAAGAUCGCCGGAAGGGCGAAGCAACAUGAGGAGACUACUGCCAUGUUGGAGGGUACAUGCGCACCGUCAAGAAACUUAUGGACAAGAAUGCCAUGCUCUGCAUCGAGCGCAAAAGGCUAGUGGAGAAAUCCGUGGAUGCUGCCAAGCAGCGUAUUGAGGACAUGAAAGAGAUCAUCGCCGCUCGCCGCGAGAACUAGUCUCCACGCCCUACAACAACGCAUCGAGAAAGUAGAGAUCAGCGAGCCAGAUUGUUGUCUGCGUCUUUCUUCUUCUUUUGCCUUUGUGUAUUUCGGGCGUUACCGCAUGUGUAAUUUUUAAUCAUCUUCCUAAAUAUGUAAGACAAAUAGUAUCCACUGUUAUCGUCAUUAUAUUCAUAUUAGUCUUGCUAUAAGUCUCAGUUGAUGCUAUAUAUGUCCGUCAGAUCUUACAUCAAGAUCCGUGCAAUUUAUUUUCAGGUUUUCUUUUUUCUCUCUUAAAUAUCAGUUGAGUGAGACAUAGUCACACCAAAAAACAGGGGCUCAGACGCCAUUAAUGGAGAAGUUGGGCGGCGGAUGGAGGUCAAAGGGCUCACCUCCCGAUAAACAUGUGCAGGGGUCUGAUCGCACGCCUCCUGUACUCAAAUAGCUAUCCGCACGACGCCUUCUAGCCAAUAAAAAAAGGGGACGCGUGGAGGCACAUAAAUGGUUAGUAGAACACCCACGAUUUCAAUAAUACUUGUGUUUCUGAUUGUAACAUGACAACACUUGUUCCAAAAUGACUUUGUUGGUUGUUAAUGUGCGCGCCUUCGCAAAUCGGACAAAAAUUUACCACAACAUGUUGGUACCAUCUGAAGACAACAUGCCGAGUUUCAUGAUUUUCCGGUGAGUUUUGGAUUUACAGUAAUUUAAAAACCAAGUUUCUCUAUGUUUCUGGCUGAGCACGACGCUCAGAUAUUUGGAAUUCAUUCUCAUUUCUUGCAUGUGAUCUAAACAUUCACCCAAGGACACAUAUAUGAUUUUUCAACACAUCUUGGCGCACUGAAGCAUGUGCAUGUAGCUCAAAUUUGAAUUAUGCACAUUAAAUCCCUAGAAAACUCAAAUAAUGUAUAAAAAAGGCAAAACAAACCCUGAUAAUUCCAAAAUUUAGCACCAAACUCAUGUUGGUCUAUGUUGCCUUUGUAAAAAAAACAAGGCGGGAAGAGGGGUGGUCUAUGUUGUUUCGCACACAUAGGUGACACGUCCCCUCUCGGAACCAUGAGGCUUCUCCAGAGAAGCUCCGUUUUGUAAGAAGAUUACACCAAAACUUGUCCCAAAUCGGGCGCAAUUUUUACCAAAACAUGUUGGUGCCAUGUCAUGAUACCAUGCCAAGUUUCAUGAUUUUCGGGCGAGUUUUAUUUACAGGAAUUUAAAAACCAAGUUUCUCAAUAUUUUCGGCCGACCCACGACACCCAAAUGUCUGAAAUUCAUUCCUAUUUCUUGCAUGCGACCUAAACUUUCACUCAAGGACACACAUAUAAUUUUUCAACCAACUUUGGUGCACUGGAGCAUGUGCAUAUAGUUCAAAUUUGAAUUAUGCACAUUAAAUGCCUAUAAAACUUAGUUAAUGUAUAAGAAGGCCAGACAAACCCGGAUUAAUUCCUAAAAUCAGCAUGAUACUCCUAUUGGUCUAUGUUGCCCCAGGCGGGAAGAGGCGGUCUAUGUCGUUUCACACACAGAGAUGACACAUCCCAUCUCGGAACCAUGAGGCUUCUUGAGAGAAGCUCCAUCUUGUAAGAAGCUUACACAAAAACUUGUCCCAAAUUGGACAAUUUUUUUACCAUAACAUGUUGGUGCCAUGUCAUGAGACCAUGCCAAGUUUCAUCAUUUUUGGGCGAGUUUUAGAUUUACAGGAAUUUAAAAACCAAGUUUCUUAAUGUUUCCGGACAAGCCACAACGCCCAAAUGUUUUAAAUUCAUUCCCAUUUCUUGCAUGGGACCUAAACUUUCACUCACUACAAAAAAUACACUUCCGUGAUGAUAUCUGUUUGUCACAGUAGGUCAUGUUUUCUGUCAUGCAUGUACAUCCAUGACGAUUCUAUGACAGAAUCAAGAUAGUCAUACCUGUGCUGUCGUAGAAGUGUUUCAUAUCAAAAUUAUCAUCACGGAAGUGUCCACUUCCAUGACGAUAAAUCAUGCGUCAUAGAAUUGCUUUCAUCAAGGGUAACCGACAUGUGGCAUCCACCGCAAUGGGUCGCUGUUAAGCUAUCGGGUUACGGUUUGGAUCCGAUGACCCAUUAACAACCCGGACCAAUGGGGAUUUUCCACAUAUAAAAUUUUCAAUGGCCAAAGGAACCAUGUGUCGGCUCAACGUUGGGACAGAUUUCAUCCACUCAUUGGACCGAAGGCGCCUAUGAUACGUCGACACGUGGCACGACCCAACAGAGGCCCAUUCCUGUGAAAAGGACGACCCGUUUGACUUGGUCAAAAGGUAGCGGGCCGGCCCACAGAAAGCCUAUUAACGGUCUAUUCGCAUAUAGCCCAUUUAUAGCCCGCUAACUCAUGGCCCGUUACGGCCUAUCCGAAUUAGGCCCAGUAGCGUCAUCUGGGCUAUCCAAUAUGAUUCCAGCCCGUUGUAACUUUCGGCCCAUGUAUGGCCCAUGACAUCUUUCGUCCCAUAUGAGGCCCUUUGUAACUCUUGGCCCAUAUGAGGCCCUUUUUAACUCUUGGCCCAUUAACAACCUAUGGUGAAACUGGCCCAUAAUGAAUAGUGUAUCACUUUAUACCCAAUAACGACCCAUUAUUCUAUUGGGCCGUUUUCAGCCCGUGUUAUCUUUCGGCCUUCUCAGGGCCCAUUUAUUCUUGGGCUUAUUUCCAACAUUCGAUUACUUAUUGUGACGCCCCCGAUUCAAUCAUACACUAAUCAUAUACGCAAACGUGUACGAUCAAGAUCAGGGACUCACGGGAAGAUAUCACAACACAACUUUAAAAAUAAAAUAAGUCAUACAAGCAUCAUAUUACAAGCCAUGGGCCUCGAGGGCUCGAAUACAAGUGCUCGAUCAUAGGCGAGUCAGCGGAAGCAACAAUAUCUGAGUACAGACAUAAGUUAAACAAGUUUUCCAUAAGAUGGCUAGCACAAACUGGGAUACAAUCGAAAGAGGCGCAGGCCUCCUGCCUGGGAUCCUCCUAACUACUCCUGGUCGUCGUCAGCAGCCUGCACGUAGUAGUAGGCACCUCCGGUGUAGUCGUCAUCGUCGACGGUGGCGUCUGGCUCCUGGGCUCCAGAAUCUGGUUGCAGCAUCUGGGAAGAAGAGGAAAACGGGGGAAAAGAGGGAGCAAAGCAACCAUGAGUACUCAUCCAAAGUACUCGCAAGCAAGGAGCUACACUACAUAUGCAUGGGUAUAGGUGUAAGGAGGCCAUAUCAGUGGACUGAACUGCAGAAUGCCAGAAUAAGAGGGGGAUAGCUAGUCCUAUCGAAGACUACGCUUCUGGCAGCCUCCGUCUUGCAGCAUGUAGAAGAGAGUAGAUUGAAGUCCUCCAAGUAGCAUCGCAUAGCAUAACCCUACCCGGCGAUCCUCUCCUCGUCGCCCUGUUAGAGAGCGAUCACCGGGUUGUAUCUGGCACUUGGAAGGGUGUGUUUUAUUAAGUAUCCGGUUCUAGUUGUCAUAAGAUCAAGGUACAACUCCAAGUCGUCCUGUUACCGAAGAUCACGGCUAUUCGAAUAGAUUAACUUCCCUGCAGGGGUGCACCACAUAACCCAACACGCUCGAUCCCAUUUGGCCGGACACACUUUCCUGGGUCAUGCCCGGCCUUGGAAGAUCAACACGUCGCAGCCGCACCUAGGCACAACAGAGAGGUCAGCACGACGGUCUAAAUCCUAUGCGCGCAGGGGUCUGGGCCCAUCGCCCAUUGCACACCUGCAUGUUGCGUACAUGGCCGGUGAGCAAACCUAGCAACCUCCAUUACAAAGGAAGUUGCGUUAACGCAGUCCAACCCGGCACGCGCCGCUUAGUCGCUGAUGUCACGAAGGCUUCGGCUGAUACCACGACGUCGAGUGCCCAUAUCUUUCCCGCGUAGUUGGUUAGUGCGUAUAGGCCAGUAGCCAGACUCAGAUCAAAUACCAAGAUCUCGUUAAGCGUGUUAUUAUGAAGCAACCGCGAACGCCGACCAGGGCCAGGCCCACCUGUCUCCUAGGUGGUCUCAACCUGCCCUGUCGCUCCGCCACAAAGUAACAUUCGGGGGCCGUCGGGAACCCAGGCCCACCUCUACCGGGAUGGAGCCACCUGUCCUUUCAGCCCCCGCAUCGGAAUCACUUGCGGGUACUCAACGAGCUGACCCGACUUUAGUCACCAUUUGUAUAGUAUGUAUAUAUGUAUAGUAUAUACCCGUGAUCACCUCCCAAGUGAUCACGGCCCGAUAGUCUAGCAAGGCAGACUGACAAGAAUGUAGGGCCAAUGAUGAUAAACUAGCAUCCUAUACUAAGCAUUUAGGAUUGCGGGUAGGGUAUCAAUGACUGUAGCAACAAUGACAGGCUAUGCAAUAGAAUAGGAGUAACCGAACAGUAACAUGCUAUACUACUCUAAUGCAAGCAGUAUAGAGAAGAAUAGGCGAUAUCUGGUGAUCAGGGGGGGAGCUUGCCUGGUUGCUCUGGCAAGGAGGGGUCGUCGGUGACGUAGUCGAUCAACAGGGGCAUCAUCGGUCUCGGGGUCUACCGGAGAGAAGAGGGGGAAGAAACAGUAAAUAUAAAGCAAACAUAGCAUAACAGGACAACCAGUAGAGCUAGGCGUGUUCUAACGUGGUGCUACACGAUACCGAUGAGGGGGGAAGUCAACCGGGAAUGUUUUCCCGGUUCCGGACCUGUGUUAGACAAAUGACCGGAGGGGGAAAGUCCCACGGUCAGCAUGCUAGGGGCAUGUGACAGAUGAACGGACCGCGUAUUCGGAUUUGUUGGAUUUUUCUGAGCAACUUUCAUAUAGAAAACAUUUUCAUCCGACUUACGGGUUAAUUUCUAUGAAUUUCUAAAGAUUAAACCAUUUUUAGAAAUUAUUUAAAUUAACAGAAAUGAAUUAUGACGUCAGCAGAGUGUCAGCAUGACAUCAGCAGGUCAACAGACCCGCUGACUGGUCAAACUGGCCAAUUGGUCCCACCUGUCAUUGGCAGUGGGCUAACAACAAUUCAUUUUAAUUUAAACAGAAUAAUUAGUGAUUGGACCCCACUAGUCAGUGACUCAUUAGUUUAGCUAAUUAUGUUUAUUUAGGAAAACGUUUUAAUUAGGUUAAAAAGGCGGCGGGGGGGGGGGGUGUCAGUGGCACUGAGUGCACAGUCAGCAAAGUUGACCGGGUCAACUGGUCAACAGGAGGCCAGGGGCCCCACUGGCAGUGACCCAGGGGUGGCCCCAGGUGUGCCACGUCGAUGGUGGCCGGCGGCUAAACGCCGGCGACUGAAAAUACGGCAGAGGCGCUCGGGAUCUCGCCGGAAUCCACGUACAGGGGGCCAUUUGGCCCGUGCGUUGGCACGUUCGAACGAGUGAGCAACGCUGCAUCCAACACGGGUGGCCACGCGAGCUGUGAUGGCUGGAGCCGCCGCCGGCGACAGGGACGGCGGAGACCCGAAGCACGGCGAACUCGCGCGCGAUGAAACGGAGGCCAAAAUGGGUGGCGCGCUACUCCUACGAUGACUACUCGAAGCCACGAACGCGUUGGUGAGCUCGGCGAACCGGGACGAGCCCUACCGUGAUGGCUGCGAGCUCGAUAGCGGAGUCAGGGUGCGGCAGUGGCGGCGCAUCGUGCACAGCUUGCUACGGCACGUAAAUGGAGCUAGGACAGGGAGAGGAAAUGGGUGGAGCUCACCGAGUGGCUCACACGAUGGCCCGUGGUGGUUUAGGAGCUGCAGAGACGUCGCCGGAGCCGAGGAUGAGCGGCGGCGACCGGAGAUGUGGACGAAGGCGAACGGAGGCAGCGGGGCUCCACAUCUCCACCUGGUGGCACCAAGAGAGGUUGCCGACCGCGGUGAGGCCCGUGGACAAGGCCAGCAGGCACGGGGCCGCCGGUGGCCGUGGCAACGACGGAGGACGACGGCGAGGGCGCCCGGGCCGCGGAUCUAGAGGAGAGGAGGGGCGGAGCGAGCGAUGGCGAGGGAGGGAGAGUGGAUAGGGAUUGAGGGGAGGCCGAGGGGAAGGAGAGGUGGAUCUUUAUCCACCCGCGACGCCUGUAGCGGUGUGGUCGACGAGGUGGGUUCGGCGGCGACGGCAGGCACGCCUCGGUCGCUUGAUCAGAGAACGGGGGGGAGGAGGAGGAGGCCGUGGUGGGCUGGGUUCCAGGCACUAUGCACUUAGGCCGAGUCCUCAUCAGUAGCCUAGGCCCUUUUUUUGUAUUUAUUUGUUUUAUGUUUAUUAGUUUUCUAUUUUAUUUUCUAUAUAUUUUUGUUUUAUAAAAUAUACAAGUAGUACCUAAAUUAGUGUUACAAAAUACCCCAAUGCCACAAAAAGUUUGGUGACAAAAUAAAAUAGUUUAGUAAUUUAUUAAUUGUAAAAGGCAUUUAAUUAAUUGCUUUUGCUACUGUUUAAAUCCUUAUAAUUCAUUUAAGAAUUUUAUAAAAGCUUGGUUUCUCCACCAUAAUUGCUUACGAUUUAUUUGAAACAACCCGAACAUUUUAGUUUUAAUUUUUGAAAACUUUUGUUGUUUGCUUUUCUUUUGAAAUUGAAUUUGAAUCGGUUUCGAACUAAUGCGAGAUUAGCAAUAGUAAUCGAGGUGACGUGGCAUUAUUAGCAGAGGUUACUGUAGCUUGAUUAUCCGGGCGUCACAAUUCUCCUCCACUACAAGAAAUCUCGUCCCGAGAUUUAAGAGGGGAACUAGGGGGUAAGGUCUGGUUACGGAAUUCUAAUGAAUCUUCUCGUUCUUGGUUGCUCUUCUCGAAGUGGUCGAUCCUUUUCAUUGAUGUAUUCAUUUCUCUGCUUUAGGUCAUCAUGAUGAAGUCGGCAUCCUUUCUUCGGGAAUUCCAUCGUACUUUCAAAAGAAUAAAGGGUGGGUAUUCCGGGGGAACGAACCUCUGCAAGGUUAACUAUCUGGUCAAUAACAUCGACGGAGGUGGUGGGAAGUAACUCUCGAAUUGAAACUUAAGAAAGUAUCGAGAGCAAAGUAAGGAGGUAUCAUGGGAAGUUUCGAGCGGGCAGGCAAUCGUUUGAUGCCUGUUACAAGGCGUGAAAGGGGUUCAGAGCAACGGGAAUAAGCAGUGUGUCUGAUACCAGAAUAGAUCACUAGGAAGGUGGCUCGUGAUCUCUCAUACGAAGCCAAGCGUGAGGAUUAGCUUUAGGAACAUGGGUGUACAGGAGAGUCAGGUUUCGAUCCUGUGGAACUGUGGGUUAUGGGCCCACCAUGUGGGUUAAAAGUAUUAAGGGCGGAGACGUCUUGCUUGAUCAUGCAAGCAAGGUAUGUCAGAGGGUAGCCUAUCCGUUAUGUCGGCAACAAUAGCGAUACCAAAGGCGAGGGAUGAAGAGAACCAUUUUCCUGCUCGUUGAACGAGGCGGACCAAUAGGCAAAGUUCUCGUCCAUCGGUGGUUACCGGAAUGUCAUCAACAAUAGUAACAGGGUCUUACAGACAGAGCGGUACAACAAGGUGCUUACCUAAGCAGGGAAUUAUCUCUGCUCAGUUAAGUCAGAUUACAGGAAAGGCUAAACAAAAGAAUGGAAAGGAAAACGUGAUUAUCAGAUUAAACAGAACAAUGGAAAGAAAAAUUAUGAUUACACACAAUUAUUAGGACAAUAUCCUUUCCAUGUACAAGCAGAACAUGGCAUACAGGGUAGGAGAGCAAGUACCCAACCAUUCAGAAAAGAGGCAAGGAUUAAUCAAGAUGUUACCCAUACAACAGUGUUUGGAUAACUAGGCAAGAAACAUUUAGCUUUGGGCUUCAAAUGUUUUUGUUGAAAAUCGAAGUACCAUAGACAUGCUUCGAGAUAGCAUUGACAUGGUCUUCAAGCAAAGGUCAGACUUGGAUAUACAAAGGAUUCAUCAGGAACAACUUAUAAAAUAAGUUUCACAAUUUCCUCAUGGAAGAAUGGUUAACCUUGCUAAGAUGGAAACUAUAACAAUUGGUCCUCCGGCCAGGUGUGCUAGGCAUGACAUCACCUUACUGGGUCAUAUAAAGACCAAUGUUCUGACUCUUGGAAAAUGUUCCAACCAUCAUAUCUAACCAAGAUUCAGAUCUGAUUGGUGUCAGGAUACCUCAGACUCGGGAUGCCUGAGAAGAAAGGUGCAACACAAAUUGACGGGAUGACACUGUAAGAUUCUCAGGAAAUGAACUACGAAGUAAUUUCCGUUAACAAGAGUUCAUCAUUAACCCAAGGAGAGGACAAGGAGGUGGCUGAUGAACUCAACGACAAUUCAUCAAAAUUUCCAAAGGAUGGAUUUCCACAAUUAUGUGAACAAGGAGAUAACAUUUGUCAGAUCAAAAUGAUAUAUUGAUGUAUGAUUGAGGAAAACAUACACAAUUUAACAAUGGUUGAAAGGUGCACCCGGAAUAUGGGCCGGGUUGCACGGCCAACAUUGGAAUGGUGAUUCAAUAAUCAAUAGUCUAAGAAUGAACGGCCGACCAUUAACUUCAAAGCAAUAGGGUUGCUAAAAGGGUGGAAUCCAAACAGCACUGCUCACUUGUUGGUACCUUGGUUGGAAUCAACACGAGGACCCAAGAAAGAAUGGUGAUGGUGAGAAGUAUCACCAUACCAAGAAUUCUUAAGAGGUGGUGAAAUUCCCACGAUAUUCUUGACAUAAAAGGUGGUAAUAUUCCAAGGUAAAGAAGAACAAUGCUGGGUAGCAAGGAACUCAAGGUAUAACACAAAACACGAACAAGUUUGUGUUGGAGGGAAGGCAGUAUAGUGGUUGAUGAUAACCCAAAUCAUUGAGGCAAGGAUGUAUUUCUCAUCAUGAAUCCGAUUGAUAUCCUGGAAGAGCUCAUAAGGUCGAUGAUGAUCAUGACACAUUUGUUGAGAGGUUACACGAAGAUGUAAUUGAUCGACGAUGACAUCAAGUCAAACGAAUGAUGAAGCGAAAGGUUAUUGGAACCACGGUUAGGACACAAACCCCAAAGCAAGCUUGCUGUCCAAAGCAAAAUGAUAUGAUGAGGAAAGAUCGACGUAAGGUUAGCUCAUCGUCAAAAAUUAUGCUCUGGGAAGAGGACCAGGUAGCACAGUUAAAAUCGGCACGACAAGGAUAUAGCCAAACAGGCUAGGAAUGACGUGAUGGAAUUCAAACUCGUAAGUAAUGAAGGUUACCAAGAGUUGCUUAAUCGCGAUGCAGACUCGUGUCAGUUAUCGGUGUCUUUGAGUGUUAAAUAACUCAGAGCCCGUGAAAAAUUGGAAUCAAUGAGAAUGUAGCACUUGAUGAAGAACUCAUAAGAAGUUAUGCAGUUCCGUGAUAAUCUUGAGAUACCUAGGGGGUAAUACUCGAGGACAAAUCAAAGUAGAGGUUGGACUGGGGUAUUACUCUACAGAAGACAAGUGCUUAAACUUGCACGAGAAAUGGUAUUUAAAGAAGAACAUGGUAGGAAAUCUCGAUCAUAAAUGAUCGGACCACGGAUACAAGAUGAACUUAUAACAAGGGGGUAACUAUUUUUACGAGCAGCUUCCAUGAUAAGUUAUACAUCGUGUCCAUGGGCAUGGACUCCCACUUCUUCAAUGUAUAACCUCCCAUUCACUUCUCGCUUUGAUAAAGGCAUUAGUGUUGAAAGCUUUACCUGGUGUAAUACCAGAUGAGUAUGACUCGUGAAAACUUUCGAGUUCACACAUAUUAAGGAAGGCAUAGGUUCAACCCGUCAGGGUAUCGUGGAAACAUAUACCACAAGCUUCAAUAGUAACUAACACAAGCUCGAUAGUAGAGCAUGGUUGACAAAAACAGAGGAUACAAUUUACCUAAGGCAUUAUGUAUCAGGGAAAGAACUUCUCGAGGUUUUUGUAUACGAAGGACACUGUCGGAUGAUAUUUCAACAAAGGAUCUGACAGUCCUUAGUGAAACUGAUGUGAGUAUCGGCACACAACCAGAGGAAGAAACAAUGCGAAGGCAUUGGAUUAUAGAAGCAACUUACUAAUUCAAAGCUCACAUGUAAAGGAAUUAUGAUUACCAAAUCAAAGGAUCAGAAGCAAACGCUCUGAUUAAGGAUGGAUAAGUUGAGUAAGCUUAGGGGUAAAAUCGACAACAAUUUGAUUGGUCGAGAUCAAGCUCAUGUUUAAAGUGACGUCUGAGUCGAAAAGAUAAUUUAAAAGGAUCAACUGAUGAUUGCGUGCAUUCGUACUCAUUUUGAAUCAAUAGGAUCAAAAUGACGGUGCCUAAGGAUACUAACGAAUAUUGCCAGACAUAUGGAAAGCAUCCAAAAUGCAAGCAGACAAGUAUUGCAGAGCAAUAAGCUACUAAGGAUUUUUGGAGUAUCGAAUAGUAUUUUGAAGACCACUGUGGAACACAUGAGCAACGUUGAAAGAAUGGAUACUCGGUAAGUGUGAGGAGUUAUCCAUAGGGGGUAUUCAUGUGGCAAAGAUUUGCAAUGCAAUGGCUCAAAAGAUUCUUAAAAGUCGAAGAACAAUUCGAUGCAUCUUGUAAUAACAAGAGCAGCUAGGGAUGAAUGUAAGAAUGGAAAGGGAAAUAAGUUAUCCAUAAGGAUUUAUCAGUGGUAGGGUAUUGCAAAAGAAGUGGGCACAAAGUCUCGAGAGAACUUCAGCGAGUAUCUUCGGAAUCUUCUGAUGUAACAAACGAUUAUCGGGAGUGAGGGGCUCUUCGGGAGAAAGUAUUUUCGAGAACCUAAAGUUAGAUUUUUAGAAAAUAUUUAACCCGAAUAGAGGAGAGAUUAGAGUCCCAGAGUAUAGGUCGAGGAAUAAAAGAUCCUAAUACUACCCAAUUGGCGACGUGGGCCCAUGGGCCACACAGCCAAGUUAGUAAAACAAUUUUCAUCGACUAUACUCAACUUCGGCCAAGGAGUUGGAAAGGGGGAUUCCUACAGGCAGUCGGCUCUGAUACCAACUUGUGACGCCCCCGAUUCAAUCAUACACUAAUCAUACACGCAAACGUGUACGAUCAAGAUCAGGGACUCACGGGAAGAUAUCACAACACAACUCUAAAAAUAAAAUAAGUCAUACAAGCAUCAUAUUACAAGCCAGGGGCCUCGAGGGCUCGAAUACAAGUGCUCGAUCAUAGACGAGUCAGCAGAAGCAACAAUAUCUGAGUACAGACAUAAGUUAAACAAGUUUGCCAUAAGAUGGCUAGCACAAACUGGGAUACAAUCGAAAGAGGCGCAGGCCUCCUGCCUGGGAUCCUCCUAACUACUCCUGGUCGUCGUCAGCAGCCUGCACGUAGUAGUAGGCACCUCCAGUGUAGUCGUCAUCAUCGACGGUGGCGUCUGGCUCCUGGGCUCCAGAGUCUGGUUGCGACAUCCGGGAAGAAGAGGAAACCGGGGGAAAAGAGGGAGCAAAGCAACCGUGAGUACUCAUCCAAAGUACUCGCAAGCAAGGAGCUACACUACAUAUGCAUGGGUAUAGGUGUAAGGAGGCCAUAUCAGUGGACUGAACUGCAGAAUGCCAGAAUAAGAGGGGGAUAGCUAGUCCUAUCGAAGACUACGCUUCUGGCAGCCUCCGUCUUGCAGCAUGUAGAAGAGAGUAGAUUGAAGUCCUCCAAGUAGCAUCGCAUAGCAUAACCCUACCCGGCAACCCUCUCCUCGUCACCCUGUUAGAGAGCGAUCACCGGGUUGUAUCUGGCACUUGGAAGGGUGUGUUUUAUUAAGUAUCCGGUUCUAGUUGUCAUAAGGUCAAGGUACAACUCCAAGUCGUCCUGUUACCGAAGAUCACGGCUAUUCGAAUAGAUUAACUUCCCUGCAGGGGUGCACCACAUAACCCAACACGCUCGAUCCCAUUUGGCCGGACACACUUUCCUGGGUCAUGCCCGGCCUCGGAAGAUCAACACGUCGCAGCCGCACCUAGGCACAACAGAGAGGUCAGCACGCCGGUCUAAAUCCUAUGCGCGCAGGGGUCUGGGCCCAUCGCCCAUUGCACACCUGCAUGUUGCGUACGCGGCCGGUGAGCAAACCUAGCAACCUCCAUUACAAAGGAAGUUGCGUUAACGCAGUCCAACCCGGCGCGCGCCGCUCAGUCGCUGACGUCACGAAGGCUUCGGCUGAUACCACGACAUCGAGUGCCCAUAUCUUUCCCGCGUAGUUGGUUAGUGCGUAUAGGCCAGUAGCCAGACUCAGAUCAAAUACCAAGAUCUCGUUAAGCGUGUUAUUAUGAAGCAACCGCGAACGCCGACCAGGGCCAGGCCCACCUGUCUCCUAGGUGGUCUCAACCUGCCCUGUCGCUCCGCCACAAAGUAAUAGGUGGGGGCCGUCAGGAACCCAGGCCCACCUCUACCGGGAUGGAGCCACCUGUCCUUUCAGCCCCCACAUCGGAAUCACUUGCGGGUACUCAACGAGCUGACCCGACUUUAGUCACCAUUUGUAUAGUAUGUAUAUAUGUAUAGUAUAUACCCAUGAUCACCUCCCAAGUGAUCACGGCCCGAUAGUCUAGCAAGGCAGACUGACAAGAAUGUAGGGCCAAUGAUGAUAAACUAGCAUCCUAUACUAAGCAUUUAGGAUUGCGGGUAGGGUAUCAAUGACUGUAGCAACAAUGACAGGCUAUGCAACAGAAUAGGAGUAACCGAACAGUAACAUGCUAUACUACUCUAAUGCAAGAAGUAUAGAGAAGAAUAGGCGAUAUCUGGUGAUCAGGGGGGGGGCUUGCCUGGUUGCUCUGGCAAGGAGGGGUCGUCGGUGACGUAGUCGAUCACAGGGGCAUCAUCGGUCUCGGGGUCUACCGGAGAGAAGAGGGGGAAGAAACAGUAAAUAUAAAGCAAACAUAGCAUAACAGGACAACCAGUAGAGCUAGGCGUGUUCUAACGUGGUGCUACAUGAUACCGGCGAGGGGGGAAGUCAACCGGGAAUGUUUUCCCGGUUCCGGACCAGUGUUAGACAAAUGACUGGAGGGGGAAAGUCCCAUGUUCAGCAUGCUAGGGGCAUGUGACAGAUGAACGGACCGUGUAUUCGGAUUCGUUGGAUUUUUCUGAGAAACUUUCAUAUAGAAAACAUUUUCAUCCGACCUGCGGGUUAAUUUCUAUGAAUUUCUAAAGAUUAAACCAUUUUCAGAAAUUAUUUAAAUUAACAGAAAUGAAUUAUGACGUCAGCAGAGUGUCAGGAUGACAUCAGCAGGUCAACAGACCCGUUGACUGGUCAAACUGGCCAAUUGGUCCCACCUGUCAUUGGCAGUGGGCUAACAACAAUUCAUUUUAAUUUAAACAGAAUAUUUAGUGAUUGGACCCCACUAGUCAGUGACUCAUUAGUUUAGCUAAUUAUGUUUAUUUAGGAAAACGUUUUAAUUAGGUUAAAAAGGCGGGGGGGUGGGGGGGGGGGCGUGUGUCAGUGGCACUGAGUGCACAGUCAGCAAAGUUGACCGGGUCAACUGGUCAACAGGAGGCCAGGGGCCCCACUAGCAGUGACCCAGGGGUGGCCCCAGGUGUGCCACAUCGAUGGUGGCCGGCGGCUAAACGCCGGCGACCGAAAAUACGGCAGAGGCGCUCGGGAUCUCGCCGGAAUCCACGUACAGGGGGCCAUUUGGCCCGUGCAUUGGCACGUUCGAACGAGUGAGCAACGCCGCAUCCAACGCGGGUGGCCACGCGAGCUGUGAUGGCCGGAGCCGCCGUCAGCGACAGGGACGAUGGAGACCCGAAGCACGACGAACUCGCGCACGAUGAAACGGAGGCCAAAAUGGGCGGCGUGCUACUCCUACGGUGACUACUCGAAGCCAGGAACGCGUUGGUGAGCUCGGCGGACCGGGACGAGCCCUACCGUGACGGCUGCGAGCUCGAUAGCGGAGUCAGGGUGUGGCAGUGGCGGCGCAUCAUGCACAGCUUGCUGCGGCACGUAAACGGAGCUAGGACGGGGAGAGGAAAGGGGUGGAGCUCACCGAGUGGCUCACACGAUGGCCCGUGGUGGUUUAGGAGCUGCAGAGACGUCGUCGGAGCCGAGGAUGAGCGGCAGCGACCGGAAAUGUAGACGAAGGCGAACGGAGGCAGCGGGGCUCCACAUCUCCACCUGGUGGCACCAAGAGAGGUUGCCGACCACGGCGAGGCCCGUGGACAAGGCCAGCAGGCAUGGGGCCGCCGAUGGCCGUGGCAACGACGAAGGACGGCGGCGAGGGCGCUCGGGCCGUGGAUCUGGAGGAGAGGAGGGGCGGAGCGAGCGAUGGCGAGGGAGGAAGAGUGGAUAGGGAUUGAGGGGAGGCCGAGGGGAAGGGGAGGUGGAUCUUUAUCCACCCACGACGCCUGUAGCGGUGUGGUCGACGAGGUGGGUUCGGCGGCGACGGCGGGCACGCCUCGGUCACUUGAACAAAGAACGGGGGGGAGGAGGAGGAGGCCGUGGUGGGCUGGCUUCCAGGCACUGUGCACUUAGGCCUAGUCCUCAUCAGUAGCCUAGGCCCUUUUUUUGUAUUUAUUUGUUUUCUAUUUAUUAGUUUUCUAUUUUAUUUUCUAUAUAUUUUUGUUUUAUAAAAUAUAUAAGUAGUACCUAAAUUAGUGUUACAAAAUACCCCAAUGCCACAAAAAGUUUGGUGACAAAAUAAAAUAGUUUAGUAAUUUAUUAAUUGUAAAAGGCAUUUAAUUAAUUGCUUUUGCUACUGUUUAAAUCCUUAUAGUUCAUUUAAGCAUUUUAUAAAAGCUUGGUUUCUCCACCAUAAUUGCUUACGAUUUAUUCGAAACAACCCGAACAUUUUAGUUUUAAUUUUUGAAAACUUUUGUUGUUUGCUUUUCUUUUGAAAUUGAAUUUGAAUCGGUUUCGAACUAACGCGAGAUUAGCAACAGUAAUCGAGGUGACGUGGCAUUAUUAGCAGAGGUUACUGUAGCUUGAUUAUCCGGGCGUCACACUUAUGGCCCGUUACUGGCCUUUUCUACCCGUGGGCCAAAUUCAGCUCGUGGUUACAGUCGGCCCGUUUGUGGCCCGCUAAUCCGUUGGGCCAUUUCCAUAGUGUCAUCAAAUACGACUGAUGAACGACGACCCGUUAUGGUCGGCCCAUGAACAGACGGUUCCAACUCUAGCCUGUUUACGGCCCAUAAUGCAGUCCGUUAUUGGCCCAUGUUUGGCCAAUCGAUCAUACGGCCCGUAGAAGGCCCAUUGAUGCUACACCCCAUAGAAGGCCCAUUGUUUCUACGGCCUAUAGAAGGCCCUUGUUUCUACGGCCCGUAGGAGGUCCAUGGUCACUACAGUAAAUAUGUAGCCCAUGGUUAUUGUGGCCUAGUUUUAAAAAAAGGUUAUUGCGGCCACUAGCAAACCACAGAAAAAGAACUGCAUUGACUACAAGCAAACAAAUAAACAAGGCAACAAGGAAAUAAAUAAGCAAGCAAGUUACGCUAGGCUAUCAUGGCUAUUACACAUAUUACAUCCACUAGGCAUCAAAGUUCACCACCAGUGCAAAUAUAGGGAACAAAGCAGCAUAUCACAUACACUGGUUGUCAAAGUUGGAGAACAGUGCAAAUAAAGGCCACAACAAAACAAGUACAUAACUGAAACCACUUCAGAAGAGCUCAAGAAACAAUAUCCUGGGUACCCAUAAUGCUGGCAAGAUGCUUAGCAAGCUUAUUAGCUUUCUCUUGUUUGGCGCUUAAAUCCUCCAGCGGUUGCUGUUGCACUAGAAAGUAUGCAUCUGAAUUCUAUAGGGACUUCCCCAGUCCUUCGGCUUCUUGCCACAGCACAGCUGACUGACGCCUUUCAACUUGUAGCUGAGACUGAAUAAGCCGAAGUGAUUUAGGCAGCGAGUUCAAAGAGCUUGUGCCAGCGGUACUGGCCAGUAACUCGAACACUACAUCAACGCGGGACUUUGGGGUUGUCUCACUGUCUAGAAGAUCGUUUUUAUCACCUUUCUUGGAGACCAACAGGGUUAUCCACUAUCUUGAACCUUAUCUGCAUUACUUUCUCUACCAUUGCAUAGUGGGGUGCUCUUCUCCAAUAUCCUGUUCGCAUUAUACAAGAGAAACAAGAAGACACAUCACAGGUUUAACAUGUAGUAUACAAAACUCAUUUUGGUAAACCGGUCCAGUAGUAAGGUGGACAGGAUAACAACAUGAAACAAACAUAUAUCUAUGUACUAUGGUCACUGUAUUGUCCAUACCAUUCUAGUUUAUGUUGCCAAAUCAAGAUAGAGACACAGUUCAAAUCAUAUAUUUUUAAGACACAACAACAUAGAAAGAAUAUAAGUGUGAGAAAUUACACAACACUGGCAACACUUGUAAUGUGCAUCACGUGAGAACAUAACUGUUUAUACAACUGAAACUGAAAUCAACAUAGAGCAAGAAGUUAGAACAACAAUCCAGUUAAAGAAAUAGGUUUGAAACAUACAUGUUGCGCCAUUGGAGUUUCAAUUGGAUCCUUCAAAUUCGAAAUUAGUUGGUAUGAGUAAAUAUAGUGAUGCAAGAGCAAAGGAGUAUGGACCAUAGCUAUGGAAUCUAACCUGAGAACAGUUGCUCUUCUGCUUUAAACGUGGAGUUUGGGUUCGCUUUGGUGGUCUUCGUGCUUUGGGCACUGCAGUUGCUUUACAAACUGCUCGUGUGGGGGUACUCUGUGGUGGACAUGGUGCUGUGUCAACUAGAAGUGGGUUACUAUCCACUGGGGUUGGGGUGAGAUGGGUUGUAGGUGGUUCUCUGUCCAAUAGUGUAAGUGUGCAAUCUGGAAGACUCUUGAUUAUGCGUGGUGGGGCUAGUUCGUGGGCUAGUACAACCAUGGUUCUAUUUGCAUCGACAAGUAGCAUCGUCUUUUGUGAAGAACGGGUUUUUGCUCCCUUAGACACUUCCGUCACCCCUCCAAUUCAAAUGGCUGAUAAACAAGAAAAGAAAUUGAACGUACAGACAUUGUAUGAUAGACAGAUGUGGUAAUUCACAAAUAUGUUGUCUAACCAAACAAGAUAACAUGACACAAUUUCACAUAUAUGAUGGCUAACUAAACAUGAUAGCAUGACACAGUUUCAGAUAUAUGAUGGCUAACUAAAUAGGACAACAUGACACAAUUUCACAUAUAUGAUGGCUAACUAAACAGGAUAGCAUGACAUACUUUUCCCACCAACGAAAAUGACUUAGAGCUCCCAACACUUUCCAUGCUAGAUACAUCAUAGGCGGUUCCCAAACAGAAAAUAAUGUUUAUUCAUUUUUCCACCAUACGUCCACUUUCCAUGGCUAACCGUAUCCACGGGUGCCCUCCAUACCAACACUUUACAAGGAAUUUAUUAUUUGACAACAUAAAUUAAAUUCAUUUUUCAUUUUGGGACUAGGCAUCCCUAAUACCUUUGUCGUACUCUCGUGCAAUGACUAGUGAAUAAACACUCAUCGUGAUAAUAACACAUCUAGCAUGGAAAAUAUUGGCCACCCCUCACCACCUUGCGAGCGGUACAAGCACACAAAAGAGAAAAUUAUUUUGAAAAUUAGAGAUGGCACAUGCAAAUUUGCUUAGAACGACACAGAAAUACCACAUAUAGGUAGGUAUAGUGGACUGAUAUGGAAAAACUGGUUUAAAGAGUUUUGGAUGCACAAGUAGUGAUCAUACUUAGUGCAAAAUGAAGGCUAGCAAAAAGAUUGAUAAGCGACCAACCAAGAAACGAAAAAUCUCGUACCCAAGCAUUAAGCAUAAGUAACACCAAAUAAUGUACCACAAGUAGGAUAUAAAUUUCAUUGCAUAACUACUGAUUUUCGUGCUUGCAUAGGGAAUCACAAACUUUAACACCAAUAUUCUUACUAAAGCAUAAUUACUCAUCAACAUGACUCACAUAUCAUAUCUUCAUAUCUCAAAACCAUUACUAAGAAUCAAGUUUAUUUUGUCCAAUGAUCUUCAUGAAAGUUUUUAUUAUAUCCUUCUUGGAUAUCUAUCACUUUGGGACUAUUUUCAUAUGUUGCUUUUGAUAAGCUCAAACAAAUUUAAGUGAAGAACAUGAACAUAAUAUUUCUUUAUCUCAAAAUAAUCUAAGUGAAGCAAGAGAGAAUUUCUUCAAAAAUAACAAAGCACACCUUGCUCAAAAAGAUAUAAGUGAAGCACUAGAGCAAUUCCAUGGCUCUAAAAAUUGAAGUGAAGCAUAGGAUCAAGCAUAGCAUAAUUUUUGGAUCUCUCAAAAAGGUGUGCCCAACAAGGAUUCAAGACUUAAAAUACAAAGCGAAACAAGCAAAGACUCAAAUCAUACAAGACGCUCCAAUCAAAACUCAUAAUAUGUGACGAAUAAAAAUAUAGUUCCAAGUAAAAUAUCGAUGAUUGUUAGAAGAAAGAGGGGAUGCCACUCGGGGGCAUCCCCAAGCUUAGUUGCGUGCUACUUGGGGUGCCUCGGCCAUUCCCAAGCUUAGCCUUUUUCUAAUCCUUAUCCCUUCAUCCAUCGUAAGAUCACCCAAAACUUGAAAACUUCAAUCACACAAAACUCAACAAAACCUUCGUGAGAUCCGUUAGUAUAAGAAAGCAAACCACUACUAUAAGUACUGUUGCAACCCAUUCAUAUUUUAUUUUUGCAUUAUAUCUACUGUAUUCCAACUUUUCUGUGGUUAAAACUCUUCAAAGAAAACCAUAGAAUCAUUGAAACAAGCACACAACGCAAAGAAAAUGGAAUCUAUAAAAAACAGAACAAUCUAUAGAAAUCUGACUACUUCGAAUACUUAUAUAAAUCCCAAAAUUCUGAGAAAUUAGGACGACGUGAAUAAUUUGUUUAUUAAUCUUCUGCAAAAAGAAUCAACUCAAAAUCAAUUUUCUGGUGAAAAUGAAAAAUAAUUUCGUGAGCGUAAAAGUUUCUGUUUUUCAGCUAGAUCAAAUCAAUUCUCACCCAAAUCAUCCCAAAGGCCUUGCUUGGAAAAAACAAUGAUUUAAACCACAAAACACAUCUAAUCAGAGGCAUACUUGUGUAUUUUAUUGAAAACAGCAAGAAAACCAAAAAACAAAAAGAUACAUGUUGGGUUGCCUCCCAACGAGCGCUAUCGUUUUACGCCCCUAGCUAGGCAUAACACGAAGGAUCUAAGUUUUGUCAUCUUUAGUUCUAGAUCCAUACGAUGCCUCAUGAUUGAUUCAUAUGGUGGCCUAAUUCUCGUUCUAAGGAAGUGUUCAAUACCCUUCCUUAGUGGAAAUUGAAAUUUAACAUUGCCUUCUUUCAUAUCAAUCACGACACCAAUAGUACAUAAAAACGGUCUACCAAGUAUAAUUGGAGAAGACAGAUUGCAAUCAAUAUCAAGAACAAUAAAAUCUAUGGGCACAUAAUUUCUAUUUGCAAGAAUAAUAACAUCAUUAAUUCUUCCCAUAGGCUUUUUAAUAGUAGAAUCCGCUAAGUGCAAAUUUAAAGAGCGUUCUUCAAUAUCGGUAAGACCAAGCACAUCACAUAAAGACUUCAGAAUUGUAGAAACACUAGCACCCAAGUCACAUAAAAAAACACUCAUAAAUUUUAAUCUUGACUUUGAUGGUAGGUUCCCAUUCAUCAUGCAACUUUCUAGGAACUGAAACUUCUAAUUCCAACUUUUCUUCAAAAGAUUUCAUCAUAGCAUCAACAAUAUGUUUAGUGAAAGCUUUAUUUUGUUCAUAAGCAUGGGGUGAAUUUAUCAUGAAUUGCAACAAAUAAAUACGAUCAACCAAAGAGCAACUAUCAUAAUUAAAUUCUUUGUAAUCCAAAAUAGUGGGCACUUAUUCAAACCCACUUUUAUCAAUUUUCUCAACAAGAUUUUCACCCUCCGAAUUAUAGGGACGCCUUCUAACUAAAGUUGACUCUUCCCCAAUCCAUUUUUCAUCAAUAUUAAUUUUACUAAACAAAGAAUCAAUAGAAGAAGCACCAAUCGUUUUAAGAUCUUCAUCACUUUUAUGAAAGUAAUCACUAGAAACCGCCCUUUCUAAAAAUUCUCUUUUAGCUCUAAGCAUAGCGGUUCUUUUCUUACUUUCAUCCAUAGAAACAUAAAGAGAUUUAAUUGAUUCUUCAACUUUAGGCACAAAAUUUUUCAUCUUGAGAGUUUCUACAUCAUGAGAACUUAUAUCAAUACUUCUAGACAUAUCAUCAACUUUAUUCAACUUUUCUUCUAUCUAAGCAUUGGAAACUUUUUGAGUAUUGAUAAAUUCUUUAAUAUUAUUCUCAAGAUCAGAGGUGUUUCUAUUAUUAUUAUAAGUAGGAUUACCAUAAUUAUUAGUGGAAUUACUAGGAAAAGACCUAGGAUUAAAAUUACCUCUAUAAGCAUUGUGUAUUGAAAUUGUUUUGCGAGAUAAAAUUCACAUCUAUGGAGUCACUAUUUUGCUCAAUCAAGGUAGACAAAGGCACAUCAUUAAAAUCAAUAGGAGCACUUUUAUUAGCAACCAACUUCAUAAGAGCAUCAACCUUUUCAAUCAAAGAAUUUAUUUCUUCUACCGAAUUGACCUUUUUACUAGUAGGAGCUCUUUUGAUAUGCCAUUGUGAGUAAUUGGCCAUAAUAUUGCCUAGCAAUUUAGUAGCUUCACCCAAAGUAAUUUCCAUAAAGGUACCACCAUGGUGGAGUCCAAAAGAUUACAAGAAACAAAAUUCAACCUCGCAUAAAAUUUUUGUAUGAUCAUCCAAAGAUUCAACCCAUGAGUUGGGCAAUUCCUUAGCAUCAAUUUCAUCCUUUUCCAAGAUUGUGCAACAUGCUCAUGUUCAAGUUGCCUAAAAUUCAUGAUCUGGGUUCUAAGAGAAAUGAUUUUUGUGGGCAGAAAAUACUUAGUAAUAAAAGCAUCCUUGCACUUGUUCCAAGAAUUGAUACUAUUGCAAGGCAAAGAAGAAAACCAAAUUUUUGCGCAAUCUCGCAAAGAAAACAGAAACAAUUUCAACUUCACAACAUCAUUGUCCACAUCUUUUUUCUUUUGCAUAUCGCAUAAUUCCAUGAAUGUGUUAAGAUGGGACAAGGCAUCCUCAUUAGGACUACCGACAAAUUGAUCUUUCAUGACAAGAUUCAACAAAAAAGUAUUAAUAUCACAAGACUCCGCACUAGUGGUGGGACGAGCAAUCAGAGUGCUAAUAAAACCAUUGUUAUUGGUAUUUGAGAAAUCACACAACUUGGCGUUCUCUUGAGUCAUGAUGACUUCACAAGAAGAUUGCACUGAAAAACAGAUCUGACGAGAAAACGGCGAACGAAAAAGAGGGCGAAUAAAACGGCAAAUUUUUGUGAAGUGGGGGAGAGGAAAAUGAGAGGUAAAUGGCAAAUAAUGUAAAUUACGAGGAGAUGAGAUUUGUGAUUAGGAACCUAGUUGAUGUUGAAGAUCCUUCCCGAUAACGGCGCCAGAAAUUCCUUUUGACGCCUGCUUGAACUAUGUCGGUAUUUCCCCAAAGAGGAAGGAAUGAUGCAGCACAGGGACAGUAGGUAUUUCCCUCAGUGAUGGGACCAAGGUUAUCGAACGAGUAGGAGAACAAAUCAACACAACGUAAACAACCCCUGCACACAAGUAACGAAUAUUCGCAACCCGACGUGUUAAAGGGGUUGUCAAUCCCUUUCGGGUAACGGUGCCUCAAAUUGGCGAGAAGACAUGAUAAAGUUGUGAUAGAUAGGAUAAAUUGAUCGCAAAUAAAAUAAAGUGCAACAAGGUAUUUUUGUAUUUUUGGUUUAAUAGAUCUGAAAAUAAAAGCAAAGUAAAAUAGAUCGCAAAGGCAAAUAUGAUGAAAAGAGACCCGGGGGCCGUAUGUUUCACUAGUGGCUUCUCUCGAGAAAAAAAUAGCAAACAGUGGGAAAACAAUUACUGUUGGGCAAUUGAUAGAACUUCAAAUAAUCAUGAGGAUAUCCAUGCAAUGAUCAUUAUAUAGGCAUCAUGUCCAAGAUUAGUAGACCAACUCCUGCCUGCAUCUACUACUAUUACUCCACACAUCGACCGCUAUCCAACAUGCAUCUACUGUAUUAAGUUCAUGGGAAAACGGAGUAAUGCAAUAAGAACGAUGACAUGAUGUAGACAAGAACUAUUUAUGUAGAAAUAGACCCCCGAUGACCCACAAGUAUAGGGGAUCUAUUGUAGCCCUUUCGAUAAGUAAGAUUGUCAAACCCAACGAGGAGCAGAAGGAAAUGACAAGCGGUUUUCAGUAAGGUAUUCUUUGCAAGCACUGAAAUUAUCGGUAAUAGAUAGUUUUGUGAUUAGGUAAUCCGUAAUGGGUAACAAGUAACAAUAGUAAACAAGGUGCAGCAUGGUGGCCCAAUCCUUUUUGUAGCAAAGGACAAGCCUAGAAAAACUCUUAUAUAAAGCAAAGCGUUCCCGAGGACACAUGGGAAUUACUGUCAAGCUAGUUUUCAUCAUGCUCAUAUGAUUCACGUUCAUUACUUUGAUAAUUUGAUAUGUGGGUGGACCGGUGCUUGGUCACUGCCCUUCCUUGGACAAGCAUCCCACUUAUGAUUAACCCCUCUCGCAAGCAUCCGCAACUACGAAAGAAGAAUUAAGGUAAACCUAACCAUAUCAUGAAACAUAUGGAUCCAAUUCAGCCCCUCACGAAGCAACACAUAAACUAGGGUUUAAGCUCUGUCACUCUAGCAACCCAUCAUCUACUUAUUACUUCCCAAUGCCUUCCCCUAGGCCCAAAUCAUGGUGAAGAGUCAUGUAGUCGAUGUUCACAUAACACCACUAGAGGAGAGACAACAUACAUCUCAUCAAAAUACCGAACGAAUACCAAAUUCACAUGUUUACUUAUAACAAGACUUAUCCCAUGUCCUCAAGAUCAAACCUAACUACUCACAAAUCAUAUUCAUGUUCAUAAUCAGAGGGGUAUUAAUAUGCAUUAAGGAUCUGAACAUAUGAUCUUCCAUCAAAUAAACCAACUAGUAUCAACUAAAAGGAGUAAUCAACACUAGUAGCAACCCAUAGGUACCAAUAUGAGGUUUUGAGACAAAGAUCGUAUACAAGAGAUGAACUAGGGUUUGAGAAGAGAUGGUGCUGGUGAAGAUGUUGAUGGAGAUUGACCUCCUCUUGAUGAGAGGAUCGAUGGUGAUGAUGAUGGCGACAAUUUCCCCCUCCCGGAGGGAUGUUUCCCCGGUAGAACAGCUCCGCCGGAGCCCUAGAUUGGUCCUGCCCAGGUUCCGCCUCGAGACAACGGCGCUUCGUCUCGAAAGCUUCCUUAUGAUUUUUUCCAUGGAAAAAUACACCAUAUAGCAGAAGAUGGACGUCGGGGGCCCGCCAAGUAGCCCACGAGGCAGGGGGCAUGCCCAAGGGGGUAGGGCGCACCCUCCACCCUCGUGCCUGGUGGGUGGCCCCCUCUGGUGCUUUCUUCUCCCAAUAUUUUUAAUAUAUUCCAAAACUGACUUUCUGGAGUUUCAGGACUUUUGGAGUUGUGCAGAAUAGGUCUCUAAUAUUUGCUCCUUUUCUAGCCCAGAAUUCAAGCUACCGACAUUCUCCCUCUUCGUGUAAACCUUAUAAAAUAAGAGAGAAAAGGCAUAAGUAUUGUGACAUAAUGUGUAGUAACAACCCAUAAUGCAAUAAAUAUUGAUAUAAAGGCAUGAUGCAAAAUGGAUGUAUCAACUCCCCCAAGGUUAGACCUCGCUUGUCCUCAAGCGAAAGCCAAUAUCAAAAAAUAUGUCCACAUGUUUAGAGAUAGAGGUGUCGAUAAAAUAAAAUACGGACAUGAGGUCAUCAUGAUCAUCUUUAGAACAACAACAUAUAUAUUGUCAUAUGAUUUCUUAUGCUAAAGUACCAAUCUAUUCACAAUGUAAAGUAUGAAUCAGAAACUUCAUUGAAAACUAACAAACUAUGAUCUCGGUCAUUGAAGCAAUUGCAAUUUAUCAUAACAUCGGAAAGAGUCAAUAUAAGAGCUUUUCAACAAGUCCACAUACUCAACUAUCAUUUAGUCUUUCACAAUUGCUAACACUCACGUGAUACUUAUGGGUAUGAAGUUUCAAUCGGACACAGAGAAAGAUAGGGGCUUAUAGUUUCGCCUCCCAACCUUUUACCUCAAGGGUAAUGUCAAGAAUAAUACUUUAUGAAAACCUACAUCCAAGUGGAUAUAUAUAUCAGGAUCUUUCCAACACGUAGUGCUUGCCAAAGGAUAAAGUGUAAAAAGGAAAGGUGAAGAUCACCAUGACUCUUAUAUAAGGGUAGAUGGUAAAAAUAAAAGAUAGUCCCUUCGCAGAGGGAAGCAGAGGUUGUCAUCCACUUUUAUGGUUGGAUGCACAAAAUCUUAAUGCAAAAGAAUGUCACUUUAUAUUGCCACUUGUGAUAUGGACCUUUAUUAUGCAGUCUGUCGCUUUUAUUUCUUCCAUAUCACAAGCUCGUAUAAAACUUAUUUUCUUCACGGUAAUAGAUCAUACAUAUUUAGAGAGCAAUUUUUAUUGCUUGCACCGAUGACAACUUACUUGAAGGAUCUUACUCAAUCCAUAGGUAGGUAUGGUGGACUCUCAUGGCAAAACUGGGUUUAGGGAUGUUUGGAAGCACAAGUAGUAUCUCUACUUGGUGCAAAGAAUUUGGCUAACAUGAGGGGGAAAGGCAAGCUCAACAUGUUGGAUGAUCCAUGACAAUAUAACUUAUUAGGAUAUAAGGAAACAUAUCCCAUUACAUUUUCUUCCUUGUCCAACAUCAACUUUUUAGCAUGUCAUAUUUUAAUGAGCGCUCACAAUCAUAAAAGAUGUCCAAGAUAGUAUAUUUAUAUGUGAAAAUCUCUCUUUCUUUAUUACUUCCUAUUAAUUGCAACGAUGACCAAAACUAUGUUUGUCAACUCUCAACAACUUUUGUUCAUCAUACUCUUUAUAUGUGAAGUCAUUACUCUCCAUAAGAUCAAUAUGAUCUUUUUAUUUCUUUUUAUUCCUUCUUUUAUUCCCUCAAGAUCAUAGCAAGAUAGCAAAGCUCUCAACUCAAAACUAAUCUUUAUUAUAUAUAGCUCACGGACUCGAUUACAUAGAUAGAGAUCAAAACAAAACUCAAAGCUAGAUCAUACUAAAACUUUAUUCUAGUAGAUCAAGAUAUAACCAAAAGGAUCGAACUAAGAAAAACGGUAAAGAUAGAAGUGUGAUGGUGAUACGAUACCGGGGCGCCUCCCCGAAGCUUGGCAGUUGCCAAGGGGAGUGCCCAUUCCCAUGUGUUUAUGUCUCUUUCUUCGGAGGUGGUGAUGAUGGAGUUGUUGACCAUGUAGGCUUGUCGUCCAUCUUCCAAGGCAUAGGCUCACCAUCAUAGAAGGAUGGACGAGUCUCCGGGAUUCUCAAAUCUGCAGCCAAACUCAUCCUCUUGAAUCUAUAUUCAUACUCACAGUUUUGGUUUUGCAGGUCAUAGAUCUGGGCCUGGAGGUGCUCGAUUUUCUUGUGAAGCUUGAAGAUGGCCUCCCCGAUGUUCUUGGCAUCCAGCUUCUGGUUGUUGGUGAACUCCGCGAUCAUCAUAUGAUUGACAUUGAGUCCGCGUUCCACCAUCCCUUGGCACUUGAAAACUUGUUGCUCCAUUGCUUUGAGUCUUGUCUCCAUGCUUCCGGUCCUUCUCGGUCCCUCAACAUUGGGGAUGUGCAGCACCCCCUCACGCAUCUCAACGGUUUGAGGGUGUUGCAGCACCUCCGCGAGGUAAGGGUUGAUGACCUUCUCGAAAAACUAGUCCUUGGGGGCGUUUGGAGACAUCAUGGUGAUCUAGAUCUGUCAGAAAAACAUCUCGGAACAAAAGCAGAGGAUUUUGUCAUGGUACGGUGGUCAAAACCUUCGGGAGAUUAUAUAAUGAAUUUUUACUGACCAAAAGAAGUAUCGUGCAAGAAAACGGAGUCUGGAGGGCACAUGAGGUGGCCACGAGGCGGGGGGCAUGCCCAUGGGGGUAGGGCGCGCCCUCCACCCUCGUGGACGCCUCGUGUCUCUUUUAGACUACUUUUAAUUUUCCUAUUUUUUUAAAUAUUCCAAAAUGGCGAAAGUUGAUAUUUGAACAGUUUUGGAGUCGGUUUACUUACCAUACCACAUACCUAUUCCUUUUCGGAGUCUGAAACAUUCUGGAAAGUGUCCCUUGUGUACUCCUACGGGGUUACGGUGUCAAUGACAUUGGUUUCAACAUUUAUGGGAUUACCUGAGAUAUAAUGUUUGAUUCUUUGACUGUUUACCACCUUCGGAUUUGUGCCUUCGGCGUUGUUGAUUUUGAUGGCACCGAAACGAUAGACCUCCUCGAUAAUGUAAGGACCUUCCCAUUUAGAGAGAAGUUUUCCUGCAAAAAAUCUUAAACAAGAGUUGUAUAGCAAAACAUAAUCACCUACAUUAAACUCACGCUUUUGUAUCGUUUUGUAAUGCCAUCUUUUAACUUUUUCUUUAAACAAUUUGGCGUUCUUAUAGGCCUUGGUUCUCCAUUCAUCAAGUGAGCUAAUGUCAAAUAGCCUCUUCUCACUGGCAAGUUUGAAAUCAUAAUUGAGCUCUUUAAUGGCCCAAUAUGCCUUAUGUUCUAGUUCAAGAGGUAAGUGACAUGCUUUUCUAUAAACCAUUUUAUACGGAGACAUACCCAUAGGAUUUUUAUAUGCAGUUCUAUAAGCCCAUAAUGCAUCAUCAAGUUUAUAGGACCAAUUCUUUCUAGAUCUAUUAACAGUCUUUUCAAAAUCAAUUUAAUCUCUCUAUUACUCUAUUCUACUUGUCCACUAGACUGAGGAUGGUAUGGAGAUGCAAUUCUAUGAUUAACAUCAUACUUAGCAAGCAUUUUACGAAAAGCGCCAUGAGUAAAAUGUGAACCACCAUCAGUCAUUAAGUAUCUAGGGACUCCAAAUCUCGGAAAAAUAACUUCUUUAAGCAUCUUAAUAGAGGUGUUAUGAUCAACACUACUAGUUGGAAUAGCUUCUACCCACUUAGUAACAUAAUCAACAACAACUAAAAUAUGUGUAUACCCAUUAGAGGAAGGAAAAGGUCCCAUAUAAUCAAAGCCCCAAACAUCAAAUGGUUCAAUAACAAGUGAAUAAUUCAUAGGCAUUUCUUGUCAUCUACUAAUAUUACCAAUUCUUUGGCAUUCAUCGCAAGACAAGACAAACUUACGGGCAUCUUUGAAAAGAGUAGGCUAAUAAAAGCCGGAUUGCAAUACCUUAUGUGCAAUUCUAUCUCCAGUGUGGUAUCCUCCGUAAGCCUCAGAGUGACACUUGCGUAGGAUCUGUUCCUAUUCAUGCUCAGGUACAAAAUGUCUAAUAACACCAUAUACUCCUUUAUAAAGGUGUGGGUCAUCCCAAAAGUAAUGUCUUAAAUCAUAGAAAAACUUUUUCUUUUGCUGGUAUGUGAAACUAGGUGGUAUAAAUUUAGCAACAAUGUAAUUAGCAUAAUCAGCAUACCAUGGAGCAGUAUGAGAAGCAUUUACGACAGCUAAUUGUUCAUGAGGAAAGCUAUCAUCAAUAGGUAGUGGGUCAUCAAGAACAUUUUUUGACCUAGACAAGUUGUCUGCAACAUGAUUCUCAGCUCCCUUUCUAUCAAUAAUAAUAUGCAAAUCAAAUUCUUUUAGCAAGAGAACCCAUCUAAUAAGUCUAGGUUUAGCAUCUUUCUUUUCCAUAAGAUAUUUAAUAGCAGCAUGAUCGGUGUGAACAGUCACUUUGGAAUCAACAAUAUAAGGUCUGAACUUAUCACAAGCAAAUACGACUGCUAAAAAUUCUUUUUCAGUAGUAGCAUAAUUUCUCUGGGCACUGUCUAGAGUUUUACUAGCAUAUUGGAUAACAUUUAAUUUCUUAUCAACUCUUUGUCCUAGAACAGCACCAACAACAUAAUCACUACUAUCACACAUAAUUUCAAAGGGUAAAUUCCAAUCAGGUGGCUGAACAAUAGGUGCCGCAAUCAAGGCCUUCUUAAGUAUUUCAAAUGCUUCUACACAAUCAUCAUAAAAAACAAAAGGAACAUCUUUUUGUAAGAGAUUGGUCAGAGGCCUAGAAAUUUUAGAGAAGUCUUUAAUUAAACCUCCUAUAAAAACCAGCAUGACCAAGGAAACUUCUUAUACCUUUGAUAUCUUUAGGACACGGCAUCUUUUCAAUAGCAUCUACUUUAGCUUUAUCAACUUCAAUACCUCUUUCGGAAAUUUUAUGCCCCAAGACAAUACCUUCAUUAACCAUAAAGUGGCACUUCUCCCAAUUCAAGACAAGAUUAGUUUCUUCGCAUCUCUGCAAAACUCGAUCAAGGUUGCUUAAGAAAUCAUCAAAAGAAUUUCCGUAAACAGAGAAAUCAUCCUUGAAAACCUCAACAAUCUUUUCACAAAAGUCAGAGAAUAUAGCAGUCAUACAUCUUUGAAAGGUAGCAGGUGCAUUGCAUAAACCAAAAGGCAUAUGUCUAUAAGCAAAUGUACUAAAAGGGAAAGUAAAAGUGGUCUUUUCCUGAUCCUCUUUUGACACAGGUAUUUGGGAGAAACCAGAAUAACCAUCUAGAAAGCAAAAAUGUGUAUGUUUGGAUAAUCUUUCUAGCAUUUGAUCAAUAAAAGGUAAAGGGUAAUGAUCUUUUCUAAUAGCUUUAUUGAAUUUGCGGAAUCAAUUACUAUUCUAUAACAUGUAACAAUUGUUUGUGGGAUCAAUUCAUCCUUAUCAUUAGGAACAACAGUAAUACCUCCCUUCUUAGGGACACAAUGGACAUGACUUACCCACUGACUAUCAGCAAUAGGAUAAAUUAUACCUGCCUCUAGAAGCUUUAGUAUUUCAUUUCUUACCACUUCUUUUAUCUUAGGAUUUAACCGUCGUUGAUGAUCAACAACUGGUUCAGCAUCGUUCUCCAGUUUUAUUUUGUGCUGGCAUAGAGUGGGACUAAUGCCAUUAAGAUCAUCAAGAGUAUAUCCAAUAGCAGCAUGGUGCUUCUUCAGAGUUUUCAAUAAUUUCUCUUCUUCAUUCUCUGAAAGGUUAGCACCAAUAAUAACAGGAUAUAUCUUCUUUUCAUCAAGAUAAGCAUAUUUAAGAGUAUCGGGUAAUUGUUUAAGCUCAAACAUAGGAUCACCCUUGGGUGGAGGAGGAUCCCCUAGGAUUUCAAUAGGCAAGUUAUGUUUCAAAAUAGGUCCCUGUUUAAAGAAUACUUCGUCUAUUUCCCUUCUUUCAUUCAUAAACAUAUCAUUUUCAUGGUCUACCAAAUAUUGUUCUAUAGGAUCAUUAAGAGGCACAUCAAUAGAAGCAAGACCAAUAAUUUCAUCUUUACUAGGCAAUUCUUUAUCAUGGGGUUGUGUACGAAAUUUAGCAAAAUUAAAAUCAUGAGACAUAUCCCCUAGACCGACAGUAACAAUAUCCUUUUCGCUAUCUAUCUUAGCAUUAACAGUAUUCAAGAAGGGUCUACCAAAUAUAAUGGGACAAAAGUCAUCUUGUGGGGAACCAAGAACAAGAAAAUUAGUAGGGUAUUUAAUUUUCCCACACAAUACUUCAACAUCUCUAACAAUCCCAAUUGGUGAAAUAGUUUCUCUAUUGGCAAGCUUAAUUGUAACACCAAUACCUUCUAUUUCGACAGGUGCAAUAUCAUGCAUAAUUUCUUUGUAUAAGGAAUGAGUAUUGCACUCACACUAGCACCAAAAUACAUAAGCCAUGAUAACAAUGCUCUCCUAUUUUAACAGAAACAAUAGGCAUGCCAACAACAUGUCUAUGUUUAUUUUUAGUAUUAGGUUUGGCAAUUCUAGGAGCUUCAUCACAGAAAUAAAUAACAUGCCCAUCAAUAUUAUCGACCAAGAGAUCUUUAACCAUAGCAAUACUAGGUUCAACUUUAAUUUGCUCAGGGGGUGUAGGUUUUCUAGCAUUACUCUUACAAACCAUAGUUGAAGCUUUAGCAUGAUCCUUUAUUCUAACAGGAAAAGGUGGUUUCUCAAUAUAAGUAGUAGGAACAAUAGGAUCAACAUCAUAAGUAAUAGUUUUUUCUUCAACUUUAAUGGGUUCUACUACUUUCACUUCAAUGGGAGGAUGAUAUUUAAACUACUUCUCCUUAGGGAGAUCAACAUGAGUAGCAAAUGAUUCACAGAAAGAAGCUACUAUCUCAGAGUCAAGUCCAUAUUUAGUGCUAAAUUCACGAAAAGCAUCGGUAUCCAUAAAAGAUUUAACACAAUCAAACUUAGGGGUUAUACCUGACUCCUUACCUUCGUCGAGUUCCCAAUCUUCCGAGUUGCAUUUAUUUCUUUCCAAUAAAUCCCGUUUGAAUUCAAUAGUCUUCAUCAUAAAAGAACCAAUACAAGAAGUAUCGAGCAUGGAGCGAUCAUUAUGAGAAAGCUGAGCAUAAUUUUUUUUGAAUAAUAAUUUAUCUUGAGAGCUCAUGAUUGGGGCAUGAAUAUAACAUUGACUUAAGCCUCCCCCAAGCUUGAGUGAUACUUUCUCCUUCAUGAGGCCAAAAAUUAUAUAUAUAAUUACGAUCACGAUGAACCAGAUGCAUAGGAUAAAACUUCUGAUGAAAUUCCAAUUUCAAUCGGUUGUAGUUCCAUGAUCCAAUAUCAUCACAUAGCCUAAACCAUGUCAAUGCCUUUCCCUUCGAAGAUAAAGGGAAUACCUUCUUAUUGACAACAUCCUCGGGCAUACCUGCAAGCUUAAAUAAUCCACAAACUUCAUCCACAUAGAUUAGGUGCAUAUUGGGAUGUAAUGUUCCAUCUCCUGUAUAGGGAUUAGCUAGCAGUUUCUCUAUCAUGCCCGAAGGAAUUUCAAAGUAAAUAUUUUCAGUAGGUUCAGUAGGUUGAGGAGAAAAUCUUUGCUCUUAUGAUCAGGGUGAAGAUACCCCGAACAAGCCCCUCAAAGAUUAUUUUCCAUAGUAACAAGUGACAGUAAAUUUCAGCACACUAUAUAAUUGUUUCCUUACCAAAUUCCACCUACCAAAGGCGCUUCACUCCCCGGCAACGGCGCCAGAAAAGAGACUUGAUGACCCACAAGUAUAGGGGAUCUAUCGUAGUCCUUUCGAUAAGUAAGAGUGUCAAACCCAACGAGGAGCAGAAAGAAAUGACAAGCGGUUUUUAGUAAGGUAUUCUCUGCAAGCACUGAAAUUAUCGGUAACAGAUAGUUUUGUAAUAAGGUAAUUCGUAACGGGUAACAAGUAACAAUAGUAAAAAAGGUGCAGCAAGGUGGCCCAAUCCUUUUUGUAGCAAAUUACAAGCCUAUACAAACUCUUAUAUAAAGCAAAGCGCUCCCGAGGACACGUGGGAAUUACUGUUAAACUAGUUUUCAUCAUGCUCAUAUGGUUCGCGUUCAUUACUUUGAUAAUUUGAUACGUGGGUGGACCAGUGCUUGGGUAUUGCCCUUCCUUGGACAAGCAUCCCACUUAUGAUUAACCUCUCUCGCAAGCAUCCACAACUAUGAAAGAAGAAUUAAGGUAAACCUAACCAUAGCAUGAAACAUAUGGAUCCAAAUCAGCCCCUUACAAAGCAACACAUAAACUAGGGUUUAAGCUUCUGUCACUCUAGCAACCCAUCAUCUACUUAUUACUUCCCAAUCCUCCCCCUAGGCCCAAAUCAUGGUGAAGUGUCAUGUAGUCGACAUUCACAUAACACCACUAGAGGAGAGACAACAUACAUCUCAUCAAAAUAUCGAACGAAUACCCAAUUCACAUGAUUACUUAUAACAAGACUUCUCCCAUGUCCUCAGGAACAAAUGUAACUACUCCCAAAUCAUAUUCAUGUUCAUAAUCAGAGGGGUAUUAAUAUGCAUUAAUGAUCUGAACAUAUGAUCUUCCAUCGAAUAAACCAACUAGCAUCAACUACAAGGAGUAAUCAACACUACUAGCAACCCACAGGCACCAAUCUGAGGUUUUGAGACAAAGAUCGGAUACAAGAGAUGAACUGGGGUUUGAGAACAGAUGGUGCUGGUGAAUAUGUUGAUGGAGAUUGACCCCCUUCGUGAGGCACCAAUGGACCCAUAGGUCUACAAAGAACUACUCACGCAUCAUCGAAGAGGCACCAAUGGACAUGAUGAACCCCUUCGUGAUGGUGUCUAGAUUGGAUCUGGUGUUCCUGGAACUGGAGGCGGCUGGAAUUGAUUUUCGUCGACUCUCCUAGUGUUCUGGAAUAUUGGGGUAUUUAUAGAGCAAAGAGGCGGUGCUGGAGGCCACCAUGGUGGGCGUAACCCACCGGGGCACGCCUAGGCCUCUAGGUGUGCCCUGGUGUCUUGUGCUCACCAAGGGACGACCCUCUUAUACUUCUUUGGCCCACUGGAUGUAUUUUGGUCCAAAAAAAAUCCACAAAAAGUUUUGCUGGCGUUUGGACUCUAUUUGGUAUUGAUUUCAUGCGAUGUAAAAAACAAGCAGAAAACAACAACUGGCACUGGGCACUAUGUCAAUAGAUUAGUACCAAAAAAUGAUAUAAAAUGAUUGUAAAACAUCCAAGAAUGAUAAUAUAACAACAUGGAAAAAUCAGAAAUUAUAGAUACAUUGGGGACGUAUCAAGAGGUUAGCACACUAUACCCACACCACGGAACCCAUGGCCUCGCACUCCCAUUCGGGUGGACCAAUGACGUUCUGACAAAACUGAUCUAUUGCCCAUGACACUCUCCUAGCCACUCCGACUAACUCACCUCUAGGCUAGGUCUUGGGUGGCCCCGAUGUCAACCAAUGACAUCCAACGGCCACCAUUGUGGCAAAACAUAAGCGGUCCCAAUCAGGGACAAGAGAUCUCAAUACCAACUACGGGCACACAAGGUUAUGUCUGCUUACAGGGCCAGGCUAACGCACGCCCAUAACCUUCCCUCACUGAGGCACCGAUGAGAGACAUGACAAUAGACCGCAUUAGGGCCUUCCCAUAAAGGCAAAUGUGGUUGCAUAGGAAAAGCCUAGUUCAGUGGCGCCUGACCAACUUAAUGAGAAAAUUUAUCCCUAAAAUAUAACUGAUACUCCAAUAUCAUAUAUCCACCAGUAAACCAAGUCAUAAAAAUAUCCAACACACAAUCCAGAGAAUAAUAUAGACAUAACCUAAUACUCCGAAGGUAGCAUAAACACUAAGAGCAUGCUGAAUCCAAGAACGAUAAUACUACUAAUCCCAUAGCAAGAACGAGCUAUCCAGCUAAGAUCCACAUGCAAGAAUCAUCUACGAAAAUAAUACUCCAAAGCAACAUACCAACUACCAUCAUGAUAAUAAUCAUACUAGCCACUAAUAAUCCAAUGGCAACAUAUCAUCCAUCAACUGCAAGCAUAUAUCCUAGUAAUCCAAACAGUAGCAUGGCAAUAGCAAGAUUAAAAACAACUCUGAGAAAUGCCAUGCACACAGUCAUGUCGCUAAAGCAAUAUUUUAAACAAGUUCAAAUAAGUAAACCAUGUCACUGCAUUGCAAUCAUGUAAAUGGAGGUUGUGGCUUGCCUGGGAGGGGUGGAAUCACUGGAAAGAAGUGCGAGUAACUUGCGGAAAGAAUUGCCGGAAAAGUUUCUCUCUCGAAAAGGAUGAAUAAGGGCAAGGGCAAAAUGGUCAUUUUCAGAAUGUUAAAACAUGGUGAAAAUGAUUCCAUCGUAACGGGCUUGACAAAAUGAAGAAGUGGGCUUUGGAAUCACCUUAUCUGGAGUUAUGGUUGAAGAGUUAUGAUUGUUUUUCUACCAGGGACCUAUUUUAAUAAAAUCCUCACAAACAUGCCCUUGACUGAAAAAACAGAAAGGACACUAUCACAGAAUACGCUUUUAGAGAAUUGAAAACACAUUGCUGGCCAAAGGAGAUCAUUUCGGGAAAGGGAGACGUAUUCGGGCGAAUACGACUCCACUUAUCCACGCUGGUAGGGAGGGGUCAACGCCCGUGCAACUGCUAGGUGGGGUCUGCGGGAGGUGGGAUCCUCCUGUCAUCGGCUUCUACCUCUGUCGCCCGCGUGCGGCCGGGGGAGCAGCGGGCUCUGGUGAGGCUAGCCGGCGACUCCGGUCACCGCUCGUGAAGCACGGCCUACUAGCAUGCUCAAGGGGCGAGCCGCACCCGCCUGUGGGUAGUACGGGCGCUGGGGAGGUUGGAGGCGAGCAUGACUUCUACGCUGGCGGACGACAAUGUUGGGCGUCGGCUGUCUUGGCGCUCCGGUCCUCCAGCGAAGAGGGCGAAGAGAAGGGGAGGCUCAGCAUGCUCCGGGCGGUCGUCUGGCGGUGGAGAGAAGGAAGGAGGAGCUCGGCGUCGAGCCAAUUUAGGCCAAGGUUGAGGCGGGCACGACGAACAUGGGGGAGGAAGAUGGGACUCCGGCAAGGAUUUGCUGGGUUUGGGAGGUGUAGAAGGGAGUGGGGAGGCUGAUGGCAAAGGGAAACGACACCGGGGUGGCCUUAUAUAGCCAGAGCAAGGUGGUGCCGCACUGGCGUCGCCGUGGACACGUGGCCGGCGCCGCAGACGCGUGGGCACGCAUGUGAGUUCGGCGGUUGGCAAUGAGAGGGAACAGGGAGGAGCUCACGGGGUAGAGGGGGCCAAGGGACACGGGGAGGAAGAUGCCAUGGCGAGCUCAAAGCCAAACCGAGCACAGUGCGCCCGUGGUGCUCGGCGGAUAGCUCCGACAAGGAAGCGGAUGGAGGGGGAGAGGGGUCCAGGGGGGCGGCGACGAGGAGGAGAAGAUAUUGGACAUGGUCACACGUGCGAAGACGACGAGAGGAAGAGAGGCCGGAGAUAGGCGACAUCUUGGACGCAGCCACAACGAGCAGAGCACGUGAAUUGGCAUGCCACCUGCAUGGUCACCAUGCGAUACGGCAAAGAGAGGUCACGAGAGGAGGGGAAACCGUGUCUAGCAUUAUGUUCUUCCAAGAUGGAACAUUAAUGAGUCUAUGGCUGGGUCUGAGGUGAUCUGGUUAAAUGGUAGUCAUUGUCUAAAGUUUGAUGUAACAAACUUGGCUGUGCACUGGUGAUCAACAGGGAAUAGAUAAGGGCCAAAUAAGUUGUCUGGGGUGAUUAUCUAAGGAAAGACUACGAUCUUGGAGGUUUUGAGGAUAAUUGGAUCACAAAUGAACAAGAUUGCUUUGCAAGUGCAUAAUUGGUCCAGAAAAUGAGAUUUGGUUGAUGCACUUACAUAGAGAAGCAACUUGGGCUGAAAUUUGGCAAGGCAGGGUUAUUUGGCCAUAUGAAGAUGCUUUAAAAAUCUCAUACCAAAUGGACUUGUCAAAAUGGUACUUGUUUCACAAACAUCUCCUCCGUCCAGAAACUUGCAAUAAUUUUGGGGGCAAAAUGGCUUAAUGAAAUGGCCUCAAACUAGGUGGAGAGAUGUUAUAUAGAUAAGAGCAUGAUCUGGUAAUUUUUCAGAAUUAAUGAAGCAAUAUAAAUUAUACUUGCUUCACAACCUGAAAAUAUCAACAUAAUCAAAGAUUUGAAGUUGUGCUCACAUAAGUGAUUGUAUGGGGCUAAAAAUUGGAGGAGGGUAAUGAUAUGAGCACAUGAAGAGGCAAGCACAGUUUCAACUCAUUUGGAUACUCCUAGCUUGUAGUUCCUUCACAAUGGCUUCUGUUUGACAAAAACUUUGAAAAAUCACUAAGGAAGAUUUACUAGGCAAAUAAAGUGGAAUUUUGGCACGAGGCAAUUAUUUGGUCAUGAAAGAAUUCCCAAAAAGUUUGGGGGCAAACAAGAUAGGAUAAAUGGCACUUCCUUCACAAAAUGCCAUUCAGGAUAGAAUGGAAGCAUGAAUAUUGGAGGAAUAUUUUUGAACUGGCCAAGGAAGGAUUUGGGCAUAUUUGAGCAAUAUAUGACCCAAAGAAAUUAUGAGAAUUAUUUGGGAAUUUUUGGAUGGACAGAAAUAUAGGUUGCUUCACAACCUAGGGCAAAUAGGAGAAUUCCUUUAAUAGAAAAGGAAUAUUCCCAAUAAAGGAAUAUUGGGAUUUGGGCUAGGAUGGAAAUGGCAUGGUCUUGGGAUGAUUUUGAGAAUGAUGAACCACUUGGGAGAAGAGGAAAUGAUGAUCUCCCAGGUUUCAAGUCCACAGAUCCACUCCAAAAGAAAAACAGAGCAAAACCAAAUAAACCAAAAAGAAAAAAGAAAGGGGCCAAAAACCAGGUUGUCACAAACCUCCCCCCCUUAAAGAAAUCUCAUCCUUGAGAUUUGGUUGCCCAGGGAACAAAUAUAAACAUACCUUAAGGAAACUGUUUCCAACUCGGGUAUCCUUUUCCUUUGUUUGUUGUUCCCCUAAGAAUUUAUUAAGAUCUGCUUACUCUGCUCUGGGAUGGUUUGCUUCACCUUUCCCAAAUUUUGACGGGUCUUUCCUCAUAUACCAAAGUCUUAUGCUGAACUUGACACUCUCUUAUCUACGGGUGAUAUUUUGAGCAUGACUUUCAUUUGGUCAGGAAAAACCUUUUACAUAGGCCAUUAGGUUGUCCAAACAAUCACAUGCCUUCUGGGUUCAAACAAUACUCUUAAACCUUACGUUGUUGCAGGUCCUCUCAUAAAUAAAUCAAGCAGGCCGGCUGGCAAUCGGGUAGAUCCAUAUGUUCUAAGGGGGGGGGCUUUCUCCUCCUCAGUAGGUGCAAACCCUGGUUCUGUAAAUGAUUAUAACUGCCUUGGAGCUAGAUAAGCAAACCUUAUUCUGUUUGAGUAUGAUGGAUGUUACACACACUGCCAGAUACAAGCAAAAGCUUUCCAGCUAAGCUAGGAGUCAGAACGAACUCAUGAAGCUAUCCUUCUUCUUGCAUCUCAAGAUUCAAAUGGAAUUUUAUGCUGGGAAAUAAACUACCAAUUAGGGAAUGCGCAUCUCUAUUUCUGGAAUUCUUUGGUCUAGGCAAUCCAAAAGCGUGAAUCAUGGCCACUCUUCUGACGAGAUCCGACUGCCCAACAGAGAUACCGACUCUUGAUUUGCUACUUUGGCUUGAGCAUGAGAUAUUUACCAAAGUUUCGACUACCUUUAGUCACGGGUAAUACAAUGGAGUAUGGGCUUAUAGUUGUAUCAUACCUCAAACUAUAGCAUCUUGAGACUCGCCUGAUAGGGUGCUGGCUGGAAGAUACUUUUCAUGGCAGGUUGUUUGUGUACUUGAUUCUGUCAAUGAGUAUACUGGGUCUGGGCUGAUUGUUUUGGCUUUUGAUUUACCCAUGUUGUCGGUACACUCAUUUGUGGUAAUAAGCUGUGAGAUGCUUCAACACUGGCAUUGAAUUCAAACUAUUGAGGUUGCAAAGAAAUCUUGGAUCUGACUGAACAGACUUGGAUAUUCCACACUAACCAUUUUGGGUAGGUGCCAUGGGACAAGCAGGUCGGCGGAAUAUGAAGUCCUUGUACAACAGUAGGCUUUGGAGGGUAUGUCUUUGUGGAUCCAUAUGGAAUAAUGGCCCUCAACUGACUUGGGUAUCCAAACCCUGAUGGUAGUGAGAAAAUAAUUAUACCCUUGCUGUCAGUCUCAUCCUUUGACUGUCAUGAUUUUCUUUGUUAGUAUACCUUACUGAAAUAGUUUGGCCACAUAUGUUCUCGAUUCCUCGUAUGAGCAUGAAUGUGGUUAGUGCAAUAUUUUUGGAAUUAUUCCCUGUGCCUACUUUAUGACCUGGGUCCGCGCAUAUAUGAUAGGUGCUUGGGGCUUGUAGCUAUAUAGAGCUCAUUAUUGAGGCCAUUCAUACAAGAGGGUGACAAGGUUUCAUAAGAUUUCCUUGUCAGGUGCGGGGAUAAUGACCUUGGAAGUCGGUGUCCAGACUGUUGAUGUUGCGUUAUUGGCCUUGGCACUCGUCGAUUCUUGCACCACAUGAGGUGUAUCUCUGCUCAUCUUCAUUGGGAAUGACUCAUGAGUUUGUUGGAUCCUUACCUAUCUUAGGUAUAUCUGCUUGAUCAUUGUCGUAUCUCGUAUGAGUGACUAUUGUGACCGGGGUUGCAUGCUCACCAUAUGUAGGAACAAUAUGCCACCGAACACUCGAUUCUUGCGGUAGGCAUAUGUCUUGACUGAUUUGUACUUCUGACAGAAAUAUUGUUGAUCUGAUUCUUGAGAUGCACCGUCAUAUACUGCCAACUCACCGUAUAAUCUCUGAGGACGGUGCAAUAGUGUGGUACUGACGUGGACCGAGUGGCUUACAAGAGAAGCCAUUCGAGUAGCUUGCUGAGGAAGUCUCGAUUGCUUUUGCUCGAAGAUUUGGUCUGCGUAGCAUGCAGAAGAAGCUUGAUAGCUUAUAGAGGAAUCUUAACCUUUGUAUCGUGCUGGAGAUGUCUGGGUUCCGUACUCGAGAAGCUUCUCCUCAGGUUGCUUGUUGAGGAAGAAUUAGUUCCUUACAUCAGAAACUUUUACCGAGGUAUCUUGCAUUGGAAGACUAGGUAUCUUGGACAAGAAGCAAUCCAUGUAUCGUACUGAAAAAUCUUGAGGAGCCUUGCAUCAUAAGUUGCUUCCGAAAGCAUGUGGAGGAAGACUGAGUUUCUCAUAUCCAACUUUUCAUACUGUGAUAUACUGACUAAGAACCAUACACCCACCCAUAAUAUUCCGUGUUGGGUUACUUGCAUGAUAAAAUUAUUUGAUUGUCUUCCUUGAUCAUAGCUCAUUCUGGCUUUCCUUCUGAAAUAUAGCAUAGUUCCAAUUGCAUUCAUAGAUGAAUCAGACUUUGUAUAUAAAUCAUACCUUUGACUGGGAAUAUUCCAUUGGUCUUGUGCUUGCCUUAUCUUCUUGCUGUUUUGAUCAUUAUUUCUACGAAAGGGGCAUAACAGUAUGCAGACUUGCUCUUGAUAUUCGAUUAGGGAAACCAUUUAUAUACUGAGCAGAUAUUCCCAACAUAAUGCAGUCAACUUAGAAUCCCAUACUGUUUAGCUGAGCUUCCAUAUCUUUUCUAUCUUUGCUGCUUCUUCGAGUUCAGCGUCGGUUGAUGAACAACUCUUUAUAGGGAAAAAAUAAUGUAACACUGGGGCCCAAAAAGAAGCAAAUAAAACAAUUCAACUAAACAAAGGGGUAAAAAGGCAUACAAACCACACACAAACAAUAUCACAUGUAUGCUAUCCACACAAUAUGCACACCUACUUAAGCACACAAAUCUCGUGAAGUCUCCGGUACUGCAAUCUAACAUGCUAUGGCGAUGUGCACGAGGACAAAACAAUGUGUGGAAAAGUUGGUGUAAACAUUGCUACACCAAGUGUUAGCUUAGCCAGGUAACAACCUUGACUAGCUCGGAGGCGAGGACGUACUCGGUAACCAUAUAGCGGAACACGAAUGUCGCAACCACAUUAUUAUCAAGCAGACGGAAGGGAUUCAUACUCGUCCACGGAAUAGGACAGCAAGGAAAGUUGAGUCGGCUGACAUUGCCCUUUAAUGAUGACGAAGAUCAUUAAGGGUUGCCAACGCGACAAAGAGGCAUGUUUCGGGGCAGCAGCCUGUCUACCACCGAAACAAUAGGGAUAGCUGGAAGGAAGAGAUCGGUGUGAUACCUGAGCACCAUUUUCUGCAAACAGUGUCAGGAUCACUUGGCAUCACUCUAUUGGGACAGAAAUGACAUCAAACACCCAAGAAAAAGGGAAACUCGAGGAAUGCAGAAGCUGAGCUAUAGUGGAUCAAGAUCUGAUGCCAGCUACACUCACCAGAUAAAACCGUUAGCAGCAAAUACUAAGGCUAUAUGCAUGCUAUGCAACAACCAAAUGCAACAAACAAGGCAGACUCUAUACUGCCGAUUACUACCGCUCGCACUAACUAGGGCAUCCUACAACCACACCUGCUUUGAUACAAAGCCUAUGGCAUAAUGCCUGCUUGAACUAUGUCGGUAUUUCCCCAAAGAGGAAGGGAUGAUGCAUCACAGUGACGGUAGGUAUUUCCCUUAGUGAUGAGACCAAGGUUAUCGAACUAGUAGGAGAACCAAGCAACAUAACGUAAACAUCCCCUGCACACAAAUAACAAAUACUCGCAACCCGGCGUGUUAAAGGGGUUGUCAAUCCCUUUCGGGUAAUAGUGCCUCAAAUUGGCGAGAAGAUGUGAUAAAGUUGUGAUAGAUAGGAAAAAUAGAUCACAAACAAAAUAAAGUGCAACAAGGUACUUUUGUAUUUUUGGUUUAAUAGAUCUGAAAAUAAAAGCAAAGGAAAAAGAUUGCAAAGGCAAAUAUGAUGAGAAGAGACACGGGGCCCGUAGGUUUCACUAGUGGCUUCUCUCGAGAACAAUAUCAAACGGUGGGAAAACAAUUACUGUUGGGCAAUUGAUAGAACUUCAAAUAAUCAUGACGAUAUCCAGGCAAUGAUCAUCAUAUAGGCAUCACAUCCAAGAUUAGUAGACCGACUCCUGCCUGCAUCUACUACUAUUACUCCACACAUCGACCGCAACCCAGCAUGCAUCUAGUGUAUUAAGUUCAUGGAAAAACGUAGUAAUGCAAUAAGAACGAUUACAUGAUGUAGACAAGAUCUAUUUAUGUAGAAAUAGACCCCAUCUUGUUAUCCUUAAUAGCAAAAAUACAUACGUGUCGUUUCCCCUUCUGUCACUGGGAUCAAGCACCGUAAGAUCGAAACCAUCACAAAUCACCUUUUCCCAUUGCAAGAUAAAUAGAUCAAGUUGGCCAAACAAAACCCAAAUAUCGGAGAAGAAAUAUGAGGCUAUAAGCAAUCAUGCAUAUAAGAGAUCAAAGAAUACUCAAAUAAACUCAAAUAACUUUCAUGGAUAAAAACAUAGAUCUGAUCAUAAAAUCAAAGUUCAUCGGAUCCCAACAAACACACCGCAAAAAGACUUACAUCAUAUGGAUCUCCAAGAGACCAUUGUAUUGAGAAUCAAGAGAGAGAGAGAGAGGAAGCCAUCUAGCUACUAACUACAGACCCAUAGGUCUAUAAAGAACUACUCACGCAUCAUCGGAGAGGCACCAAUGGACAUGAUGAACCCCUCUGAGAUGGUGUCUAGAUUGGAUAUGGUGUUUCUGGAACUUGUGGCAGCUGGAAUUGAUUUUCGUCGACUCCCCUAGGGUUUCUGGAAUAUUGGGGUAUUUAUAGAGCAAAGAGGCGGUGCAGGAGGCCAUUGAGGUGGGCACAACCUACCUAGGCACGCCUAGGCAGGCGCGCCCAGGUGGGUUGUGCUCCCUCAGAGCUCCCCUCAGGUACUUUCUUGGCCCACUGGAUUUCUUCUGGUCCAAAAAAGUCCACAAAAAAUAUCGUUGCGUUUGGACUCCGUUUGAUAUUGAUUUCAUGCAAUGUAAAAAACAAGCAGAAAACAGCAACAAGCACUGGGCACUAUGUCAAUAGGUUAGUACCAAAAAAUGAUAUAAAAUGACUAUAAAAUGAUUGUAAAACAUCCAAGAAUGAUAAUAUAACAACAUGGAACAAUAAAAAAUUAUAGAUACGUUGGAGACGUAUUAACAUCCCCAAACUUAAUUCCUGCUCGUCCUCGAGUAGGUAAAUGAUAAAAGCAGAUUUUUUGAUGUGGAAUGCUGCCUAACAUGUUCAUCACAUAAUCUUUCCUUUGUAGCAUGGACAUUUGUACAUUUAUAUGGUUCAAAGCAAUAGUCUAGUUUCAACAUGAAGACUUUAAUACUCAAGCACACCAACAAGCAACCAUGUCUUUCAAGAUAUCAACACUAAAACAAGUUAUCCCUAGCCCAUUAUGCUCAACCAUUGAUCCAUUCAUGAAACACACUCGAAUAUUAGCUACACCCAAUGCUCAAAUAUGAUCAUAGUGCCCCUUAGUUGGUGCUUUAUAAGAGAAGAUGAAGACUCAAAUUCAAAAUAAAAAUUGCAUAAAGUAAAAGAAAGGCCCUUCGCAGAGGGAAGUAGGGAUUUGUAGAGGUGCCAGAGCUCAAUGCGAAAAUUGAGAGAUAAAAACAUUUUGGGAGGCAUACUUUUCCCACCUACGAAAACGGCUUAGAGCUCCCAACACUUUCCAUGCUAGAUACAUCAUAGGCGGUUCCCAAACAAAAAAUAAAGUUUAUUCCUUUUUCCAUCAUACUUUCACUUUCCAUGGCUAACCGUAUCUAUGGGUGCCCUCCAUACCAACACUUCCCAAGGAAUUUAUUAUUUGACAACAUAAAGUAAAUUCAUUUUUCAUUUCGGGACUGGGCAUCCCUAAUACCUUUGCCGUACUCUUGUGCAAUGACAAGUGAAUAAACACUCAUCAUGAGAAUAACACAUCUAGCAUGGAAAAUAUUGGCCACCCCUCACCGCCUCGUGAGCGGUACGAGCACACAAAAGAGAAAUUUAUUUUGAAAAUUAGAGAUGGCACAUGCAAUUUUUCUUAAAACGGCACGAAAAUACCACAUAUAGGUAGGUAUAGUGGACUCAUAUGGCAAAACUAGUUUAAAAGGUUUUGGAUGCACAAGUAGUGAUCAUAUUUAGUGCAAAACGAAGGCUAGCAAAAAGAUUGAGAAGCGACCAACCAAGAAACGAAAAAUCUCGUACCCAAGCAUUAAGCAUAACUAACACCGAAUAAUGCACCACAAGUAGGAUAUAAAUUUCAUUGCAUAACUAUUGACUUUCGUGCUUGCAUAAGGAAAUCACAAACCUUAACACCAAUAUUCUAACUAAAGCACAAUUACUCAUCAACAUGACUCACAUAUCAUAUCGUCAUAUCUCAAAACCAUUACUAAGCAUCAAGUUUAUUUUGUCCAAUGAUCAUCAUGAAAGUUUUUAUUAUAUCCUCCUUGGAUAUCUAUCACUUCGGGACUAGUUUCAUAUGUUGCCUUUGAUAAGCUCAAACAAAUAUAAGUGAAGAACAUGAGCAUAAUAUUUCUUUCUCUCAAGAUAAUCUAAGUGAAGCAAGAGAGUAUUUCUUAAAAAAAUUACUAACUCCCAAAUAAAUCUAAGUGAAGCAUAAGAGCAUUUCUUCAAAAAUAACAAAGCACAUCGUGCUCAAAAAUAGGAAGCCAUCUAGCUACUAACUACGAACCCGUAGGUCUACAAAGAACUACUCACUGGAGAGGCACCAAUGGACAUGAUGAACCCCUCUGAGAUGGUGUCUAGAUUGGAUCUGGUGUUUCUGGAACUUGCGGCGGCUGGAUUUUCGUCGACUCUCCUAGGGUUUCUGGUAUAUUGGGGUAUUUAUAGAGCAAAGAGGCGGUGUGGGAGGCCACCGAGGUGGGCACAACCCACCUGGGCGCGCCUGGGCCUCCGGGCAUGCCCUGGUGGGUUGUGCUCCCCUCGGAGCUCCCCUCAAGUACUUUCUUGGCCCACUGGAUGUCUUCUGGUCCAAAAAAAUCCACAAAAAGUUUCGCUGCAUGUGAACUCCGUUUGAUAUUGAUUUCCUGCGAUGUAAAAAACAAGGGUCUUUUACAUCUGUGUCCCUAACUUGAACCCACUACUCACAUUUGCCCCUAAUUCGAAAGCCUGCUCAAAAAUGCCCCUCCGCCAUUAGGUGCCCUUACAGAAAUAUCCUUCCGCUCCGUUUUCGUCUGGUCAAAGGGGUUUGACCGUUUACGGGGCGUUUACUGGACAUUUUGCCCCUCUAUUCACUUGUCACUUACACAUGGGACCUGCCCUAGGAAAAAAACUCUAGCUUAUCCCCUCUCUCUCACUUACUAAAAAAACUCUCUCACUCCUUGACAUGUGGGCCAGGGACCCACUUGCAUGGUCAACAUGCUCCGAAGCGAGGCUAGGCUCGGCUCGCGUGGAUCAGCCGGUGGCCGUCGCCGGCGAGAGGCGGCGCGCCUGCAAGUGAAGACCAAGGGGACGGGCUCCGGGUGGUCUGUCGAAGGAUUUGCAGGUGGUGGUCAAGAUGGAUGUCGGCGGGCAGCGAAGGCAUGCACGGGAGUGCCUGAGACAUUCUGCGGAGGACGCCGUCGCCGCCGUCGCGGUCAGAGGCUAGAUCGAGACCAAAGAGCAUGCCCUUGAACCCUGCUGGACGCCUCGCCUCUGCCCAGCACGGUGAAUCGGGCCUAUGGUCGCGUGUAGAUGAUGGCAGAGACUCCGAUCUCCGCCACAGAUGCGCCCUUGGCCUCCUAAAUCCGACUGCCCCGAGCCACCAUUGACCUUCCCGACGUCCGUGUCAUUGUCCCUGAAAUCACGCGGCCCUACUCCUCUCUUCCCCCGCUCGAUUUUGUUCCCGGAGCGCCCUGUCCGAAGCCGGCCGCCAUGACCGACCUCGACUGGCUUGGUCGUGUGCACGCGCCCACCUACCUACCUGUGCGGCGGCUCCACCCCUCCGUCGGACGACCCCGAGCCUCCCACCAUGGCCCUCACACACCGGCGCACUAUCCUUCGCCGACGGCGACCACCGGCCGAUCCGCCAAGCCUCGCCGUGACCACGAGCAAACAAGAGUUGACCCUGACAGUGGGUCCAAUGGCCCACAUGUCAGGGAGAGAGAGGGGGGGUUAUGAGAGAGGUAGACAAUUUUUUUUAAUAUUGGUGGGCUCCACGUGUAAGUCAGAGAUGGGAUGAGGGAGAGGGAGUUUUUUUUCUUUUCUUUUCCUAGGUAGGUGCCACGUGUAACUGGGAUGUGCACAGAGGGGCAAAAAUGUCGAGAAAACGUGAGGAAAACGGUCAAAGGCCUUUGACCUGACGGAAAUGGCAUGGAGGGGCAUUUCUGUAAGGGCACAUAACGGCGGAGGGGCAUUUUUGAGCAGGCUUUGGAAUUAGGGGUAUAUCUGAUUAGGUGGUUCGAGUUAGGGACAGAAAUGCAAAUGGCCCAAAAAACAAGUAGAAAACAACAACUGGCACUGGGCACUAUGUCAAUAGCUUAGUACCAAAAAAUGAUAUAUAAUGACUAUAAAAUGAUUGUAAAACAUCCAAGAAUGAUAAUAUAAUAGCAUGGAACAAUAAAAAAUUAUAGAUACAUUGGAGACGUAUCAUGGCACCCCGGCUCAGAGAGACCGGAAAGCCCCGUAUUCCAGCCCAGCGAUCAAGGAGAAGUCUUUUGGAAUACGACACUGCUUGACAUAGAACAAAUCAGGUCUUAUACAAAGGAUAAAUACAAGGGUCUGAUGUUACAAAGGAUCACAUCAGCGCGGCGACACUACCCCCAUGAUACUACACUUGCUCUAUGCUAGAAGCAAAACAACUCGUAGCAGCGGAAAUCUUCUAGCAGCGAAACAACGACGAAGGUGGUGAACUCCACCCCGCAGGGACUCUGGCUGGGACGCGAUCUAGCUCGCACAAUCGGUAACCUUGACAAGCAAUCAAUCAAUCAUGGCAUCACCUGCAAUAUGGCAUGACAUGCCAGGUCAGUACAUUGAAUGUACUUGCAAGCUCACAACAACCAAAAGCAUCAAGGCAAAACAACAUAGCAUUUAACACGUUAAUUAAUUAACUACUACCAGAAUGUGGAAACAAUAACUAAGCAUGAUAUACAACUACUAGAAUACAGAUGAAUCACCAUAUCAGAUCUCAACACCCAUCUCACUCUUGGCUAUCCGGCCAAGCAAUAUCCCAUCUCGAUCACCUCAUGAUCCACAUGAUCACCCCGUGAUAAAAACAUCCACAUGAUCACCUCGCGAUCAAAACAUCCACAUGAUCACCUCGUGAUCAAAACAUCCACAUGAUUGAUACGACUCCAACGUAUCUACUUUUCCAAACUCUUUUGCCCUUGUUUUGGACUCUAAUUUGCAUGAUUUGAAUGGAACUAACCCGUACUGAUGCUGUUUUCAGCAGAAUUGCCAUGGUGUUAUUUCUGUACAGAAAUAAAAGUUCUCGGAAUGACCUGAAACUUCACAGAGACACUUUUUGGAAUUAAUAAAAAUACUGGUGAAAGAAUUAGCUGAAGGGAUCCCACACCCUGGCCACGAGGGUGGGGGCGCGCCCUACCCCCCUGGGCGUGCCCGCUACCUCGUGCCCCCCUGGACCUCUACUGACCUCCACUCCAACUCCAUAUUUUCAUGUUCAGGGAGAAAAAAAACCAGGGAGAAGGAUUCAUCGUGUUUUAUGAUACGGAGCCGCCGCCAAGCCCUGUUCUUUCUUGCGAGGGCUGAUCUGGAGUCCGUUCGGGGCUCUGGAGAGGGGAAUCCGUCGCCAUCGUCAUCGUCAACCAUCCUCCAUCACUAAUUUCAUGAUGCUCACCACCGUGCGUGUGUAAUCCCAUUGUAGGCUUGCUAGACGGUGAUGGAUUGGAUGGGAUUUACCAUGUAAUCGAGUUAGUUUUGUUAGGGUUUGGUCCCUAGUAUCCAUUAUGUUCUAAGAUUGAUGUUGCUAUGACUUUGCCAUGCUUAAUGCUUGUCACUAGGGCCUGAGUGCCAUGAUUUCAGAUCUGAACCUAUUAUGUUUUCAUGAAUAUAUGAGUGUUCUUGAUCCUAUCUUGCAAGUUGUAGUGACCUACUACAUGUUAUGAUCCGACAACCCCGGAGUGACAAUAGUCGGGACACUUCCCGGUGAUUACCGUAGUUUGAGGAGUUCAUGUAUUCACUAAGUGGUAAUGCUUUGGUCCGGUUCUCUAUUAAAAGGAGGCCUUAAUAUCCCUUAGUUUCGAAUAGGACCCCACUGCCACGGGAGGGUAGGACAAAAGAUGUCAUGCAAGUUCUUUUCCAUAAGCGCGUAUGACUAUAUUUGGAAUACAUGCCUACAUUAUAUUGAUGAAAUGGAGCUAGUUUUGUGUCACCCUAUGUUAUAACUGUUGCAUGAUGAAUACCAUCCGACAUAAUUAUCCAUCAUUGAUCCAUUGCCUACGAGCUCGUUUCAUAUUGGUCUUUGCUAAGUAAGUUCUCCGUUGCCACUGUUACGAUUGCUACAAAACUGCUGAAAGAUCGUGGAUGUCGCCUAGAGGGGGGGAGGGUGAAUAGGCGCUUUAAAAUAAUUACGGUUUAGGCUUGAACAAAUGCGGAAUAAACCUAGCGGUUAAUUUGUCAAGCACAAAACCUACAACAACUAAGCUCACCUAUGUGCACCAACAACUUAUACUAAGGAAGAUAAACAACUAAGUGAUAGCAAGGUAUAUGAUAGGAAACAAUAUGGCUAUCACAAAGUAAAGUGCAUAAGUAAAGGGCUCGGGUAAGAGAUAACCGAGGCACGCGGAGACGAUGAUGUAUCCCGAAGUUCGCACCCUUGCGGAUGCUAAUCUCUGUUUGGAGCGGUGUGGAGGCACAAUGCUCCCCAAGAAGCCACUAGGGCCACCGUAAUCUCCUCACGCCCUCGCACAAUGCAAGAUGCCGUGAUUCCACUAAGGGACCCUUGAGGGCGGUCACCGAACCCGUACAAAUGGCAACCCUUGGGGGCGGUCACCAAACCCGUACACUUUGGUAACCCUUGGGGGCGGUCACCGGUACCCGUCAAAUUGCUCGGGACGAUCUCCACAACCUAAUUGGAGACCCCGACGCUUUCCCAGAGCUUUACACCACAAUGAUUGAGCUCCAAACAACACCAACCGUCUAGGGCGCCAAGGCACCCAAGAGGAACAAGCUCUAGGGUGCCCAAACACCCAAGAGUAAUAAGCUUCUUAAACUUCACUUCCACGUAUCACUGUGGAGAACUCAAAUCGAUGCACCAAAUGCAAUGGCAAGGGCACACAGAGUGCCCAAGUCCUUCUCUCCCAAAUCCCACCAAAGCAACUAAUGCUAGGGAGAAAAAUGAGAGGAAGAACAAAAGAAGAACACGAAGAACUCCAAGAUCUAGAUCCAAGGGUUCCCCUCACUUAGAGGAGAAAGUGAUUGGUUGGAAUGUGGAUCUAGAUCUCCUCUCUCUUUUCCCCCCAAAACUAGCAAGAAUCCAUGGAGGGAUUGAGAGAUAGCAGGCUCGAAGAAGGUCAACAAUGGGGGAAGAACACAAUCUCAAAGGAUAAGGUUCAUUGGGGAAGAAGACCCCCUUUUAUAGGAGGGGGAAAAUCCAACCGUUAUGCUCACAACCCGCAUAGAGCGGUACUACUGCUCCUACGAGCGGUACUACCGCUAGGGCGGCAGACGCCCAAUGAAACAACACUGCAGAGGGACGGUACUACUGCAGGAGUGGUACUACCGCCUGCCCUUGUAGUACUACCACGCGACUACGGAAGAAAAAUAAUAACUACCGCGCCUACAACUGCUGGAGCUAGCUACAAGAAAAAGUCGGCGCAGUACUACCGCUCACAGGGAGCGGUACUACCGCGUAGGGGCGGAUGUAAAAAAUUACAUCCAUGCCUACUACUGCACGAAACAGCGCCAGGGCACGAGGCAACGGUACUACCGAUCACCAGGAGCGGUACUACCGCGUAGGGUGCGGAAGUAAAAAAUUACUUCCGCGCCUACUUCUGUGCGCGCCAGCGUUCUGGGCUAGAGGCAGCGAUACUACCACUGGCCCCUGUGGUACUACUGCUCCCUUGAGCAGUACUACCGCACGCCAUAGAGGCUUUAGCACUUGGAUACCUUCAAAAUGCAGCUAAAGACAACAGAUGGAUCCAAUAAAAACAGAACUGCCAUUACUUCUGCAAAUGAGCUCCGAAUUGAGCAUACUCAAGCUUGUUGGAUACAAGACAACGAGUAGCAUCAAAACAUCAUAGAAGAAGCAUGUGAACUCCGUUUUCGAUGAACUCGAGCUUGUCAUCAAGAUGACCAUAAGCUCCAAAUCUCACAAAGAGAACCAAACAAGAAUCAAGAAAGAUGAUGCAAGGAUGCAAUGGUUUGAGCUCUCUACGAACAAUAUGAUCAAGCUACUCAUCGAGAGCCCCCCUUGAUAGUACAACCAUCAAUCCUAUAAGCCGGUCUCCCAACUACCACCAUGAGACCGGUAAAAUAGAAAGCCUAUCAAGGGCAAACCUUUUCCUUGCACAUGGUCCACUUGAGCUAGAUGAUGAUGAUCUUGACUCCCUCAAGUUGGACCACCUUUCUUGAUUGUGUUGGGUCGAGGAAGACUAGAUGAUUGCUCCCCCAUACUCCACUAUGGGUGAGCCACUCUUUGACACAUCUUCACAAGUCCACUGACACCAAAAUGGACGGCAAACUUCAAGCAUUUGAUCUCUUCGUGAUGCUCCACUCAAACUUGCACACCGCAACCUAACCCCACAAAGAAUUCUCACAAAGACCACGGGUUAGUACACAAAGCAUAAUUGACAGUGCUUACCAUACCAUGGUAUCACUUGAUCCCUCUUGGUACAUCUUCUAUGCUUUGUGUGUUGAUCAACUUGAUUCACUCUUUGACUUAGUCUUGAUCAACCUCUCACAAGACCAAUCUUUAGGUAAUUCCUUGAAUAGCACCUUGGUCGACACAAACUCUCCUUGAAACCAACACAUGUACUCCAAGAAAAGCCUAUGGACAAAACCUUCAAAUAUAACUCAAGGCAACCAUUAGUCCAUAGAGAUUGUCAUCAAUUACCAAAACCAAACAUGGGGGCAUCGCAUGUUCUUUCAACUGCUACUGUUACUUUUACCACCGUUACCGUUACUUCCAUACUACUUUGCUACUAAAUACUUUGCUACAGAUAUUAAGUCUUUCAGGUGUGGUUGAAUUGACAAGUCAACUGCUAAAACUUGAGAAUAUUCUCUGGCUCCCCUUGUGUUGAAUCAAUAAAUUUGGGUUGAAUACUCUAACCUCGAAAUUUUUUGCGAUCCCCUAUACUUGUGGUUUAUCAAGACCUUUUUCUGGCGCCGUUGCCGGGGAGCAUAGCUCUAUUAUCCGAGUCACGUGGGAUUUAUACCUGUUGAUCACUAUGAGGAAUCUAAAAUACAACAAAACCAAGAUAUAUCCUUCAACUACGAGGGGAGGUAAGGAACUGCCAUCUAGCUCUGCACUUGAUUCACCGUCUGCUUUGAGUAAACUUGCGACACCUACACAUACUAUUGAUUCUGAUAUGUCGCAUGUUAUUGAUGAUGCCACUUCUGCUAUGCAUGAUGCUUAUGAUGAUACUACUUCUAUGCUUGAUAAUAAUGUGCCACUAGGUGAAUUUCUCUAUGAACAACUUGCUAGGGUUAGAGAGAAUGAAAUUACUGAAAUUGAUGAUAUUAGUGAAAGUGAUGAUGAAGAUUAUCCCUCUAGAUAUGAAUUGCCUAUUAUACCUGAGGGUUAUGUUGUGGAUGAGGAAACUGCUAGAGACUUUUUUGCUUGCAAUGAUAGAUAUGAUCUUAAAAAACUGUUAGCUAAGCUGAAAGAAAAGUUUUUGAAUGCUAGAAUGAAAUAUGAUCCUGCGUUUGCUACUUCACCUAUCUGUGUUACUGAUAAGGAUUAUGAAUUCUCUGUUGAUCAUGAGUUAAUCACUUUGGUUCAAAUCUGAUCCUUUCUAUGGCUAUGAAUCUGAAACUGUUGUGGCGCAUCUUACUAAAUUGAAUGAUAUAACUACCCUAUUUACUCAUGAGGAAAAAAUUCGCUAUUACUAUAUUCUUAAAUUGUUUCCUUUCUCGUUAAAGGAUGAUGCUAAGAUAUGGUUUAAUUCUAUUGCUCCUGGUUGUGUUCGUAGUCCCCAGGAUAUGAUUUAUUACUUCUCUGCAAAAUAUUUUCCCUCUCAUAAGAAACAAGCUGCCUUAAGGGAAAUAUUUAAUUUUGUGCAAAUUAAAGAAGAGAGUCUCCCACAAACUUGGGGGAUGCUUCUCCGAUUACUUAAUGCUUUGCCUGAUCAUCCUCUCAAGAAAAAUGAAAUACUUGAUAUCUUUUAUAAUGGAAUAACUGAUGCUUCUAGAGACCACCUAGAUAGUUGUGCUGGUUGUGUUUUCAGGGAAAGAACUGUUGAGCAAGCUGAAUUGCCAUUGAAUAAUAUAUCGAGUAAUGAUAAUGAUUGGGCACUUCCUGAACCAACUCCUAAGCCAACUCCGAAGAAAAGGGGUAUUCUAUUUCUCGGUCCUGAAGAUAUGCAAGAGGCAAAGAAAUCUAUGAAAUAAAAAGGUAUUAAAGCUGAAGAUAUUAAUAAUUUACCGCCUAUCGAAGAAAUACAUGGUCUUGAUAACCCGACACAGAUAGUAAAGGUAAAUUUUCUCUAUAGAUUUGAUGGAGGCAAUAUUCCUCAUAAUAAGUCUGCUAGUCAAUGCUUGGAUGAGUUUGAUAUUUUUAUUGUUAAACAAGAAAACUUCAAUGCUUAUGUUGGUAGACAAUUGAAACGUAAUGCUUAUAUGGUUGAACACUUGAGUGAUUAUAUGUCUAGAGUUAAAAGUGAUCUUAAGCUUAUUAGUAAACAUGCUUCCAUGGUUACGUUUCAAGUAGAACAAGUACUUAAGGCCCAAGAUGAUUUGCUCAAUGAGUUGAAUAAUAAGAAAAAUGAUAAUGCUGUUAGAGUUAUGACUAGAGGUGGUAAAAUGACCCAAGAACCUUUGUAUCCUGAGGGCCAUCCUAAGAGAGCUGAGCAAGACUCUCAGAGAAUUAAUACUGAUACACCUGGUCCUUCUAAUAAAAGAAAAAGAAUAAUGAUAGGACAUUGCAUGCUUCUAGUGAACCUGUUAUUGACGCACCUGAGAAUACGAAUGAUAUUUCUAUUUCUGAUGCUAAAACACAAUCUGGUGAUGAACAUAAACCUAGUGAUAAUGUUAAUGAUAAUGUUCAUGUUGAUGCUCAACCUAGUAAUAAUAAUGAUGUAGAGAUUGAACUUGCUGUUGAUCUUGAUAACCCAUAAUCAAAGAAUCAACGUUAUGAUAAGAGAGACUUUGUUGCUAGGAAGCACGCUAAAGAAAGAGAACCAUGAGUUCAGAAACCCAUGCCUUUUCCUCCUAAGCCAUCCAAGAAAAAGGAUGAUGAGGAUUUUGAGCGCUUUGCCGAAAUGAUUAGACCUAUGUUUUUGCGUAUGCGUUUGACUGAUAUGCUUAAAAUGCCUCCUUAUGCUAAGUAUAUGAAAGAUAUUGUUACAAAUAAAAUAAAGAUACCGGAAGCUGAAAUUUCCACCAUGCUUUCUAAUUGUACUUUUAAGGGUGGAAUACCAAAGAAACUAGGAGAUCCAGGAAUACCAACUAUACCAUGCUCCGUUAAAAGAAAUUAUGUUAGAACUGCUUUAUGUGAUCUUGGAGCUGGUGCUAGUGUUAUGCCUUUCUCUUUAUAUCGUAGACUUGAUUUGAAUAAGUUGACAACUACUGAAAUCUCUUUGCAAAUGGUUGAUAAAUCAACUGCUAUACCCAUUGGUAUUUGUGAGGAUGUGCCUGUUGUGGUUGCAAACGUUACUAUGUUAACGGACUUUGUUAUUCUUGAUAUUCCCGAGGACGACAGCAUGUCGAUCAUCCUUGGUAGACCCUUUUUGAAUACUGUAGGGGUUGUUAUUGAUUGCAACAAAAGCAAUGUCACUUUUCAUGUUAAUGGUAAUCAGUAUACGGUACACUUUCUGAAGAAACAACCUCAAGUUCAUAGUAUCAAUUCUAUUGGAAAAAUUACAACUAUUACUAUUGGAGGUUUUGAAUUCCCUCUUCCUACUGUCAAAAAGAAAUAUGAUAUUCUUAUUUUUGGGGACAUGCAUAUCCCCGUUGAGGUAACCUAGUGUUAUUCGAAAAUUCUCUAGUUUCAUGUCAUUCGGAAGAAAUUAGUUAACAAAACUUGAUCAACCUUGUUAGUGGAUUCCUUUUGAUGAGCAUGAGAUGGAUGAAUUUAGAAGGCACAACUUUCUAUACCCUCCUUUUACUUUCUGUUAUUUAGAUUAAAUGAAGCAAAAACAAUAUUUUCUAUCUGUUUUCUGAAUUAUCCAUGCAAUAAAAAAUACCCAAAAAUAAAAGUUCUCCAAUUGCCCUGAAAAUUUUGUAUGAUUUUUUAUAGAAUAUUUGAGAAUUUCUGGCAUUGAGAACACACGAGGGGGAUGCAACAGUGAGCCACGAGGGUGGAGGGAGCGCCCUACCCCUUGGGCAUGCCCCCUGCCUCAUGGGCCCCACGUGCCCCCUCCACUUAUUCCAGCACCCAUUUACUUCGUCUUCCUCCAGAAAAAAUCAUCCUGUAGCUCAAACUCGUGUUCUUGCUCAUUUUGCUGCCAUUUUUGAUCUCCUUGCUCAAAGCUCCAUUCACAAAACUACUUUGGGGGAUUGUUUGGUAUGUGACUCCUCCAAUGGUCCAAUUAGUUUUUGUUCUAGUGCUUUAUUUAUUUCAAAUUUUUGCUCCUGAGGUGACCCUGUUCUUGAGCUUGCAUGUCAAAUUUAUAUGGUGAAAGUAGUUUUGUUGCAUGAUUUAGCUUCUAGACACUUGUGGGAGUAGUUGCUAUCAAUCUUGUUGAGUUUGGAUCACCUUUAUUUUGAGUCACUAUUUCAGAAUUUUUCAGAGGAAGAAAAUGUUGAGGAGAUUGUUGAGAGGCUCCUUGAGCUGGGGUUCGAAGGAAAAGGAGAAUGAAGAGAAUGAAAAGUGCAAGUACAACCUUCCUCGCACCAUGGAGGUCUGCUCGUGUGAAUGGCCUUGUGAUGCAUUCUUAAAGGCCGCUGGAAUUUAUGAAGACUUCUAUUACUUGGCUGAGAAUGCAGGCAUCACCGACUUCAUCCAUGAUAAGUGUCAUCAGUAUCUCCUACUCACUAAUAUUUUCAUGCAAAAUUUUCAUUUUCAUGCUAGGAGAUCACUGAUGUCUACUACGCAACCUUCUUCUUAUAGACGUUGUUGGGCCUCCAAGUGCAGAGGUUUGUAGGACAGUAACAAAUUUCCAUCAAGUGGAUGACCUAAGGUUUAUCAAUCCGUGGGAGGCGUAGGAUGAAGAUGGUCUCUCUCAAACAACCCCGCAACCAAAUAACAAAGAGUCUCUUGUGUCCCCAACACACCCAAUACAAUGGUAAAUUGUAUAGGUGCACUAGUUCAGUGAAGAGAUGGUGAUACAAGUGCAAUAUGGAUGGUAGAUAUAGGUUUUUGUAAUCAGACAGCAAGGUAACUAAUGAUAAAUGUGAGCAAAAACAGUAUUGCAAUGCUUCGAAACAAGGCCUAGGGUUCAUACUUUCACUCGUUCAAGUUCUCUCAACAAUAAUAACAUAAUUGGAUCAUAUAACUAUCCCUCAACAUGCAACAAAGAGUCACUCCAAAUUCACUAAUAGAGGAGAAGAAACGAAGAGAUUAUUGUAGGGUACUAAACCACCUCAAAGUUAUUCUUUCCGAGCAAUCCAUUGGGCUAUUCCUAUAGGUGUCACAAACAGCCCUAGAGUUCAUAGUAAAAUAACACCUUAAGACAGAAAUCAACCAAAACCCUAAUGUCACCUAGAUACUCCAAUGUCACCUCAAGUAUCCGUUGGUAUGAUUAUACGAUAUGCAUCACACAAUCUCAGAUUCAUCUAUUCAAACCAACACAAUGAACUUGAAAGAGUGUCCCAAAGUUUCUACUCGAGAGUCAAGAUGAAAACGUGUGCCAAUCCCUAUGCAUAGACUCCCAAGGUCACGGAACCCGCAAGUUGAUCACCAAAACAUACAUCAAGUGAAUCAAUAGAAUACCCCAUUGUCACCACGGGUAUCCCACACAAGACAUACAUAAAGUGUUCUCAAAUCCUUAAAGACUCAAUCCAAUAAGAUAACUUUAUAGGGAAAACUCAAUCCAUUACAAGAGAGUAGAGGGGGAGAAACAUCAUAAGAUCGAACUAUAAUAGCAAAGCUCGCAGUACAUCAAGAUCAUGCCAAAUCAAGAACACGAGAGAGAGAGAUCAAACACAUAGCUACUGGUACAUACCCUCAGUCCUAAGGGUGAACUACUCCCUCCUCGUCAUGGAGAGCGCCGAGAUGAUGAAGAUGGCCACCGGUGAUGAUUUCCCCCUUCGGCAAGGUACCGGAACAGGCUCCUGAUUGGUUUUUGGUGGCUAUAGAGGCUUGCGACGGCGGAACUCCCGAUCUAGGUUUCUUUUCGGGAGUUUCUGUAUUUAUAGGAAUUUUUAGCGUCAGUCUCACGUCAGGGGGGGUCCCCGAGUCAUCCACAAGGCAAGGGGGCGCGCCCUCCACCCUCCUGGAUGGCUCGGGACUCUUCUGGCCCAACUCUUUACUUCAGGGGAUUCUUUUGGUCCAUAAAAAAUCAUCAAAAAUUGGCAUGUCAAUUGGACUCCAUUUGGUAUUCCUUUUCUGUAAAACUCAAAAACAAGGAAAAAAUAGAAACUGACACUGGGCUCUAGGUUAAUAGGUUAGUCCCAAAAAUCAUAUAAAUAGCAUAUAAAUCAUAUAAAACAUCCAAGAUCGAUAAUAUAAUAGCAUGGAACAAUCAAAAAUUAUAGAUACGUUGGAGACGUAUCAAGCAUCCCCAAGCUUAAUUCCAGCUCGUCCUCGAGUUGAUAAAUGAUAAAAACAGAAUUUUUGAUGUGGAAUGCUACCUAACAUAUUUAUCAAUGUAAUCUUCUUCAUUGUGGCAAGAAUAUUCAGAUCCAUAAGAUUCAAAACAAAAGUUUAAUAUUGACAUAAAAAUAAUAAUUCUUCAAGCAUACUGACAAAGCAAUCAUGUCUUCUCAAAAUAACAUGGCGAAAGAAAGUUAUCCCUACAAAAUCAUAUAGUCUGGCUUUGCUAUAUUUUCAUCACACAAAAAUUUUAAAUCAUGCACAACCCCGAUUACAAGCCAAGCAAUUGUUUUAUACUUUUGAUGUUCUCAAACUUUUUCAAUCUUCACGCAAUACGUGAGCGUGAGCCAUGGAUAUAGCACUAUAGGUGGAAUAGAAUGGUGGUUGUGGAGAAGACAAAAGGGAGAAGAUAGUCUCACAUCAACUAGGCGUACCAACGGGCUAAGGAGAUGCCCAUCAAUAGAUAUCAAUGUGAGUGAGUAGGGUUUGCCAUGCAACGAAUGCACUAGAGCUAUAAGUGUAUGAAAGCUAAAAAAGAAACUAAGUGGGUGUGCAUCCAACUCGCUUGCUCACGAAGACCUAGGGCGUUUGAGGAAGCCCAUCAUUGAAAUAUACAAGCCAAGUUUUAUAAUGAAAAAUUCCCACUAGUAUAUGAAAGUGACAACAUAGGAGACUCUCUAUCAUGAAGAUCAUGGUGCUACUUUGAAGCACAAGUGUGGUAAAAGGAUAGUAACAUUGUCCCUUCUCUCUUUUUCUCUCAUUUAUUUUGUUUUCUCCUUUUUUGUUGGGCCUUCUUUUUUUGGCCUCUUUUUUUUCGUCCGGAGUCUCAUUCCGACUUGUGGGGGAAUCAUAGUCUCCAUCAUCCUUUCCUCACUGGGACAAUGCUCUAAUAAUGAUGAUCAUCACACUUUUAUUUACUUACAACUCAAGAAUUACAACUAGAUACUUAGAACAAAAUAUGACUCUAUAUGAAUUCCUCCGGCGGUGUACCGGGAAGUGCAAUGAUUCAAGAGUGAGAGUGAGAUGUAUGAAAGAAUUAUGAAUGGUGGCUUUGCCACAAAUACAAUGUCAACUACAUGAUCAUGCAAAGCAAUAUGACAAUGAUGAAGCGUGUCAUAAUAAAUGGAAUGGUGGAAAGUUGCAUGGCAAUAUAUCUCGGAAUGGCUAUGGAAAUUCCAUAAUAGGUAGGUAUGAUGGCUGUUUUUAGGAAGGUUAUGGUGGGUGUAUGGUACUGGCAAAAGUUGCGCGGUACUAGAGAGGCUAGCAAUGGUGGAAGGGUGAGAGUGCGUAUAAUCCAUGGACUCAACUUUAGUCAUAAAGAACUCACAUACUUAUUGCAAAACUCUAUUAGUUAUCGAAACGAAGUACUACAUGCAUGCUCCUAGGGGGAUAGAUUUGUAGGAAAAUACCAUCGCUUGUCCCCGACCGCCACUCAUAAGUAAGACAAUCAAUAAAUAAAUCAUGCUCCGAUUUCAUCACAUAACAGUUCACCAUACAUGCAUGCUAAGGGAAUCACAAACUUCGACACAAGUAUUUCUACAAUCCACAAUUACUCACUAGCAUGACUCUAAUAUCACCAUCCUCAUAUCUCAAAACAAUCGUAAGGAAUCAACCUUCUCAUAGUAUUCAAUGCACUUUAUAUGAAAGUUUUUAUUAUAUCCCUCUUGGAUGCCUAUCAUAUUAGGACUAAAUUCAUAACCUAAGCAAAUUACCAUGUUGUUUAAGACUCUAAAAAGAAUAUAAGUGAAGCAUAAGAUUUCAUCAAUUUCUUCAAAAUAAAACUACUACCGUGCUCUAAAAAGAUAUAAGCGAAGCACUAGAUGAAAUGACAAACUACUCUGAAAGAUAUAAGUGAAGAUCAAUGAGUAGUCGAAUAAUUAUGUAACUAUGUGAAGACUCUCUAAGAUUUAAGAAUUUCAGAUCUUGGGAUAUUAUUCAAACAGCAAGCAAAACAAAAUAAAACAAAAUGACGCUCCAAGCAAAACACAUAUCAUGUGGUGAAUAAAAAUAUAGCUCCAAGUAAAGUUACCGAUGAACAAAGAUGAAAGAGGGGAUGCCUUCCGGGGCAUCCCCAAGCUUAGGCUCUUGGUUCUCCUUGAAUAUUAUCUUGGGGUGCCUUGGGCAUCCCCAAGCUUAGGCUUUGCCACUCCUUGUUCCAUAGUCCAUCGAAUCUUUACCCAAAACUUGAAAACUUCACAACACAAAACUCAACAGAAAACUCGUAAGCUCAGUUAGUAUAAGAAAAUAAAUCACCACUUUUGUUACUGUUGUGAACUCAUUAUAGAUUCAUAUUGGUGUUAUAUCUACUGUAUUACAACUUAUCCAUGGUUCAUACCCUCCGAUACUACUCAUAGAUUCAUCAAAAUAAGCAAACAACACAUAGAAAACAGAAUCUGUCAAAAACAGAAUAGUCUGUAGUAAUCUGUAAUUCUCGAAUACUUAUGUAACUUUUAAAAUCCUAAAAAAUUAGUAAAACCUGAUAAAUUUGUGUACCAAUCCAUAGAAAAAAUAAUCUGACCAAAAGCACGUUUCUGCGAAUUAUAAAAACUAAUUUACUGGGUGCAAAAGUUUCUGAUUUUCAGCAGGAUCAACACAACCAUCACCCAAGUCUUCCCAAAGGCUCUACUUGGCACUUUAUUGAAACAAAAGCUAUAAAACAUGAUUACUACAGUAGCUUAAUCAUGUGGACACACAAAAACAGUAGGGGUAAAUGUUGGGUUGUCUCCCAACAAGCGCUUUUCUUUAAUGCCUUUUUAGCUAGGCAUGAUGAUGACAAUGAUGCUCACAUAAAAAGAUAAGAAUUGAAACAUAAUGGGAGCAUCAUGAAGCAUAUGACUAACACAUUUAAGUCUAACCCACUUCCUAUGCAUAGGGAUUUUGUGAGCAAACAACCUAUGGGAACAAGAAUCAACUAGCAUAGGAAAGCAAAACAAGCAUAGCUUCAUGAUUUUGAGCACAACGAGAGGAAACUUAAUAUUAUUGCAAUUCCUACAAGCAUAUAUUCCUCCCUCAUAAUAAUUUUCAGUAGCAUCAUGAAUGAAUUCAACAAUAUAACCAUCACAUAAAGCAUUAUUUUCAUGAUCCCCAAGCACAUACAUUUUAUUACUCUCCACAUAAGCGAAAUUCUUCUCAUUCGGAAUAGUGGGAGAAUCAUAAGAAACUCGAAUACUAUAAAUUGUUUCCACAUUAAAAGAGUAAUGUUUAGACAAAGGGUAAUCAUAAUCAUGACAAGUUUUAUAAAUAUAAUCAUCACUACUUUUUAUAGCAUAAGUAUCAUCACGAUAAUCAUCAUAAGUAGCAACCUUGUUCUCAUCAUAAUCGAUUGAAACCUCUUCCGAAAUAGUGGAUUCAUCACUAAAUAAAGUCAUGACCUCUCCAAAUCCACUUUCAUAAUUAUCACAAUAAGAUUCAACACCCUCCAAAAUAGUGGGAUCAUUACUUCCUAAAUUUGACAUUCUUCCAAACCCACUUUCAUCAAUAUAAUCAUCAUAAAUAGGAGGCAUGCUAUCGUCAUUUUUUUUGCAUAUCAAAGCUUGGGAGACUAAAAAUAUCAUCUUCAUAGCAUACCAAAGCUUGGGACAAACAUUAAUUGCAGCAAAUAAAUUCUCAAAUAUGUCAUUCUCAUCAAACAUAGCAUCCCCAAGCUUGGGCCUUUGCACAUCAUAAGCAUGAUCACUCUCAUCAUUAAUAGUAUGGAUAGCACCAAUAGUAUAACAAUUAUCAUCAUCACAAUGAGUAAUAGGAGCAACAUCAUUUGGGAGGGAUACCUUUUUACCUUUGCUUCUCUGUCUUCUAUUUUUCUUCUUCAAAUUAUGUGUGGGUUUAAUCCUCUUUUUGGAGCUCCUUAUUAAUGAGAUUGGUUGAAUAGAAAGCUCCUCCUCGUUACCUGAUUCAUCAUAAGAAAGAAUAGGAGGAUAUUGGGAAAUCUCUUCCCUUUCAUUAGUAUUAUCUUCAUAUUAUAUUUGUUUUCUUGUCUUUAUGUAAUUGGCAAUAUAAGGAUUUUCAAUGCAAUUCACCGCACAAUACAUAUAAAUUUCCUCUAGAUCAAUAUCAAGAAAUUUCUCAAGGUUAUAUUAUGGAAUAUCCAUAGUUAUACGUUUCAUUUCUUCAUAACCCAAAAGCAAACUAAGUUCAUUAUGAUGUGCAAGGGAAAUCAAGUCAUCACAAUUUCUGGACACGAUUUGUUCAUGAAACAAUUCGCAUUGGAGAUUUAAAUGAUCACGUUCAUUGCAAAGUUCACAAGAGUGGAAAAGAAAUUUUAAAUUUUCAACACAAACAUCUAGCCUCUCUUGCAACCACUUAGUUUCUAAAUACUUAUGCCUCUUGCAAAAUCUAUCUUCCGUAUUUGGUGUGUACUUGCAAACUCUAUGCACUCCACAAAAGUUGACAUGCUUAUAAGAUACAUUUCUAUCAUGACUAGUGAAAUCAUCAUUAGUACUAUGUAUAUUCAAUGAGUUCAUACUAACAACAUUACAAUCAUGCUCAACAUUCAAAGAUCUAGUGCCAAACAUUUUAUUGCAUUCUUCUUCUAACACUUUGGCACAAUUAUCAGAAUCCUUAUUUUCACGGAAGACAUUCAAAAGAUGAAGCAUAUGAGGCACCCUCAAUUCCAUUUUUUUGUAGUUUUCUUUUAUAUAAUAAACUAGUGAUAAAAUAAGAAACUAAAAGAUUCGAUUACAAGAUCUAAAGAUAUACCUUAAAGCACUAACCUCCCCGGCAACGGUGCCAGAAAAGAGCUUAGUUGACGGGGUGUUAGUGUCGCUUACCUAGCCUCCCCUGCAACGGCGCCAGAAAAGAGCUUAAUGUCUACUACACAACCUUCAUCUUGUAGACGUUGUUGGGCCUCCAAGUGCAGAGGUUUGUAGGACAGUAGCAAAUUUCCCUCAAGUGGAUGACCUAAGGUUUAUCAAUCCGUGGGAGGCGUAGGAUGAAGAUGGUCUCUCUCAAACAACCCUGCAACCAAAUAACAAAGAGUCUCUUGUGUCCUCAACACACCCAAUACAAUGGUAAGUUGUAUAUGUGCACUAGUUCGGCGAAGAGAUGGUGAUACAAGUGCAAUAUGGGUGGUAGAUAUAGGUUUUUUGUAAUCUGAAAUUAUAAAACAGCAAGGUAAUUAAUGAUAAAAGUGAACGAAAACGGUAUUGCAAUGCUUCAAAACAAGGCCUAGGGUUCAUACUUUCACUAGUGCAAGUUCUUUCAACAAUAAAAACAUAAUUGGAUCAUAUAACUAUACCUCAACAUGCAACAAAGAGUCACUCCAAAGUCACUAAUAGCGGAGAACAAAGGAAGAGAUUAUUGUAGGGUACGAAACCACCUCAAAGUUAUUCUUUCCGAUCAAUCCAUUAGCCUAUUCCUAUAGGUGUCAGAAACAGCCCUAGAGUUCGUAGUAAAAUAAGACCUUAAGACACAAAUCAACCAAAACCCUAAUGUCACCUAGAUACUCCAAUGUCACCUCAAGUAUCCGCGGGUAUGAUUAUACGAUAUGCAUCACACAAUCUCAGAUUCAUCUAUUCAAACCAACACAAAGAACUUCAAAGAGUGCCCCAAAGUUUCUACCGGAGAGUCAAGACGAAAACAUGUGCCAACCCCUAUGCAUAGAUUACCAAGGUUACGGAACCUGCAAGUUGAUCACCAAAACAUACAUCAAGUGAAUCAAUAGAAUACCUCAUUUUCACCACACGUAUCCCACGCAAGACAUACAUAAAGUAUUCUCAAAUCCUUAAAGACUCAAUCCGAUAAGAUAACUUCAAAGGGAAAACUCAAUCCAUUACAAGAGAGUAGAGGGGGAGAAACAUCAUAAGAUCCAACUAUAAUAGCAAAGAUCGCGGUACAUCAAGAUCGUGCCAAAUCAAGAACACGAGAGAUAGAGAGAGAUCAAACACGUAGCUACUGGUACAUACCCUCAGCCCCGAGGGUGAACUACUCCCUCCUCAUCAUGGAGAGCGUCGGGAUGUUGAAGAUGGCCACCGGUGAUGACUUACCCCUCCAGCAGGGUGUCUGAACAGGGUCCCAAUUGGCUUUUUGUGGCUACAGAGGCUUGCGGUGGCGGAAUUCCCGAUCUAGGCUUCUUUUCGGGGGUUUCAGUAUUUAUAGGAAUUUUUGGCAUCGAUCUGACGUCAGGGGGGGUCUCUGAGUCAUCCACGAGGCAGGGGGCGCCUCCAGGGGGGUAGGGCACACCCUCCACCCUCGUGGAUGGCUCGGGACUCUUCUAGGCCAACUCUUUUACUUCAGGGGCUUCUUUUGGUCCAUAAAAAAUCAUCAAAAAUUGGCACGUCAAUUGGACUCCGUUUGGUAUUCCUUUUCUGUAGUACUCAAAAACAAGGAAAAACACAAACUGGCGGGCUCUAGGUUAAUAGGUUAGUCCCAAAAAUCAUAUAAAAUAGCAUAUAAAUGCAUAUAAAACAUCCAAGAUUGAUAAUAUAAUAGCAUGGAACAAUAAAAAAUUAUAGAUACAUUGGAGACGUAUCAAUCACCACCUUCGGUAGAAUUUUAUUUAUAUGAUGAGUUUAAGGAGAUGUCACUCUAUGAUUUUUGUGAGGUUUGCAAAUUGCCUUUUGAGGGCAGCAUCAAGGAACCACAUCCUAGUGAUGUGGGAGAUUUUAUAGAUAAAAUUACUGUAGGGGAAAGGAGAAGAGUGUCGGAUGCAAGAACUACUAGUAUACAUUUUCCCGUUCUACUUUACUAUGCAAUAUUUGCUAGUAGAUGUUUAAUUGGUCGCGGGAACAGUUGGGGCCUCAGUGCUCCCGACCUUGCCAUUUUGCGCCAUGCUUUACUUCGUGAUAAAACUUUCAGUUUAGGCGCUAUGGUUGCUAAAUGGUUGAGUCUAAACCGUACGAAGGGCCCCAUUUUUAGAGGUAUGUAUGCUUCUCGUCUUGCUAAAUAUUUUGAGAUACCUAUUAGACACUAUGAGAAAGAAGAAAAGGUGUUGCCCACUGUUUACUUAGAUUAUAAAAGUAUGGUAGCACAUGAUUUUCUUUGUUUUGACAAGGAAAAUAGACUCAUUUAUAACCUGGUAUUUAGUGAAGAUACUUGUCAAUUAUUACCUUGCCUGCACCUUCUUUGUUUAAUAUUCAUUCAGCCACAUACCUUAUCAUGCCCGCGGACAUUCAUGCAUACUGCGAGCGGACGCGAUCCCCAGAUCCUGAGCCAAUGCCAUCACCUGAUCCAUAUCAGGAGUCUAUUUAUCAGUGGGAUCCGUAGGAGCUCGCUAACCAGUGGAAUCCCGAGGAUUCUCCUCAGUACACCGAAGAGCACUACUUUGAUCCAUGGGUGUAGACCAACUUAGGCCAAAAGCCUAAGCUUGGGGGAGUACGCAUUUCUCACCGACAUUACAUUCAUGUUCACACACUCAUUCUACUUCUCGGUGUUCAUACUUUUUCAUUGUAUUAUCCAUGCUAGUUUAUUUUCUUUUCCUGCUUUCUUCGUGUGUGUUUGAAAAACUUUGAGAAAAACCAAAAAAAUUAGUUGUAGCCUUUAGCUAGUUUACUUUCCAUGCUUGUAGUGGUAGUAAUUAAAUAAGAAAUCCAAAAAUAUUUCUCGUUCUUCUUUUGCUUGUUGGGAGCUUUCCCAUGUAAAUAGUUUUCCUAGUUCUUUGAAAUUCUUUUCUUUUCUUUGGGGGUCGAGAGGAGAAUACCACGAUGAAAUGAUGAGUGGCUCUCGUAUGCAUUAUUAUUGAUAAAACAAAGAGCCCAUAUUACCUUGUCUUCUCCUUUGAAUUAAAUGUUUGUAAAUUCCAGCUUAGUCCAAUGCAUGUGCACUAUCAUUAUUAUCGACACCGUUCAGUCGUGCAAGUGAAAGGCAAUAAUGAUGAUAUAUGAUGAAAUGAUUGAGAUGAGUAAAAGCUGGUAUGAACUCGACCUAUCUUGUUUUUGUAAAUAUGAUUAGUUCAUCGUUCUUGAUUCAGCCUAUUAUGAAUGAAACAUGUUUGCAAUGACAAUUAGAGAUCAUAGUUACUCAUGUGAUGCUUAAUUAGCUAAGAGUUUAUAAUGGUUUACCUUGCGUGCCAACAUGCUAUUAAAAUGGUUGUGAUGUAGUAUGAUAGGAUGGUAUCCUCCUUUGAAUGAUUCGAGUGGCUUGACUUGGCACAUGUUCAUGCAUGUAGUUGAAAAAAAUCAACAUAGCCUCCACGAUAUCUAUGUUCAUGGUGAUUUAUAUCCUACUUAUGCUUGCACUCAUUGUUGGUUAAUCUUAAUGCAUGAUUAUGACUGUGUUUCUCUCUAGUUGGUCGCUUUGCAGUCUCUUGCUAGCCUUCACUUGUACUAAGCGGGAAUACUGCUUGUACAUCCACUUCCAUAAAGCCCAAAGUUGUUCCAUAUGAGUCCACCAUACCUACCUAUAUGCGUUAUUUACCUGCCGUUCCAAGUAAAUUUGCAUGUGCCAAACUCUAAACCUUCAAAUGAAAUUCUGUUUUGUAUGCUCGAAUCGCUCAUGUAUCAACUAGGGUUGUCUAUAUCUUCCAUGCUAGGUGGGUUAUUCUCACGAUGAGUGGACUCCGCUCAUCAUUCACGAGAAAAUGGCCGGUAACCGGGAUGCCCAGUCCCAUGCUAAAAUCAAAUCAAAAUAAUUGCAAACAAAACUCCCCUGGGAUUGUUGUUAGUUGGACGGUAAUUGUUGUUUCGGACCAGCCGUGUAUGUGCUUGUUGGUGGUGGGGGAGUAUAAAGUUUACCAUUCUAUUUGAGAACCGCCUAUAAUGUAUAUAGCAUGGAAGAUAUAGAGAUCUCUUGGUUGUUAUGUUCACAAUGAAAGUAUGCCGCUUAUGUCAGGACCCCGACUCGAUGUCACAUCGAUCUAGCCGGUAACACCUCAUAUCACUUUGCGGCCUCACGCACGGUAUUCCCACGGGUGUCGCCUUACCUUUGCCCGGGACCGUUUGCGCCUUUUGGCUCACGUAUAUGAUAGUGUCGCUAGCAUCCAUAUGAUAAGGAGCCCGGGCUGACAUGACUAGUCGUAAACCCAAAGUGGCACAGACUUACAGGGACAGGCAUCCAUGACCCAGCUUCGAACGUGUCGGUCAACAGCAAGUGGGUCCGGGCUGUAGCACUGGGCUAGCAGGACUCCGGUAAACCGGGCUGUAGCGGGCUAACAGGACUCCGGUACUCAAUGCGUGACAUUUCCCCGAAGGGACAGACACAGGAACGAAGAAGGACACAUGCCGGCCAGCCUAAGUGUUCCAGAGCAGUAGCAAGCUACCAUGGCUCAGCGGUAACACUAGGAGACAUUUCCCGGUAAGAGAGGCUACUAAAGAUAAACAACUAGAUAGUCAGAUCCCACACAUACCAAGCAUUUCAAUCAUACACACACUAUGCUCGAUAUGGGCAAAUACAACGAAGCAUCACAACAUGACUCUAUGACACAAGUACUUUAUUUA
rnacentral:lncRNA from 1 species